rnacentral:lncRNA from 1 species
GUUCCUUCCAAAGUUAAGAUCAGCAAUGUUAGCUUCAAGAACAUCAAGGGCACAUGUACCGACCCAGUUGCUGUGAAGCUUGCAUGCAGCCCAGGCCUGCCAUGUGAGAAUGUGGAAUUAAGUGACAUUGAUCUCAAGUACACUUGAGACAAAGGUCCUAUUACCUUUGUGUGUUCUAAUGUCAAGCCGACAAUUACUCGCGUGGCACAACCUCUUGCUUGCGCUACUAUCAGUGCUGCUCCUGCUCCUGCUUGAUCUAACAAGCACAAACCAUGCUGCUGAUGUUUCUUCAAAGAUACAUUGGUGUUGUGCUCUUCGAUUUUGUGCUAAGUGUACUUGGUGUUUUCAUCUAAGAAGGGGAAAAUAUCUCAGUGCUGAUCACGAAGGCUGGGUUCAGGCCAACUGCUUGAAGGCUUCUGAAAGGGGCACUUUGUCAGUGCUAUGCCGACUUCUCAGAAGUCGUGGAGGAAUCGGGGGUGCUUUUGUCCGGCGAUUGGGUGUCUCCGUCGGGACAGCCCGUCCGUUUCCACAUCCCUACGACCUUCCAAAUUGUCGGUAGGUCAGAUUGCCGAUUGGUAGGUGGCCAAUUGCUUUCUUUAUGAUUUUAACCUUAUUUUGUUUCUGUUUUUGUAGGCAAACUAAAGCAACCGAGCCCCACGUAAUCAGAGAUUCAGCAGGUUGAUAGAGUUAGGUUGAAAGUCCCUGCCAUUGGGAGGGUGUACCCCAAGUUUUUGUUCACCGAGAACCUUAUCGAAGCCAAACUUGCCAGCCAUGCUGAGAGUAAGUGGACUUGUUUUUGCGUUCUCAUUCAUAUUAUAUCAAUGCCUUACCGAUCUCCUUCUUGUGCAGUGACGGAUGCCAGAAGAGCCGCCAAAGCCAAGAGGAUGAAUGAGUCCUCAAAGAGGCGCCUCAUGAUGGGCAUUGAACGGAAGAAAAGAUUCGACAUGUGGAGGCAGUGCCAGUUCUGUCGGCUGAGGUUGAUCCAGAGGAUUAGACCCUUGCCGACCGUCUUCGGCAGCUCAACGUCGGGUCGGAGCCCAGCAGUGCAGCCGAGGCUAAUUUGGCAUCGAGAAGAGUGCUAACCACGGAGGCCGCUGCUUUCUAGGCAGCCAGAAAAAGGCCGUUUAUGGUAGACCUUGAGGCAGAGCCGGUGCCAAAGUGCGGUCGGCAGAUGGAGGAGCAGAGGGCUGUCCUGGCUGUUGAGGACGAUGACAAUCCUGCCGAUCCGGUCACCCUCACAUGCCAAUCGAAGACACUCUAAUUUGCGAAUCAUGUGAUCUUUGGUUUGCAAAUGGAGUUGUCGGAGAUAGAGGAGCUACCGAAGAAACUCCUUCGGGAAGAAGCCGGUCGAGCCUUCCGUCUCCAGGCCUCCGUAAGUUUUUGUCUUGUUUUUAUUUCCCACUGUGCCACUGUUGGCUUCUUAUUGUGCUGACCUUUUGCUUUGCUUUCGAGGCGUCGAUGGACAUGUGACUGUGCAUGAAGGGGGCCAUCGUCGCUGCCGAGCGUGCCAAGAAAGCAUACGACGAUGGCUGUGCCAAAGUAGCCGAGGCAGGCAAGGCUCUCCAGGACCACGCUCACAUGCUGAAGGAUAAGCAGGCUACCAAACGGCAAGUUCAGGCUUCUGAGGCCAAACUGGGAGAGAUGAGAGUGGCUCUUGGGGCUGCGAUGAUGGCGGCAAGGGAUGCCGAGGCGGCUAAGGAGGCGGUGUAGGUGGCCUUGGAGGAUUCCGAGCGUUCUAAGGUGGGAUAAAUUGAAGCUGCUGUUCGAGAGGGUUCCAUGUUGCUGUGAGAGGUUACCAUUCAUCAGAAGAGUUCAUCGUCAUGCUAGACAGGGAAGUGGGCUCGGAGAUGGCUGAUCUGCUCUACAGAUUCAAACAGUACAACCCCAGGCAGAAGCUGAACUUGAACUUUAUUGUCGAUCCUCCUCCCCUUCCUGAAGGUAUUACCAAGAGAUGAUCAAGGACUAUGAGGGGGAGGACGCUCCGGAAGAAGCUUGUGCUGUCGGGGUCCCCGCUACUACCGACGUUGCGAAUGAGGAGGCUACCACUUGAGCUUUAGCCUCGUAGCUUUCUUUAUAUAUUUUGUAUCUGCCAUAAGGCAGCUCUUCUGAACACCUUGAUGUCGAGGGCAUCUUUUAAUUUUGUUUAAUAACUUGUCUAACGACCAAGUGAUCACACUGUCGGUAGAUUUUCGAGUUUAAUCAUCUUAAUUGCUGUGGGCUAAAUGAAAGAUUGACUGCCAAGUAACUUUCCAACGGUAAGGAGACUUAAGUGUUUUUCAUUGACGAAGGCUAAUAAAGGAUCUACUUGCAAUUGGCAAGUGCAGGUAGGAUCGGUAGUACCGAACUCCAGUUUAUCUGCUGCCGUAGGCUAAGUAAAUGCUUAAUUUAUAAGCGUAGGGUAAUGCAUGACCGAUAGUCUCUACCGUAUCUUUUUAAUUAACGAAAAAUAAAUAAACACACCAAAGGUUGUGAAUGUAUAAGCCGAAGGUUUUUUCAUUAACCGUUGCCGAAGGCAUGAAUACAGGUUCAUUGUAUUACAAUUUCGCCCUACCGUAGGCUAGGUGACUUCAUUUAAAACAGUAUUUGAAAUGAUCUACGUUCAUAGGAUGACCGAGGGUUUUGCCGUUGGAGUCUCUUAGCCGAUAGGUUCUCGAUCGAAGGAUGCUGAUAAUCUCAUAAGGUCCCUCCCAGGAAGGUCCAAGUGUCCCUUCCGUAGGAUUCUUGGUUGCCAGAAAGACUUUUCGCAUGACCCAGUCCCCAAUUCAGAAAGAGCAGGUUCUGAGCCUUAAGUCGUAAUAUUGAGAGACGCGCUGUUUGUAUGCUUCAUUCCGAAGGUUGGCUUGCGCUCGACGUUCUUCGAUUAAGUCGAGGCUUAGUGCGAGGGCUUCCUCGUUUGUCUUCGGAGUGAAGCUUGCCUUUCGGUAAGAGGGCUCGCCGAUCUCCACGGGGACCACGGCUUCAGAGCCGAAGGCGAGAGAAAAAGGGGUUUCUCUGGUUGACGUUCGGUAGGAUGUCCGAAUGGCCCAUAGUGCUUCCAGAAGUUUCUCUGGCCAAGUUCCCUUGGCUUUGUCGAGCUGCCGUUUUAGCAGUUUCUUAAUGAUUUUGUUUAUUGCUUCGACCUGAUCGUUCGACUGGGGGUGAGUUGGCGAAGCGAAGAACAAAUUGAUCUUGAGGCGAGUGUAGAAUUCCCUAAAGAGUUCCGAGUCAAACUGCCUGCCAUUAUCGGUGAUGAUUGCAUAGGGGACAUCGAAUCGGCAACAAAUGUGAGUCCAGAUGAAGUCUUCCAUCCUAGCUGCCGUUAUGGUUGCCAGAGCUUCUUUGGUGAAAUAGUCCACAGCAACCACGACAUACUUGACCUGGCUUUUGCCUUGCGGCAUUGGACCGAUCAAGUCCAGUCUCCAUUGGGCGAAAGGCCACGGGCUUACGAUCGGUGUUAAAGGCUCGGCAGGGAUGUGAGGUAUGUUGCAGAAGCGUUGACAUUUGUCGCACCUCUUUACUAGUGUGUUUGCGUCCUGGUGCAUAGUCGGCCAAUAAUACCAUUGCCGAAAUGCCUUAUGUGCGAGCGAUCGGGAUCCAGAAUGGUUGCCACAUACGCCCCCGUAGAUUUCAAGAAGGACAGUCCCAUUUUUUCGGUGAUGAUGUGUUUCAGAUACGGUGUAAUAUAGGUGCGUUUGUAAAGGACGUCGUUGAUAACUGUGUAUCUUGCCGAUCGGUACUGCAGCUUUUGGGCCUGUGACUUGUCGGAGGGCAGUGUACCGUUUGUUAGGAGACCGUAGAUGAGAGAUAUCCACUUGUUUUCCUACCGUACGGUACAUACCUCCGAAGUUGCCGUACUAGCUUGAGAUAGGAUCUCCACCGGCACCUUUCUGCCAACCUUGUUAUUGAUUGUCGAAGCUAGUCGUGCCAGUGCAUCGGCAUGACUGUUUUUCAUCCUGGGGAUUUGCCGAAUCUCAUAAGCCUGAAAUGCUUUGAGGAGUCAGUGUGUGGUUGAUAGGUAGGCUGUCAUGGAGGCAUCCCUAGCUACGAAGUCUGCCGUUAUGUGAUUCACUAUGAGCUGGGAGUCACUAUGGAUGUUGAUUUGUUUUGCGCUCAUGAUCUUGGCUAGCCGAAGGCCGGCCAAGAGAGCUUGAUAUUCAGCUUCGUUGUUGGAGGUUCUGAAGUUAUAUCGGAGGGCAUAUUCGACCUUGGCUCUGUCUGGAGUAGUUAACACCAGACCAGCUCCACAACCUUGUUCAUUUGCCGAGCCGUCGACAUGCAGAAUCCAUAUGGGAACAGAAGGGUGGAAGUGUUCAGCAUUCUGCCUGCCUGGUUCCCUGGCAUCAGUGUCUGAACUGGCUAGCUCCGGUGCCACCGAAGAUGUAAGUUUGGAGAUGAAGUCAGCGACGGCUUGCCCUUUCUCCGCGGGUCUUGGUUUAAACUGUAUGUCAAACUCUCCUAACUCAAUUGCCCAUUUGAUCAAUUGGCCGGAUGUUUCUGGUUUUUGGAGUACUUGCCGAAGAGGUUGGUUGGUUAGGACUGUAAUUUCGUGCGCUUGGAAGUAUGGGCGAAGUCUUCGAGCCGAGACUACGAGAGCCAAGGCUAGCUGUUCCAGGGGAGGAUACCGAAGCUCUGCGCUCUAGAGCGCUUUGCUGACUUAGAAAAUUGGUAAUUCUGCCUUCUCUGGCUUCCGUAUCAACACCGAGCUGACGGCAGUGCUGGAUACCGAAAGGCAGAGAAAUAGAACUUCACCAGGAAGUGGUUUUGACAAUAGCGGUGCCUUGCUCAUGUAGUUCUUUAAGUCUUGAAUUGCCUUGUCGCAUUCGGCAGUCCAUGUGAUAUGUUGUUUGCCCCCUUUCAAGGCUUUAAAGAGCGGUACGCACUUAUCGGUAGCCUUGGAAAUGAAGCGUGUUAAUGCCACGACUCGCCCGGUGAGGCUCUGAAUGUCCUUCUGUGUCUUUGGCAUUUCCAUGUCGAUUAUGGCCUUGAUUUUCUCAGGAUUUGCUUCGAUCCCUCUCUGACUGAUCAUGAAACCAAGAAACUUACCCAAAGACACACCAAAGGCGCACUUCAUUGGGUUUAGUCUCAUUCGGUAAUCCUUAAGUAUACCGAACAUGAGGGCUAGGUUGUCUAGGUGCUCCCCUGCCGUUCGGCUUUUCACCAACAUAUCGUCGACGUAUACUUCCAUGUUGCUGCCGAUAUGUUUGGCGAAAAUUCGGUUAACAAGCCUUUGGUAUGUUGCCCUCGCAUUCUUUAGGCCGAACGGCAUGACAUUGUAACAGUAUAAUCCACGGUCAGUGAUAAAUGCCGUAUGCUCGCUAUCGGCAGGGUUCAUGAAUAUCUGGUUGUAUCCCGAAUAGGCGUCCAUAAAGCUCAGCAGCUCGUGACUGGCAGUUGCGUCCACGAGCUGGUCGAUCCGGGGUAACAGGAAGCUAUCCUUCGGGCAGGCUUUGUUCAGGUCAGUAUAGUCUUGGCGCAUUCGCCACCCGCCUUUCGCCUUGCGUACCAUUACCGAGUUUGCUAGCCAGAUAGGGUACGUUGCUUCCCUGAUAAGGCCAAUGGCUUUUAGUUUGUCAACCUCGGUACGCAUGGCUUCGUACCGUUCGGCAUCGUACGAACGACGCUUCUGUCUCACAGGUUUAUAGGCGGGAGAGAUGCUGAGCUUGUGGCUGAUGACCUCAGGGGAUAUGUCUCGCAUGUCAUCAUAAGACCAGGCGAAAACCUCGGCAUGGUGCCGUAGGAACUCGAUAAACUGCGUUCGGAGAAACGGGGCAAGUGUGGUGCCGAUCGUGACGCACCGAUCAGGUUGCCCUUCGUUCAGUAUCACCAUUUCUAGUUCUUCGGCGGGUUGUGCCUGUGGUGUUGGGGUUUCGUCCCUGGGGUCGUAAAUGGGCCCGUUACCGUUCGGUGCCCCCAAGACAGACAUGGUCUCCUUGGGAGGUUUAGUGGCUACUGACCUUAGUGCCGUCGCAUAGCAUGUUCGUGCACUGAGUUGAUCUCCUCUGACAGCACCUAUGCCGUUGUACGUUGGGAAUUUCAUCAACAACAUAUGGGGGGACAUGUGUGCCUUGAUUCUGGUAAGCGUCGUUCGUCCGACUAUGACGUUAUAUGCCGUUGGGCAGUUGACGAUAAGAAAUUGGUCAUAUGUCAUUGUUUUCCAAGGGGCAACACUGAAGGCGAUGGGUAGACUGACACUGCCGACUGGCUGGACCAGAUCCCUGGAGAAACUAAGUAGUGGUGUUAUCUGCCGAUUGACCUGGCUAUCGGCUACUCCCAUUCCUCUGAAAGCAUCGGCGAAAAUUACAUUUACCGAACUCCAGUGUCGAUCAGUACCCGUCCCACAUCGUAGUCAGCGAUUUCAACUCGAAUGAUCAUUGGGUCAUCAUGGGGGUAAAUGAUCCCUUCUUUCUCUUCACAAAAUGUGAUGGGUUUCCACCCUACCUUUGGAACCUUGCGGUGUCGAUCAGCCUCUAUGCCGAAGACUUGAGGGUAGUGCGCAGCCCGUUUAUAUUGUUUUACCGAUCGAUUGGACAUACCCGCCAGUGUGGGACCUCCACUGAUGGUGAUGAUCAUGUUGAUCUGUCGAUUCCCGUUCGGCACCGGUGCUUGCCGUAGUCUGGCGAUGUACUGAUCCAGCUUCCCUUCACGAAUUAGAUGUUCGACGAUUUUCCUCAGGCUUAUGCACUCUUCAGUGUCAUGACUGUUGUGCUGGUGGUAUCGGCAGAAUUUGCCGGUAUCCCGAUUGUCCUGUCGAUUGGGCUUUCGACGGUUCGGCUUGGGUAUUAUCUCAUUUUCGUUCAUCAAAACGACCUCGUAGGUGGUAUUCAGCAGGGUGAAUACUUCCUGACCGUGGUCGUAAUUCGGUAAGGGCGCCCGGUGGUCAUUGUGACCGUAUUGUCCUUUUCCUUUCUUUGAGUGCCCCUGUCGAGCAUCUCGGUCAUCUUUCCGUUUGUUCCCUGUCGAGAAUUCUCCAGUUCUUUUAGGGGCGUACGAAGAUUCUUUCCCGAGGUAACUCUUCAACGCUGGUUCUUCCUGCUGCGCUGAAGGCCCGGACUUUGAGUUGAAAUACUCGACCUUGCAUGAAUUGCCGCUUGCUUCAUCAGUUCGUCAUAGGUGGGCCAGUUGCUACUGUGCACAAGGUACCGAAAGUGUGAGGACCGAAUGCCACUCUUGAAGGCGCCGUAGGCGGCCUUGUCAUCCGUUUCCAGACACCUCGAGUAUUCGUGACUGAAAUGUGCACCAUAUUCUCUCAAGGGCUCAUCUGCUCUUUGCCGAAUCGUGUACAGAUCAUCGGCAGAAUAUAGACGGUCCGUUUGAAUCAUAAAGUGGAUAAGAAAAAUCUGCUUUAACUCGUCGAAGGAGUCUAUCGUUCCCGACUCCAGACGUUAGAACCAAUUUAAUACCGCCCCCGUAAACUCGGACGGGAACAGCAGGCAUUGCCCUUCAUCGCUGAGUCCCUUGCACCCUAUCGUUGAUUUGAAGGAAUGGAGAUGCGUUAAGGGGUCUUCCACCCCGGUGUAGAAUGGCAUACGUAGAGGCUGUAUGUCUCUGUCAUGCCGUGACUGUUUGAUUCGUUUGGUAAAUGGUCUUGACCGAAGCUUUCCCCAGUCCGGUUCCUGAGAAUGAACUUGGUCGUUUUUCAUCUUCUGGACUUUCUGGAAAAGGAGUCGGACGACGGGAUCUCGGCUAGGUAUUUCAUGGGAGCCAUAGUCCUCCGAACGUCUUUAUGGGCUUACCGGCGUGGCCUCCGAGUACCUUGUUGGUGUUGCCGAACUGUAGGUAGAGUCGCUGGUAUUAGAAGGAACAUACUCAGAGUCUGAUUCGGCGGUGGAUUGUAAGCCCCGAACCUUCUGAAUCGAUGACUUACCUCCCAAAACCUUUAAUCGUGAGUCUCGGAGCCGAGCAUUGAUUCUCAUCGGAGAUCGCUGUAUGUCGACCUCCUUGUCGUUAAGACGAUGACAACAAUCCGCAUAAACUUUCUUCGGUAGAUAGGGCUGAUCUCUGGGUGCCGGAACUACUAACUGCUUGGAAGGCGCAGAUGUUGCCUUUGCCCCUUUUCUGCCGACUAGGAGUCUGCAAACUUUGGGAAGAUUGGGUGGUUUGGAUAUUCUGCAUUUGCUGUUGAUUGAGCAACUGCUGGGUUUCGUCCACUUUAGACGAGAGAAGUGAUUUGGCACAGAAGCUUGGCUUCAGUGGAGGUUUGAAUCACGGGUGAAUUACCGAAAUGAGUGCAAGGGGGCAGUGCGAGGCUUGCUCUGCUUUGCCUUCCGAACGGUAAUCCAUCUUCCGACAAGAACGUUGGUACUGAAGUGGUCCCCAUGUGUUCUAGGGAUAGUGGGUCGAUUCUUCUCGUUUCCCACAUACGGCGCUAAACUGUUGAUGCGUAAAAAUGGUUCGGCACUUUUCCUGCUCAACUUAGUGAUGUUGGGCCUUCGGUAUGCUCCUGGCCUCGGUAGAGCGCGUGAUCUGUAGUAUAACAAAUGCUCGGCAAGACCUAGGACACCGGUGUGGUACUGGCCGAAGGCUCUCUGAUGCUUAAAUAAGUACGGAUUUAGUAAACUUGAACUGACAGAUCAAUAGGCAGUAUGCCGUAAGUUCUGAUUACCUAUCUUUUGGAGAAUUGUGCUCCUCUUAUAAGGCUUGAGAGGUGUGCUAGUUGAGUAGAUUUCCGAUGUGGGACUGUGGACAUCGAUUGUGGGCUUGUCACGUGUCCUGAAGCAGGAGGUUGCCCUAAUCAAUGAAAUGGGGGAGAAGAAAUUGGUGGGAGGUUUUCUUUUUCUCUAUUUGAUUUUGUUACAUUUUCCUUAUUUUUUUUAAUACUAUACCUUGUAAAAUUUCAAAUGUACUCUUAUAUUUGACGGGCAUUUGGAUGGUACUGUGAAAAAACUAACGGCAGGAGUGAAAUUGGCAAAUAAAUUUAAUACAAUGGCUAAAUUGGUUGAAAAAUUAAUUAAGGAUGGAGAUUCGACAAGCGUGAUAGUUCAAGGGAGAUUCGACAAUUUACCUUUAAAAAAACUUAAAAAUUUGCCUUGAACAUUUGUUAUCUACUAUCAUCUGCAUUUUUUAUGCGCGCCAUAUUAAUCAUUCUUUCUCCUUUGUGGUUGUGGAUUAGGACAAAACAUUGUGCCAAUCCCCUUGCAAUAUGAAUCUUCAUUGGAUAUUUGUUUAAUCAAAUUUACUCAAUUAGCCUCUUUAUUUAAUUAUUUCUCUUCCCAGAUAUUUAGUACGUUGUAAAUGUUGUCUCUUGUGAAUGCGAGCGUAUAUCUUAACGUCUUAGUAACUUUUUGAGUAUGCUAUCGAUUUUAGGCUAUUAAUAGUGCUUGGAAAGAAGCAUGCGCAUCCACAACUCCGAACACGGUUGUGAUAGCAAAAGGAAACUACAUGGCUGGUCCAGUUGUAAGAUCCCACAUCAACCAACGGAGAGGGGGUGAUGUGUUUUAUAUGUGCACACCCGCAUCCAUCUAGCACGAGGCCUUUUGGGAGCUCACUGGCUUCGGAGUCGUAGGAACUCCGAAGUUAAGCGAGUUGAGGGCUAGAACAAUCCCAGCAUGGGUGAUCCACUAGGAAGUUGCUCGUGACCUCCCAGAAACAAAACCGUGCGUGCAGAGAGGGGGGCCCAAAGCGGACAAUAUCGUGCUACGGCGGAGCCGAUCCCGGGAUGUGACAAUUUGGUAUCAGAGCCACUUUGCCAUGUGGUGCGAGUGUGCCAACGAGGACGUCUGGCCCUUAAGGGAGGUGGAUUGUAAGAUCCCACAUCAACCAACGGAGAGGGGGUGAUGUGCCUUAUAUGUGCACACCCGCAUCCAUCUAGCACGAGGCCUUUUGGGAGCUCACUGGCUUCGGAGUCGUAGGAACUUCGAAGUUAAGCGAGUUGGGGGCCAGAGCAAUCCCAGGAUGGGUGACCCACUAGAAAGUUGCUCGUGAGCUCCCAGAAAUAAAACCGUGAGGGCCAGAGAGGGGGGCCCAAAGCGGACAAUAUCGUUCUAUAGCGGAGUUGAUACCGGGAUGUGACAAUUUGGUGUCAAAGCCACUAUGCCGUGUGGUGCGAGUGUGCCGACGAGGACGUCGGGCCCUUAAGGGGGGUGGAUUGUAAGAUCCCACAUCAACCAACGGAAAGGGAGUGAUGUGCCUUAUAUGUGCACACCCGCAUCCAUCUAGCACGAGGCCUUUUGGGAGCUCACUAGCUUCAGAGUCGUAGGAACUCCGAAGUUAAACGAGUUAGGGGCCAGAGCAAUCCCAGGAUGGGUGACCCACUAGGAAGUUGCUAGUGAGCUCCCAGAAACAAAACCGUGCGCGCAGAGAGGGGGCCUAAAGCGGACAAUAUCGUGCUAUGGCGGAGCUCAAGUCACAAGAUGGUUGGGUCGUUUUCCAAAAUAUUGAUGGGUUAAUAGUCUCAGGAGGUGGCACUUUUGAUGGCCAAGGAUCAAUAGCUUAAUCCAAAAAUGAUUGUGCGAAAACAGGAAAAUGCAACUCACUGCCUAUAGUAAGUUUUUUAAAUUUGAAGUGCACGUUUUUUUUUAUCAAUCUUGUGAGCUAGAAACGGAGGCUAACAAAUAUAAUUUGCUCAAUUGGGUUCCUUGAAUGCAGAACAUAAGAUUCACAGGGCUCACCAAUUCACACAUUCAAGACAUAACAUCUUUGAACAGCAACCUGUUUCACAUAAACGUCUUAAGCUGCAAAAAUGUGACACUUCAACAUGUGAUCAUCACCACCCCCUGGUGAAAGUCCAAACACAGUUGGAAUCCACAUAGACGGUUGACAGAGAUUUUCGAACACCUGAAAAAGAGUAUCCAAAAAUCUCAAAUUAAAUUACUUGCAAGCGAGGAGAGACGUGCGUCAAAUAUUAGGGUUUGGAUUUUCCACGUUCAACUGUCAUCCCCCUCAUAAUGGAAGAUGUCUACAACUUUUACAAAUAUUAAUGAGUCGAUCACCACCUAAAUAAUAUACACGGUAGAAGUUGCACGAAAACAUCGUCACUACUACAAAAAGUGAAAAAGACGACUAGAAAAUAACGACGGUCUAAGUGAAAACCGUCAUGGUUUUUAAAAAGACGACGGUUGUAAAAACACCGUCGUGUAAUACAACCUUAGACAACUAAAAAAUGGAGAUUCAAAUGGCUAUUCAAAAACAACGACGUACCUAAUUAAACAACCGACGUCUAUUUGAAACAGAUUUCCGCAGUGUAAAAUCAAUGCCAACAAAGAACGGCAGAAGUUAUGAAUCGACCGACGUAGAAAGUAAAGACGACGAUUUCAAUAAAAACCGCCGUUUUUACUCAUAAAAUAACACGACGAGGUUUUCGUAUAAGACGCCGUAUAAUUACAAACAAAUCCACGGCUUUAAAAUACAAAAUAUCGCCGUAUUAAAUUAAUGUACAACGACGGAAAAUAUAAAUAUAUCGACGUCAUUCUCGUAUAGUUCUACGACGUUAUCUUUAAAUCGUACAAUAAAAUUUAACGUCGUAUUUAUUCAUUUUAUACGUCGUACCUUUAAUUUAAACCGUCGUCUUAAUAAGAAUUUUUGUUAACAAUUUUUUUCUUUGAUUUUCUUAUCCUACGUCGGUAGAUCUACUUAAUGACAAGAAUUGAAAUAACCACGACGGUUUAUAUAGAAGACCGCCGACAUAAUCAGAUUUGUCUAAGAUCCCAAGGGUUACGAAAUCUUACCAGAUGGAACUCUGUUCCACAUCAUAAUCUUAACAGAUGACACAGAUUUGCAAUCAGAGAGACAAUUUUUUGGAAGUUGAUGAUGUGUGUGCGUUUGUGUAUCUACAAAUAUUAUACCUAACGUCGUUGCAAAUUUGCAAUCAGAGAGACAAUUUUCAACGACGGUUAUAUUAUACCUAACGACGUUUAAAAAACAAAUCAACGUCGCUCAACAAAUAUAUUACGUCGUCUUAGUCUCACUUAAGACGACGAAAAACGACGACAGUAAUACAAAAACAGUCGUUGUUUUUAUAUUCUUAUUUUAUUUAAAUCUGUAAUCCAAAAAAGAAACUUUACAUAUUCCAGAACAUUAAUUUCCUUCAUUUUAAAUUUUCUCCGGAAAAAAAAACUCUAUUUAUAACGCAUUGUAAUUGAAAAAUAAACUGAAAGGUCACGGGAAAAAAAAUUCUAUUCAUAAUUUAAAAAUUCAAAUCCACGUCGGUUAUAUUAAACCUAACGACGUUAAAUGAAAAGAUUCCACGUCGCAAAACAAAUAUUGCGUUGUGUUAGUUAAAAACGACGGCAUAACAAAAAACCGUCGUUGUUUCAAACUGAAUUAAUUUAAAAUUUCUUCGGGAAAGCAAAAUCUAUUUAUAAUUUCCUCGGGUUAGUAAUAUUGCGUCGUGUUAGUUUACAAAUUCUAGAACAUUAAUAUCCCUCAUUUUAAAUUUCCUCGGGAAAGAAAAAUCUAUUUAUCACGCUUUGUAAUUGAAAACUAAAACUGAAAGAAUUCGGGAAAAAAAAAAUCUAUUUAUAAUUAUAAAAAAAAAUCCACGUCGGUUGUAGUACACUUAACGACGUUUAACAAAAUAAUAUACGUCGGUAAUUAUAAAUCUACCGCCAUCUUACCUUAAUAUAGACGACGAGAAAAGACGACGGUAGAAAAGAAAACCGCCGUUGUUUCAGUUUCUUUAACAGUUUGGUCCUUCAUCUUUCUGCAGGACUUGUAUAGUUCAAAGCAUUGACAAUGUCUUCAUCAUAUCUCCCAGCAACUACUGAUUCGAUUGCUCAUGCUUUAGAGGCCAUCUGAAGCCAUUUCUAUUCUUUAUCGCAUUCUUGAAACCCAUCUUCUUCUUCUGAAGCUCUACGGAUAAAGGAAGAGGCUAUCACAAAUCUGACGGAUCUUCUUAGCCAAGAAAAUCAAGCAGAUUUCCCUGAGAAGCGAACUUUCCUUCGACAGCGAGUGGAGGUCAGGCUUGCAUCUCUUUUGAUGAAAAGCAAGGAGUAUUCAGAAGCACUAAGUGUCCUAUCAGGCUUGAUCAAGGAAGUGAGAAGGCUAGUUGACAAGCUUCUUCUUGUGGACAUAUAUUUGAUGCGAGUAAGCUCAAUUUCUCUUUGAGAAAGACAUCCAAAUUAUUGUCUUUGAGACGUGAGAGACAGUGUCUCUGAGAGAGGAAGAACUUGGAAUCCUAAAUGUAAACCGAAAAUGAAUGAAAGCGACAAAUUUAUAGAAUAAAUUUUUAAAACCAACGGCGGUCAUUACAAAAAAACCGCCGUUUAAAUUGUAAAAUCAACGUCGGUAUGACCGACGUAUAUUACAGAAAUCCACGUCGGUACAUUAAAAAAAAUGACGUGUUAAAUAAUCUACCAUGACGCGAGUUAUUACUUAUGUACUUUAAUUUUUGAGUUUACUACGACGGUACCUACAACACUACUGUCGUAUUUAUUUACCACGUCCGAAGUUAAAUGUACCGUCGUAUUUUGUAAUUUAUACGUCGUAGUUAUAUGUAACCGCCGUAUUAUUUUUUUGAAAUGGUUUUAUAUGUAAGCAACUUUUCGUCUACCUGACAUACACAUGCGCUGUUUCCAAACCCGAUUAAAAAUUUCAAUCUCCCAGAGAAAACUUUUAGACUUUUUUCCUUGUCAGAGCACUGUCAGAGUAUCUCAUCGUCUUCCUCUCGUCUUCUUCAUUGUCUCUGAACUUAAACAUAAUCUUCCUCUUGCUUUCAUUGCACGCAAAAGGUAAGCUUUCAUUUUCACUAUUUUGGUUGCUGUUUUGCAUGCUCAUACGUUUUUUGUUUGAAAAAUCUUUUUACCUUUUUUCUGGCCAAAAUCAUUUUACUUCUUUCCAAGUUCGAUAAAAUAUACAGACAAAGAGGGAAAGUUUCCAAUUUUGAAGACAACUACCUCAACUAAAUAAGACGACGGUAGCUUCUUAUUUACGUGGUUAAAUAUGUAGACCACGACGGUUCGUCAGUCGUUCUAGCGUCGUCUGAAAAUUGACAAAGUUGUUUUUAAAAUUAUAGUCUUUUUUUUGGCUUGCUUGUUUAAUUGCAGGUUUGAUUUCUCUGAACAAUGGUUUUUGUUUUUCCCUAAUUUGAUAAAAUAUAAAGAAAAAGAAAGUAGGGUUGGUAUCUAAUAUAGACGACAGUAUCUUAUUGUUUUACGUCGUGUGAAUGUUAAUACCACGACGUCAUAUUAAAAUACCGUCGUCUAUAUAAGAUUCCAAAACUUUCUUUCUUGGCCUUGUAUUUUAUCAAAUUAGAAAACAAAAACCAUGGUUUAGAAAAAUCAAAUCUGCAAUCAAACAUUCACAGAGAAAGAAAGAAGGGUUUUGGAUCCUUAUAUAGACGACGGUAUAUUACUAUUGACGUCGUGUGAACAUAAAUACCACGACGUUAUAUAAAUAUUUCGUCGUUUAUAGUUAAUUAUCACGUCGUUUAUAAGUUAUUAUUACGUCUUGUUUUAUAUUAUUUCAUCGUUGUUUAAUUACCUUGGUUUUAAACAUUUAUUACGUCUGAGAUUAUUUCAUUGCGUCGUUUAAAAUCAUAUCAUACGUCGUAUUUUAUUAAUAACCGUCGUUUGUGUUCUUAAUCUUUUCCUGAAAUAUUUUCACUUGCAGUUUUGUNNNNNNNNNNNNNNNNNNNNNNNNNNNNNNNNNNNNNNNNNNNNNNNNNNNNNNNNNNNNNNNNNNNNNNNNNNNNNNNNNNNNNNNNNNNNNNNNNNNNNNNNNNNNNNNNNNNNGCUUCAUCAUCUGCUGAGACAGAACCAACCAGCACGACAACAAUCUCUGAUGAUUCAAAGUCUGGUCGAGGUAUGAGCACAAUGCCUCGUGUUGUGAAGAGAAAACUUCAGAAACUCAGGCCAAUUGUUGAGUACAAUAAAAGGGGGAAAGGAAUUGGCCAAGCACAUAGUGAGAUGCAGUCCUACAUUGGUGUGUUGGCACGCUCCAGAGUUCCACUUGUGGACAUGAAAUGGGCUCAAAUCCCCAAGGAUAUAAAGGAGCAGAUUUGGGAAGCAGUUGACAUUGCUUGUGUGGUAGGUCAAGGGGGCAAGAACUCUGUGUUAGCUUCUGCUGCCAAGAAAUGGAAGGAUUUCAAGUCUACACUAACGAGGCAUUAUAUCCUUCCAUACACCAAUGACAAGGAGAGAUUAAGCUAACCCCCUGAAACAUAUAAAUUCAUAGAGAAAGCACAAUGGGAUGCCUUUGUAGCUUCAAGGUUAUCCAAAGAUUUUGAGUCUGUGCAUUCUCAACAUGCACAGAUUAGGGAGAAACUUGAGUACAAUCAUCGAUUGUCUCGAAAAGGAUAUGCUGGUUUGGAGGAUCAAUUGGAGGAAACCAUGCCUGGGGUAGAAAUUGAUCGAUCUACCUUAUGGAAGAGAGCUAGACAGGACAAACAUGGUAACAUCCCGGAUCCAAAGGUGGCAGAGAAAGUAAAAUUAAUUGUAAGCCUACUCACUCUGUUUUAAAUUUUUAUUAAACUGUGAAUAAUUCUUAUUACGUCUUAUGUUAUAUUUUGUGUCGUGUGAAUGAUAUUACCACGUCGAAAUUUUUUAAAAAACGUCGUUAAAGGUCUAAAUCAGGAAUCACUACUCUGUUUUCUGUAAUUAUAGCAUAAGAUGUCGGUGGUUCAUUUUCGCGUCGUUUGUAUUAAAUUACUACGUCGAAAUGUUUUAAACAAGGUCGUUAAAGGUGUGAAUAUUGAAUCAUCCCUCUGUUAUCUGUAAAUAAAGCAUAAGACGUCGGUGGUUUAUUCAUUUCGUCGUUUUAAAAAACUAACCACGUCGGCAUAACUACCGUCGUGAUAAAUUAUAAUAACGUCGAUUUAUAUGUUACUGUGUCGUCUGAAAUUAUAUAAUACGUCGUUUGUAUAUAAAUAACCGUCGUGUGUUUUUUGUUCUUACUUUUUUAUAUAUCUUUGUUUUAGGAUGAAUUACAAAAGCAAGUCUCGGAAGGCAAAGUCACUGUAUCUGGCAGCAAUGAUGUGCUGACCAUGGCUUUGGGCCCCGAGCAUCCAGGCAGAGUGAGAGGGGUAGGUGCUGGGAUUUCCCCAAGGCAGUAUUUCAAUUUACCCAAACCACAAAGGAUGAGCUUUGACGACCGUUUAAAGGACAGUUUAAGAAUUCUCCUUCAAGAAGAGAAUAAAAAGAUGGAGGCUAAGGCAAGGGAAGAGGCUUUAAGGAUGGAGGCUAGAACCAAGCAAUUGGUAGAGGCUGAGAGGGAGCAUUUCCUGAGUCAGCCUUCCCAAUUAAUUCCCAAUUUUGAUCCAAGCAUGCUUAAACCAAGAAUUAGCCAAAGUCCCAAAAAUUCAAUGUCUGACAAAGCAAGCUGCUCUGGAGGUGAUGUGAGAUCCCUACAUUUUGAGGAUGAUACUGCCAAAAAUGGGAAACAUCAGGAAGAAAAGGUAACAUAUCUGAACUUUGAAUUCUCUGUUUUUUUAAAAACUAUUAGACGUCGUUAUUUUUAAUAAAACCGUCGUUUGAAAUACAUACCACGACGUUUUAAAAAUAAACCGUCGUUUGUAUUUCAAUACCACGUCGUAUUUAGUUUACUUGUUUUACACGCCAUUAAACGUCGUUAUUUUUAAAACUUUGUGGUUUUUAGACGACGGGGUUAGUCAUUCCCGACGUAAUAGAUGAAGAGAAGAAAGAAGAAAAAAAAGAUGAAAAGGAGAAAGAAGAUGAAGAAAAGCAUGACGACCAGGUAUGUUCAUAUAACUUUGCCUGUUUUAUUUGUUUUUCAAAAUUUCAGACGUCGAUAUUUUUCUUUAAACCGUCGUUUGUUUACAACUUAGACGGCGGAAUUUUGUUUAAGACGUAAUAAAUUAUUCACCACGACGGUUUUUUCGCCGUCGUUUAAAUUCUUUUCAGACGACGUUUUGUUCCUUAAACCGUCGUUUUUAUUGAAUUACCACGUCUUUUUUUUUAUUUCUUUAAACAGGUUUUUGAAGUUGUUGAUUAUUCAAAUAUGGAGGCGCCAUCUUCUUUAAAAUCCCUUUGUCGUUAUGUGGAAACGACACUCGUGCCUCAAGAUAAGACCCUGAACUUUACAAUUGAUAAGGAGGUGUUUGGUCUAGAGCGCGAUACUUUCCUCCUGCCUGAAGAUAUUACACAAUUUGCAGGCAUGGAAGAAAUAGGAGCUACGGUCAUUGCUGUAUAUAUGAGGUUUGUCAUUCUAAAAUAACCACGUCGUUAGUAUGUACCGUCGUUAUUGCGUCGGCUUAACUAACUAACCACGUCGUUAGUAUGUACCGUCGUGAUAAAUACAUUAUAACGUCGUUGUCUAUUUAAGUACGUCAUGUGAAAUUUUAUAAUACGUCGUUUUGUUAUACAUAACCGUCGUGUGUUUUUUUGUGCUGACUUGUUUAUAUUAUUUUAUAUAUUUAGGUACUUACACGAUGUUUUGAAACAAGCAAAUAUGUGCAGCAUGGUAGGCUUUAUCGACCCUGCUACAGUUAGUGCCAACUCUGGCACAAUAGCUGACAGAUCACGCCUGGUAGCAGCUCGACUUCAGAGGACUGACGGUGAACAGAUUUUCAUGAUGCCUUACAAUCCAGGGUUAGUCUCCUUAACAGGAUUUUGUUUUUAUGAUUUUCAAUAAAUGACAGCGUAUAAACUAACCACGUCGGUGUUUUAUUUUAUUGAGUCGUUUGAAACUACUAACCACGUCGGUAGUUAUUUAUCGUCGUGAUAAAUAUAUAAUGUCGUCGAUUGCUACUUUAUUUCGUCGUGUGAAAUAUUAUAAUACGUCGUUUUUGUAAAUAACCGUCGUUUUUAUAUUAAUUUUGUGCAGCCGUCAUUGGAUCUUGCUGAUUGUGAGACCAAAGAGGGAAACCGUCUAUUUUCUGGAUCCUCUGCCAGGAAAUCGUGUGGUCGAUGAAGAGGCCAAAAACAUCGUGAACAGUGCUAUAAAAAUUUAUAAUUCUCACAUUGCCAGAUCAGGCCGUAAGGCAGUAAUUUGGAAACUCUGUCUGGCACACGAAAGCAACCCAGCAGUGUCGAAUGCGGGUAUUAUGUGAUGCGCUUCAUGAGGGACAUCAUCAUGGAUCCUUCCUUGGCGUUUGAGAAGAAGGUAAGAAGAAAUUACCUUCAUACAUUUUACGUCGUUUUUUGUAUUAUCAAUGAUGGUCAUGUAAAAUUACCGUCGUUGAAUAGAUAUACUACGUCGGUUAUGAAAAAUAUCGUCGUCUGUGAUUGAAUUUCUUUUUAUUUAUAAACCCUAAUAGUCAUUGUUUAUGCAGUAUGCCAAGGGAAAACAGGAAGCGCCAUACCCCCAAGAAGCAAUUGAUGAAGUCCGGAAUGAAUGGGCAGAGUUUGUUUGCCUUCACUUGGAAUAGGGGAAUUAUUGAACACUUGAUAUUUAUGUAUAAUGUACAAAUUUUGUCUAUAAUAUAUAAUGUAAAAAUUUGUUGUGGUUUUCUUAAAUUAAAAAAAAAACAAACAUACAAAUUGCGUAACCGACGUGUAAUACAUUUCCAACGACCUAAUAAAGUCAAAAACCGUCGUUUUUUGUUGUUUCGUUUUAAACAAAUCCGACGUAAAAUGAUAUUUAGACGACGUUCUUUGAACAAUUGAGUCGUUUAUGGUUUACAACGUCUUCAAUUUCUUAAGGGUUCAGGGUAGUACUUUGUAACGACAGCGGUUAAGUCCUGGAAUAUAUAUUUUACGUCGGAUAGUUAAAUAUCCGCCAUGGUUUCUCAUUUAAACGACGUCAUUUUAACAACUUAGUCGUCUAUUAAAAUUUACAACGUCUACAAUUUAUUAACACCGACGUGGUUUGUUGUUGUGAUAAGAAUAUUUUAUUAUUUUUAUAUCAAAAUAUUCAAAAUAAAUUUAAAAUAAAUCAGAAAAAUCCAAAGUCAACUCCUAUGAAGUCAUUGAUAUAUUUUCUUCCCCCUAAACCUUGAAAAAAUUCAUUUUGAAUAACAAAAAUUUAAAAUGACCAUCCAAAAUAAAAUUGUUUUGAUGAGUCAUAAAAUCACUUCUAGUUUUAUGGUUUAGGGUUUAGAGUCUAGGGUUUAGAGAUUAGGGUUGUUAUUUAUUGGGGUUUAUUUUUAAAGUAUAAUUUUUGGGUAGUCUAGGAUAUAUAUUAGGCUGUAAAACCAUAAACCCUUUUAUAAACUUAAUUUUUAAAAUUAUAUAAUUUAGUUUUAAGGGUUUAGGGUAUUAAUUUUUAACGACGGUGGUUGAGUCGUGGAAUACAUAUGUUACGUCGUGUAGUAAAAUAUCCGACAUGGUUUAUUCUUUAAACGACGUCAUUUUAAUAUGUAAGUCGUCUAUUAUAAUUUACAACGUUUUCAAUUUCUUAACCCCGGCGUGGUUUUUCAGUCGUCUUUAUAUCAAAAUAUUCAAAAUUAAUUUAAAAUUAAUCCGAAAAAUGAAGCGUCAAAAUAAACGGCGUUACGUUCAGUGUUUCCGUCGUGGAAUAUUACAUUUACGUCGGUUCUUGUAGAACUUUCACCAUGGUUUUUCUUUCGACGUUUUAAAGAGCGCGCUCUCUAAAAAUUUUCGCGCGCCCUAAAUUUUUUAGAUUUGCUCUUAUUCUUAUACUUCUAACCCUGAACCCUAAAAUUUUCAGAUUUCGCGCAACAUAACAUUUCGCUCUCUCACUUCUGCUCUAAUUAAAAGUUGCACUCUCCAGGCUCCGUCGAAUCUGUGAGCUCGUCCAACCUGUAAGUACAAACCCUAUCUUCCCCUUGUAAAUUCAUUGAAUGAUAUUAGGUUGUUUUGUUAAAGGGUUUUAGGUAUAUGCUUUGCGAUCUGUUAAUAAUGUGCUUAUAGGUAUGGGUUCAUGGAUUUUCUGUUUAAUGGGUUCAUGGAUUACAUUAUCUGUUAUAUUGAAUUGGGAAUGGAUUUAAUUUUGUCGGAUCUUUUAAUCACCCUAUGUUAUGUUGAAUUGGGAAUGGAUUUAUUGUUUUCAUGCUUGGUUUCAUGUAUAUGUUGGUUUCUUGCUUGGUUUCAUAUAUAUGUUGUGUUCUUAAUGAGUUUUGGGUUCUUGAAAAUAAACUGAGACACGACGCCUUUUUAGGCAUACGACGACGAUUACACGACGGUUUAUGAAAAAACCGUCGUUGUAUUACUUAUACACGACGGUUUUUUCAUAACCCGUCGUUUGUAUUACUUAUAUUAGACGACGUCUGUUGAAAAUCCGUCGUCUAUAUAUGCCAAAUACGUCUGUUUUUGUUUAAAACCCGUCGUCUCUGUUGUGUAUUACUUGCUAUUAGAUCAUUGUAUAAUCUGCUAUAGUGAUGGUCAUUGCCAGUAUUUUCACUUUAUUAUAGAUAAUAGGUUAUAGUCUCGGAGAUGGAUAAGUCAUGGAUGCACUCCGAUAGAAGAUCGCANNNNNNNNNNNNNNNNNNNNNNNNNNNNNNNNNNNNNNNNNNNNNNNNNNNNNNNNNNNNNNNNNNNNNNNNNNNNNNNNNNNNNNNNNNNNNNNNNNNNNNNNNNNNNNNNNNNNNNNNNNNNNNNNNNNNNNNNNNNNNNNNNNNNNNNNNNNNNNNNNNNNNNNNNNNNNNNNNNNNNNNNNNNNNNNNNNNNNNNNNNNNNNNNNNNNNNNNNNNNNNNNNNNNNNNNNNNNNNNNNNNNNNNNNNNNNNNNNNNNNNNNNNNNNNNNNNNNNNNNNNNNNNNNNNNNNNNNNNNNNNNNNNNNNNNNNNNNNNNNNNNNNNNNNNNNNNNNNNNNNNNNNNNNNNNNNNNNNNNNNNNNNNNNNNNNNNNNNNNNNNNNNNNNNNNNNNNNNNNNNNNNNNNNNNNNNNNNNNNNNNNNNNNNNNNNNNNNNNNNNNNNNNNNNNNNNNNNNNNNNNNNNNNNNNNNNNNNNNNNNNNNNNNNNNNNNNNNNNNNNNNNNNNNNNNNNNNNNNNNNNNNNNNNNNNNNNNNNNNNNNNNNNNNNNNNNNNNNNNNNNNNNNNNNNNNNNNNNNNNNNNNNNNNNNNNNNNNNNNNNNNNNNNNNNNNNNNNNNNNNNNNNNNNNNNNNNNNNNNNNNNNNNNNNNNNNNNNNNNNNNNNNNNNNNNNNNNNNNNNNNNNNNNNNNNNNNNNNNNNNNNNNNNNNNNNNNNNNNNNNNNNNNNNNNNNNNNNNNNNNNNNNNNNNNNNNNNNNNNNNNNNNNNNNNNNNNNNNNNNNNNNNNNNNNNNNNNNNNNNNNNNNNNNNNNNNNNNNNNNNNNNNNNNNNNNNNNNNNNNNNNNNNNNNNNNNNNNNNNNNNNNNNNNNNNNNNNNNNNNNNNNNNNNNNNNNNNNNNNNNNNNNNNNNNNNNNNNNNNNNNNNNNNNNNNNNNNNNNNNNNNNNNNNNNNNNNNNNNNNNNNNNNNNNNNNNNNNNNNNNNNNNNNNNNNNNNNNNNNNNNNNNNNNNNNNNNNNNNNNNNNNNNNNNNNNNNNNNNNNNNNNNNNNNNNNNNNNNNNNNNNNNNNNNNNNNNNNNNNNNNNNNNNNNNNNNNNNNNNNNNNNNNNNNNNNNNNNNNNNNNNNNNNNNNNNNNNNNNNNNNNNNNNNNNNNNNNNNNNNNNNNNNNNNNNNNNNNNNNNNNNNNNNNNNNNNNNNNNNNNNNNNNNNNNNNNNNNNNNNNNNNNNNNNNNNNNNNNNNNNNNNNNNNNNNNNNNNNNNNNNNNNNNNNNNNNNNNNNNNNNNNNNNNNNNNNNNNNNNNNNNNNNNNNNNNNNNNNNNNNNNNNNNNNNNNNNNNNNNNNNNNNNNNNNNNNNNNNNNNNNNNNNNNNNNNNNNNNNNNNNNNNNNNNNNNNNNNNNNNNNNNNNNNNNNNNNNNNNNNNNNNNNNNNNNNNNNNNNNNNNNNNNNNNNNNNNNNNNNNNNNNNNNNNNNNNNNNNNNNNNNNNNNNNNNNNNNNNNNNNNNNNNNNNNNNNNNNNNNNNNNNNNNNNNNNNNNNNNNNNNNNNNNNNNNNNNNNNNNNNNNNNNNNNNNNNNNNNNNNNNNNNNNNNNNNNNNNNNNNNNNNNNNNNNNNNNNNNNNNNNNNNNNNNNNNNNNNNNNNNNNNNNNNNNNNNNNNNNNNNNNNNNNNNNNNNNNNNNNNNNNNNNNNNNNNNNNNNNNNNNNNNNNNNNNNNNNNNNNNNNNNNNNNNNNNNNNNNNNNNNNNNNNNNNNNNNNNNNNNNNNNNNNNNNNNNNNNNNNNNNNNNNNNNNNNNNNNNNNNNNNNNNNNNNNNNNNNNNNNNNNNNNNNNNNNNNNNNNNNNNNNNNNNNNNNNNNNNNNNNNNNNNNNNNNNNNNNNNNNNNNNNNNNNNNNNNNNNNNNNNNNNNNNNNNNNNNNNNNNNNNNNNNNNNNNNNNNNNNNNNNNNNNNNNNNNNNNNNNNNNNNNNNNNNNNNNNNNNNNNNNNNNNNNNNNNNNNNNNNNNNNNNNNNNNNNNNNNNNNNNNNNNNNNNNNNNNNNNNNNNNNNNNNNNNNNNNNNNNNNNNNNNNNNNNNNNNNNNNNNNNNNNNNNNNNNNNNNNNNNNNNNNNNNNNNNNNNNNNNNNNNNNNNNNNNNNNNNNNNNNNNNNNNNNNNNNNNNNNNNNNNNNNNNNNNNNNNNNNNNNNNNNNNNNNNNNNNNNNNNNNNNNNNNNNNNNNNNNNNNNNNNNNNNNNNNNNNNNNNNNNNNNNNNNNNNNNNNNNNNNNNNNNNNNNNNNNNNNNNNNNNNNNNNNNNNNNNNNNNNNNNNNNNNNNNNNNNNNNNNNNNNNNNNNNNNNNNNNNNNNNNNNNNNNNNNNNNNNNNNNNNNNNNNNNNNNNNNNNNNNNNNNNNNNNNNNNNNNNNNNNNNNNNNNNNNNNNNNNNNNNNNNNNNNNNNNNNNNNNNNNNNNNNNNNNNNNNNNNNNNNNNNNNNNNNNNNNNNNNNNNNNNNNNNNNNNNNNNNNNNNNNNNNNNNNNNNNNNNNUGGGGGCUGAGUUAUGAGAAAUGCACGCAUGCCCCAAUGAUUGCAUCUUGUAUAGGAAGGAGUAUGAGGAUUCAACUAAUUGUCCUACUUGUGGUAUCUCAAGGUGGAAGGAAGGCAAAGAUUCAAUCUUGAAAGAGGGUGUGCCAGCGAAGGUGGUGUGGUAUUUUCCUCCAAUUCCAAGGUUUAAAAGGAUGUUUCAAUCACAUGAGACAGCUAAGAGUUUGACUUGGCAUGCUGCUAGAAAAUCAAUUGACGGUCAGAUGUCUCAUCCGGCGGAUUCCCCGUCUUGGAAACUUCUUGAUGAUAAAUGGCCUGAGUUUGGUAAUGAGCCGAGAAACUUGAGAUUGGCUCUUUCAUCUGAUGGAUUCAAUCCCCAUAGUUCUCUAAGUAGCAGAUAUAGUUGUUGGCCGGUUAUCUUAGUUACAUAUAAUCUCCCUCCAUGGCUGUGCAUGAAACGAAAGUUCAUGAUGUUAACCUUAUUGAUUUCCGGUCCUAAACAACCCAGAAAUGAUAUAGACGUCUACUUGGAGCCUUUGAUUGAUGAUUUAAAAUCUUUGUGGGAUGGGAUUAGAGGAGUGUAUGAUGCACAUAAUGGAGAAUACUUUACACUCAGAGCUGCAUUAAUAUGGACAAUUAAUGAUUUCCCCGCCUAUGGAAACUUAUCUGGUUGUGUUGUUAAAGGAUAUAAAGCUUGUCCAAUAUGCGGCGAUGAUACACCUAGUCACAGGUUGAAAAAUGGCCACAAAAUUUGUUACAUUGGGCAUAGAAAAUGGUUACCAAUCAAUCAUCCAUAUAGGAGGCAACGUGCAGCUUUUAAUGGGAAACCUGAAUAUGGCAUACCUCCCGAGCCAUUAACCGGAGAAGAAGUGCUGCAUAUGGUUGAAAAUGGUGACAGAGUUUGUUGGAAGAAGAAAUCAAUAUUCUUUGAUCUCGAGUAUUGGAAAUACCUUCCUGUGAGGCAUGCCCUAGAUGUUAUGCACAUUGAGAAGAAUGUUUGCGAUAGUAUCAUUGGUACAUUGCUGGAGAUCCCUGGAAAAAAUAAAGAUGGGAUUGCUGCUCGAUUAGAUUUAUUGAACAUGGGGGUCAAAACUGAUUUGCAACCCGAGUAUGGAGAAAGACGUACUCGUUUGCCUCCUGGGCCUUGGAAUUUGUCAAGAGCAGAGAAGAGAGAGGUUUGCAAUUCUUUCUAUGGUAUGAAGGUCCCUGAAGGCUAUUCUUCAAAUAUUAAAAAUCUUGUAUCUUUACAAGAUUCAAGACUUCUUGGCCUUAAAUCACAUGAUUGUCAUACCUUAAUGCAACAAUUGCUCCCUGUGGCAAUUCGUUCUGUUUUGGAGAAGCCUGCAAGGUAUGCAAUAACUCGUUUGUGCUUCUUCUUCAAUGCUAUAUGUGCAAAGACUGUUGAUGUUUCCAAGCUAGAUAAGUUGGAAGAAGAUGUAGUAGUUACUCUGUGUUUGCUUGAGAAGUACUUUCCCCCUUCAUUCUUUGAUAUCAUGGUUCAUCUAGUAGUACAUCUUAUCAGAGAAGUUCGUCUAUGUGGGCCAGUAUAUUUUAGGUGGAUGUAUCCGUUUGAAAGAUAUAUGAAAGUGCUGAAGGGGUAUGUUCAGAAUCGUACUCGUCCCGAAGGUUGCAUUGCUGAGCGGUAUAUAGCUGAAGAAGCGGUAGAGUUUUGUACUCAGCAUUUAUCUGAUGUUAGUACAGUUGGAGUGCCUUCAAGCCAAAAGAUGGGACUUUCAAAGCCAUUAUCAGGUUGCACAGUGAGCGUAGUUGAUCAGGACCUGUUGAAUCAAGCACAUCUAUAUGUCUUGGAGAAUACGGAGGAAGUCCUACCUUAUAUCGAGUACGUAUGAGUUUUAUUCUUUAAGUUUCCAUUUUAAAUUAUUUCUUAUGUUUAUCUUCUAUAUUUGGGACCGUAAUGCUUGAAUUUUUCGUGUCAUGUAGGCAACAUAUGAUCCACAUCAAGACUGCUUGUCCAAAAUUUAGAAAGAGAACAAAGUUGCUGCAGGAUAAGCACAAUAGCACUUUCAUUCAAUGGCUACGCUUCAAGGUAUAUGUUGUUGAAUAACAUAUUUCUCUUUUAAUUUUCUUCUUAUUUCUAUGUUAGAUUGAAUUAAGAUAUGAUUAAUUUGCAGGUUCAAAGUGAACUUGAGGAAGACAAUCAUGGCGUAUCAGAAAAUUUAAGGUGGCUAGCAGCUGGUCCAAACAUGGCAGUGCCAUUAUAUAGGAGCUAUCUUAUUAAAGGUAUUAAAUUCAAUAUCAAGGCACAAGAUGAUGUGUGGACAACUCAAAAUAGUGGAGUUUAUUUACUUGCACAUACCAUGCAAGUUGCUAGUGCCAAGGAUAAAAACUCAAUUCUCUCAAAUAUGGGUUUCUAUGGUGUCAUUCAAGAAAUUUGGGACCUUGACUACCAAAAGUUUACAAUCCCAGUCUUUAGGUGUGAUUGGAUAGAUAGUUCUGGUCUUGUAGUCGACGAACUUGGAUUUACCCUUGUAGAUUUGAGUAAAAUUGGACAUAGGAAUGACCAAUUUGUUUUGGCUUCUCAAGUCAAACAAAUAUUUUUUGUUGACGACCCGAUGCAUCGUGGUUGGUCGGGACUCGGUAGUGUUAUCAAUGCCUAAUAGAGAAUAUAAUGAUGUUAUUGGUGAUGAAGUCUUAGGUGAUGUGAUAAUUGAGUGUGAGCCAUUUACUAGAGAGAUGCCAAAUGUUGACACAUUUGAUGAACUGGUGGGUGAGUUAGGUGGUCAAAAUAUUCGAGAUGGGUGUGAAGAUAUAUGGAUUGAAUGAUGCUUAUGUAAUUGGCAGUGUAUGACAUUAAUUUUGUAAUAUAUUGUAAUGUGAUUUCUUCACUUUCUACAUUCAAAUAAAACACGACGUUAUUGUGAACCAGUUAUUCAGCAUAUUUACCGACGUCUUAAAGCAACGUAACAAUGAAGAACCACGACGCUAUUGUGAAGCAAUUAUUCAGGAUAUCACGUCGGGGAAGGAUUAAGAACCGCCACGUAAUUCAAAAUAACACGACUCCAAUCCCAUAAUACCGACGUCUAAAAAACGAGAUAUAUAAUCUGAACGUUAAAAAAUACGACGUCAUCAUACAUUUUCCACGUCGCAAGUUCUUUUAUAAACGAAGAGGAACGAAAUGAAUUCCGACGGUAAUUCAUUAUAACCGCCGUCUAAUAUCAAUUAAACGACGUUAUUUGUAAUACGGCUCUCAUCAUAAUCAACGCCGUCUAUAUGUUCUGUAAUACGGCUCUCAUUUAUUUGGAACCGACGUUGUUUAGAAGUUCAACGUCGUCUAUAUUAAUAAGUGCGUCGUGAGUAAUGAAUACAUAUAAAUACAACGUCGACUAUAUAAAUGCCACCGACGUUGUUUCGCAUUUCAACGUCAACUAUAUAAAUACGUACGUCGUAAAUAAUGACACUGACAACUAUUUCCACGUCAUCUUUUUUAGAAAAAUCGAAGUGGAAAAUUUAUUUCACGACGGUUGUUUGUAAAUAAGAGACGUAGUAAAUUUCAAUUACGUCGUCUUCUCAUGUAUUUAAAGACGUCAUAUUUUUUCUUGUCGUAAAAAUUAUAUUUCACGGCGUAGUGUUUUAGUUGUCGUCGUUUUAUGUCUAUCUUGCGGCCUUGUUCUUUUAAUAUGUGUCAUAUUUUUCCCUUUUAACGACGGUGAUUUGUUUGAGUUGGUCGUCUAUUCUCAUCCUCGACUAUUUUUUAGAACUUUAGCAGACUAAACACGUCUGUUUUUAUUUGUUUUCGACGUUGUUUUAUUUAACAACGUCUAAAUAUUUAUCGUCGUUGUUUGUUUCUGAAAAUAGGACGUAUAAAUUUUGUAAUACGACUCUCAUAUAUUUGUAACCGAUGUUGUUUCGUUGUUCAACGUCUACUCUAUAAAUACAUACGUAGUAAAUAAUGACACUGACAACUAUGUCCACGUCAUCUUUUAUAGAAAAAUCGAAGUGGAAAUUAUUUUUACGACGGCUGUUUUUAUAUGACUAUGUUAGAAAUAUUUUCAAUUACGUCGUCUUCUCAUGUAUUUAAAGACGUCAUAUUUUUUCUUGUCGUAAAAAUUAUAUUUCACGGCGUAGUGUUUUAGUUGUCGUCGUUUUAUGUCUAUCUUGCGGCCUUGUUCUUUUAAUAUGUGUCAUAUUUUUCCCUUUUAACGACGGUGAUUUGUUUGAGUUGGUCGUCUAUUCUCAUCCUCGACUAUUUUUUAGAACUUUAGCAGACUAAACACGUCUGUUUUUAUUUGUUUUCGACGUUGUUUUAUUUAACAACGUCUAAUAUUUAUCGUCGUUGUUUGUUUCUGAAAAUAGGACGUAUAAAUUUUGUAAUACGACUCUCAUAUAUUUGUAACCGAUGUUGUUUCGUUGUUCAACGUCUACUCUAUAAAUACAUACGUCGUAAAUAAUGACACUGACAACUAUUUCCACGUCAUCUUUUAUAGAAAAAUCGAAGUGGAAAAUUUAUUUUACGACGGUUGUUUUUAUAUAGGCGACGUAGUAGGUAUCAAUAACGUCGUCUUCUAAUGUAUUUAAAGACGUCAUAUUUUUUAUUGUCGUGAAAUUGAUAUUUAACGGCGUCUUGUUUUAAUUUUCGUCGUUGUAUGUCUAUCUUGCGGCCUUGUUCUGUUAAUAUGUGUCAUAUUUUUCUUUUUUAACGACGGUGUUUUUAGAGAGUUGGUCGUCUAUUCUCAUCCUCGACUGCUUUUUUAGAUCUUUUUGCAGUAUAAAGACGUCGUUUUGUAUUUGUUGAUGACGUUGUAUAUUUUAACAACGACAGUGAUUUAUUGUCGUGGUUUAUGGGGAAAAGAUGACGGUGGAUUCCACAACCAUUGAAAAACCGAAUACACGACGGUGAUUUACCGUCGUCUUUUUUCCUUUUUGUAGAAGUGCGUUUGCAACUAAUUGAUGGCUCUUUCAAUGAAAAAGCUUAAAGUUAGUGGGGAAAAGAAACAAAAAAGCUUGCCUUGGACAAAAGUAUAUAGUAAUUUGGUUUGAUAAUGUUAGUGGAGCGGUGGUAAGCUUCCAACCGGACAAUAUAUAAAUUGGGUCGAAACGAAAAUGGAGUACAUAAAACUUCACUCACUUUUAAUCAUUCUCAACAUCACCAUUUACUUGAUCCACCAAACAAGGCUCCUUCUGUUCCAUUAUUCGAAAUCUCAAUUGAGUCUCCCAAUUGAUACAUCUCCCAAUUGAGUCUCAACUAUUGGUAAAGCAUGCCUUAGAUAAGGCCCUCACUCGCUCCUUAUAAACCCUGGCUAGGUUCCUUAACUUUUCAAUGUGAAUAUAAAACGAAUAUCCAAUAGUUAUUUCUCUUGUCACGACUGCUUCGUUACAAAUUAUGGUGAAGAAUUUAUUAGUUUGAUUAGUUUGUUCGGAAACAAUUUUUGGUUUAUGAAAAAUCAAUUUUGUGUGAGUAUUUUUUUGUUAAUCUUCGCACCAAAUUGGAUUAGAACAGGUUUAGUACUUUUGGUUUAUAAGUCAUCCAUGUCAUAAAUCUUUUCUUUCUAAUCUGACAUAGUCUUGGAAGAAAAAAUCUUUUGCCCAAAUUGGAAACUGAGCGAAGAGCCAUUGUAGGUAAUUCAUGUUCUAAAGCUGAGCAGCUUAAUUAAUUACUAAUUAUAGGAUGGUUGACCUACAUUCAACUUCUUAAUUGGCCAAAUAAAUAUUAACGGUGUUGAGCUUUCCGAUGGGAGUAUAAAUUGGGCUGAAAGCAAUGGAGUUUCAUCAUACUCCAAACAAAAAGGAAAUAACAAAGUCUCAAGAUGGGUUUGAAACUGAAAAAUGUCUUGCCAAUGUUUGUGUUCUUGUUGUUAGCAUCCACAGCUAAAGCUCAAUCUGCUGCCUUAGAUGUGACAAGUGCAAAAUAUGGUGGAAAGCCAGGCUCUGAUAUUACCCAGGUAACAAAAACAUUUGUAUUCAUAUUCGGUUCUGAUUAGAAUUUGUUUCUACAAUUGUUUGCCAAACUAAAUCAUUAACAGUUUUAAAUUUGCGUAAUGUUAAUUAGGCUUUAGAGAAGGCUUGGACAGACGCAUGUGCAUCAACAACACCAAGUAAAAUUGUUGUUCCAAAGGGAAUAUUCAAGUUUGUAGGAACAACUUUUAAAGGUCCUUGCAAGGCUGCUAUUGAGUUUCAGCUCCAAGGAACAUUGCAGGCUCCAGUAGAUGGCAGCCAGCUCCCGAAGGACGACACUUGGAUUGGUUUUGACCACGUCGACGGGCUCACCUUGUCAGGUGGUGGAACUUUUGAUGGCCAAGGAGCACAGUCUUGGAAAAACAAUGAUUGCAACAAAAAUAGACAAUGCAAAUCUAAACACAUUGUAAGAUGAUUUAAUCCUACCAUGUUGUUUUAUAUACUUGAAAAUCUACCUGCGUCACAUAGAAGCGUUUGCGAAAUCUUGCUCAUUGAUCAAUUCUUGACUUGAUGAUACGUGAUCCAGAUUCACAGCCUGACAAUAUAAACAUAUUUGUGUUUGAUUGGUUUUCUUAAUAUAUGCAGAAUUUGAGGUUCCACGUACUCACCAAUUCCAAAAUUUUGGACGUAACUUCAAAAGAUAGCAAAAAUUUCCACGUCAAUCUUCAGAAGUGCGAGAAGGUUGAAAUCAAUGGAUUUACCGUCUCAGCACCUAAGGAAAGCAUGAACACAGAUGGAAUUCACAUCGGUCGUUCAACUGGGAUCAACAUCACUGCCACAACCAUCGUAACUGGGGAUGAUUGUAUUUCGAUCGGUGACGGUACCAAGGACCUCACCGUGACCAACGUUACUUGCGGGCCUGGCCACGGCAUAGCCAUCGGGAGCCUUGGAAGGUACCCAGAGGAAGAACCCGUGUCCGGCAUCAAUAUUAAGAAAUGCACCUUGACUGAUACAACGAAUGGUGUGAGGAUCAAAACAUGGCCUGCUUCCCCAAUAGAUAGCACUGCCUCGGAUAUUCACUUUGAGGAUAUUACCAUGGUUAAUGUUGGUAACCCUAUCCUCAUUGACCAAGAGUACUGCCCAUGGAACGAAUGCAAAAAAGGGGUAUCUAUCUAUAACAAUUUAUUAACACCAUAUAUAUGUUCCUUGUUAAUCAAGUCAUCAUUUACUUAAUCUUUAAAAAGAUUUAAAUUAAUCAAUUAAUGAAUGGUUUUGUGUAGGUUCCUUCCAAAGUUAAGAUCAGCAAUGUUAGCUUCAAGAACAUCAAGGGCACAUGUACCGACCCAGUUGCUGUGAAGCUUGCAUGCAGCCCAGGCCUGCCAUGUGAGAAUGUGGAAUUGAGUGACAUUGAUCUCAAGUAUACUGGAGACAAAGGUCCUAUUACCUCUGUGUGUUCUAAUGUCAAGCCUACAAUUACUCGCGUGGCACAGCCUCUUGCUUGUGCUACCGGCGCUGCUGCUGCUUGAUCUAACAAGCACAAACCAUGCUGCUGAUGUUUCUUCAGAGAUACAUUGGUUGUGUGCUCUUCGAUUUUGUGCUAAUUGUACUAGGUGUUUUCAUCUAAGAGGUGGAAAAUAUCUCAGUGCAUUUUUUUGUUACAUCUUAAAUGAGAUGAAUAAAUUAGUAGGUAUUACAUGAAAAUAGACAUGGGAAAGAGAAAGAAAGUUUUAUUUGAUUAAAAAAGAAUGUUAUUGGAAUAUGAAUCUUCUUUGGAUAUUUGUUUAACCAAAUUUACUCAAUUAGCCUCUUUAUUUAAUUGUUUCUGUAUGAAUGACCACCUUGACCAGUGGUGUGCUAGGAAGGGGAAGAGGGAGGGGUGAUUUAGUCCUAUGAUUUUUGUUUUUUAUGCAAGAAUAGAAGUAAAAAACUUCAAACAAAAAAGAAGAAGAAGGAUUAUUAAUUCUUGUAAUGUGUUGAGUUUAAAUGCACUUUAAAAAAGGGUAAAUUGCCGACUACCCCCUUGAACUAUCAUGCUUGUCGAAAUCUCCACCAUGAAUUAAAUUUUCAGCCAAUUUAGCCCUUGUAUUAAAUUUAUUCGCCAACUUCACCCUUGCGGUUAGCUUUUGACAAUUUCCAUCCAAAUCUUUGUUAAAAAAGUACCAUGUUAGACGUAUACUUCAGUGUUGAAUUAAAAAGAGUGCUGCUAAACGAACCCUAAAAUUAACUAAGUACACCUUACUAUUAAGGUAUUUAUUGAAUUACUAAUUUAUCAUAAUAUAAAAUGACUAAAAAGGAUAUAUUGAAUUGCGAAAUAAAUAAUUAUAAAUACACUAUAUUCAACCUUCCCUGUCUAAAUGCUAGAAUAUGAAUCUUAAAAUCAAGGUAAGAUGAUAUGAUAUUUACCGAGCUUUUACAAAUCGCUCUCAUCAAUCCUCUCCUCUCCUCUCUAGCCACAUUAAGGAAUGGUUUUUUUUCUUUUGCUUCUCGUUUUUACAACUAAUAUUCAAUCUUGCAGGAAGGAUGCCUACUUAUCAAGGAUGUCUGUUUCUAUUAUAAACUACGUGAAGGCUAUAUUAAGUCAAUGGCUAUAAACUCAUGGUAUAAACCCAGGGCAUUGAGAAUUGGGCCCGAGUGCCGCCCUUGGCUGUACUCCUUCGUUUAUAAUGGAUCUGGCAGAUGCAAUAUUUUACUAGUCUUAACUUAUAUAUCUUUCUUCUAGUUGAUGGGUUAGUAAAUUCGAUCUUCUGAGUUUCAUCUCUCUGAUAACAAGGAAGCUAAAACAAAAUCAACUAAUUAGACCAAGCCCAUAACCAAGACAUGGUAACCAUUAACAUGUGAAUCAUCGACCUACAAUCUCACUAGCACAAAACCAGGCAAAGCAUUCCAAACCAAACAGGACAGCAAUCCUGGUAUCCUCCACCCUCAGCUCCUGCCUAUUCUUCCAUAGUUGUUUGACAGAAUCAACCUCAGCGGCUUUGGUGGGUUAAGCAGCAAGUUUGGCAGCAAGGUGGGUUUGGUGUUUGUGAUAAAGUGUAUUAGGGUGUACUAGGGGUAUUUUUGGUAGUUAAAUAGGGUGUACUUAGUUAAUUUCACAUUUUGAUUAAAAUAUUAUGGUGUACUUAAAUCAUAGGGUGUACUCAGUUAAUUUUAGGGUUCGUUUAGCAGCACUCAUUAAAAAUUGAUUUUUUUUUUUCCUGUUGUUCUUCAAAGAGCUUGAAUGGGGGAGAAAUAAAUCCCGAGGGUGGGGAAAGGGGGGUGGCUGAGGGGAGAGGGGAUUCUGGUUUCUGCAAAUGGGGGUUGGGAGGAAGUGGGAGGACGGGAGAUGGAUUUGUGGGUGGUGGUUGGUGGUUGGGAUAUGGGGGCAGAAGAAAUCGGGGGAGGGGGUGCUGAUUUAGGGUUUUGCGGGGUGGGGGGAAUGGGGCAAAUUAGAAUUUAUAAAAAAGCUGAAACUAGAAAAAGAACUCCAAGAACCAGCAAAACCCAAUCCUUGUCAAGCUUUAACUUUAUGUACCACACAAAAUUGAGAACACCCAAGGUGGUUCCAACCGUGAAUUCUUCACUCAAUUAAAAACUCCAUUUUUUUUUAUAACAAAAACAUUAUCUGUAAAAUUAUAAAUACUUAUCUGCUAGUAAGCUUUAAUAUAUACUAUGUUAAUUUGGUAGAAAGGGCAUCAUAAAUUAUUUCAACUUUUAAUUACUAUAUGGAAGGAAGUAAUUGGAACUUUUAAUUAUUUCAACACAAUCGGGUGGAGGGGGGGAAGGGGGUUCUGGUUUCUGCAUGUGCAGGGAGGGAGCAAGGGGGAGUAGUCUGUCGGUGGUGGUUGGGAAAUGGGGGAGAAGAAACUGGUGGGAGGUUUUCUUUUUCUCUAUUUGAUUUUUUUUUUACAUUAUUUUCCUUAUUUUUCUUAAUUCUAUACCUUGUAAAAUUUAAAAUUUACCCUUAUAUUUGACGGGCAUUUGGAUGGAAUUAUGAAAAAGCUAACGGCAGGGGUGAAAUUGGGGAAUAAAUUUAAUACAAGGGCUAAAUUGGUUGAAAAAUUAAUUCAGGGUGGAGAUUUCGACAAGCGUGAUAGUUCAGGGGGAAUUCGAUAGUUUACCCUUAAAAAAACUUUAAAAAUUUGCCUUGAACAUUUGUUAUCUACUAUCAUCUGCAUUUUAUAUGCGUGCCGUAUUAAUCAUUCUUUCUUCUUUGGAGAUGUGGAUUAGGACAAAACAAUGUGCCAAUCCCCUUGCAAUAUGAAUCUUCUUUGGAUUUUUGUUUAACCAAAUUUAGUCAAUUAGCCUCUUUAUUUAAUUAUUUCUCGUCCAAAAUAUUUAGUACAUUGUAAAUGUUGUCUGUGAAAGCGAGCGUAUCUUAACAUCUUAGUAACUUUUUGAGUAUGCUAUCGAUUUUAGGCUAUUAAUAGUACUUGGAAAGAAGCAAGCGCAUCCACAACUUCAAACACGGUUAUGAUAGCAAAAGGAAACUACCUGGUUGGUCCAGUGAAGUUUCAAGGGCCCUGCAAAGCUCCGGUUAGUGUUCGAGUUGAAGGAGCCCUGCAGGCUCUUGUAGAGCCAGAAAAGCUCAAGUUAGAAGAUGGUUGGGUCAUUUUCCAAAAUAUUGAUGGGGUAACAGUCUCAGGAGAUGGCACUUUUGAUGGCCAAGGAUCAAUAGCGUAAUCCAAAAGUGAUUGUGCCAAAACAGGAAAAUGCAACUCACUGCCUAUAGUAAGUUUUUUAAAUUUGAAGUGGACCUUCAACAUGUGAUCAUCACCACCCCUGGUGAAAGUCUAACCACAGAUGGAAUCCACAUCCCCGUUGAUGUAUAUUUUCGAACACCUGAAAAAGAGUAUCCAAAAAUUACAAAUUAAAUUACUCACAAGUGAGGAGAGACGUGCUUCAAAUAUUAGGGUUUAGGUUUUUCACGUUCAACCGUCAUUCCCUCAUUAGCCUAACAAUGCUCGUUUUCAUCCAUGUUUAGUCGUCAUCGCCCUCCUCGACUUGACAAGGCCUAGUCAAUUUUCUUCUAUGUCGAGUCGCUACCGUCACUCCUCUCUUCGAUUCUGCUGUGCUAGCCUCGUUGUUGUCUCUCUCAUAUUCUGGGUGUUGGUUUUGUCAUUCACUUUCUCCUCGGUGCGUCAGCGUUUCUGGUGGUUGUCUUAGUAUGGUGGUUUCAGUGGGUCUGCUGCUGCUAUUGUGCCGACAGUCACCAAGUCAACGAUGACUAUGGUGCAAGCCGCUUCGUUGGGGUCGGCGGUCACGGUGGAGGUGGCUUUCCUCAUGCUCCCUCCGUCGUCCGAUCCGCGAUCUCAAGCCUUACCUUCAUGAGAAGACAGCCGUUGUCCAAAUAUUUGGCGUGGGUGGCUCUUCACCUAGGGUCUAUGGUUUUGGUCCCAAUUUUUACGGUGUUGGGCAAGGUUUUUGGCAACUAGGGUUGUUGGGUACCAUCCUUUUACCCAUAUUUCCCCUUUUUUUUUUAUCCUAUUCGGUUCGGUGUUCCGAUUUUCCUGUCCCGAUACCCACCCCUAGUUCUUAUAGAUUAAGAAUAUUGUCCAAAUGGUCAGUGCCAAGCAAAAAUCCCGUCAAAAGUUAAGAUAAACAAUGUGAGGUUUAAGAACAUUAGGGGCACUGCUGCUGAUCCUGUUGUUGUGAAGCUUGCUUGCAGCAAAGGCAUUCCACGCCAGAAUGUAUAAAUUAGUGACAUCCAUUUGACAUACAAUGGGAAAAAUGGUGCUGCCACAUCUAUUUGUACUAACGUCAAGCCUACUAAGACAGGCCAAAUUUUUCCACCUGCUUGUGGAAAGACUGUAGUUUAAUUUGCUGCAACUUUAAGGUGAUUUAAUUGCAUCUUAAAGAGAUGAUUAAAAGGAAUUAGUAGGAAUUUAGACGAAAAUAAUCUGCAGGGCGCCCUUUCCAUGCUUAAUUGGAAUGGUGGGUGGUGGUGGACUACACAUACGUAACAGUAAUGAUGUUAUCUUUUGUAUACAUGUAUUAUGGGUUUAGAUUAAUGUACUAUUGUUAUUCAUGGGAAAGAAGUAGUAGAGAGAUGUUAAAAAAAGUUUUAUUUGAUUGAAAAAGAAAGUUGUUGGAAUAUAAAGCUUUGGAAUUUUUUUUGGAACCAAAUUUACUCAAUUAUUCUCUUUAUUUAUUUAUUUCUUCUUGAAUGACCACCUCGACCAGUGGUGUGCUAGCCAGGAAGGGGUUGGAUGAUUCGUAUAUUCUUAUGUUAUAUAUUUUUUAUAUGCAAGAAUAGAAGUAAAAAACUUCAAAAGAAGAAAGAUUAUUUGAGUAAACAGAUAAAUUUAAAUGGACCAUUUUUAUUUGAGUAAACAGAUAAAUUAAAAUAGACCAUUUUUAAAAUUAAAAAAAUUUUCCUUGAACAUUUGUUAUCUACCACGAUUUGCAUUUUUUAUGCGCCAAUUAAUCAUUCUUUCUUCUUUGCAAAUGUGAGUUAGGUCAGUGUGCCAACAAUCAAAAUACCCAUGAGAGUUAAAACAGGUUUCCCGAGUGUGUUUUGGGUUUCCACAAUGAGUGCAUCCAUUCACGUUGGUCAGAGCCCUUAGUCGAGGAGGUUGUGUAGUCGGGCUUGAAGGUGAGCCAACAACCGUGACAUAGGACUGCAUCUGAAGCGGCACAACGAUAGAAGAAGGCAUCUGGCAGGGGUGACCGGUCGCUAAGGUGUAGCCGACUGGUUGGUGAGUUCCCUUGGCUGCCAAACCAGUCGCAGUCGGUGCCUGAGUGCCCAUCAUCAUAGCUUGUCGGAGAUCUCGUCGGACAUAAGAAUAUGCUUGCUCCACGGUGGGAAAUGGAGCCAUCUGAAGGACAUCACUUCAGGCCUUAUCAAGUCGGUUAUCCAAGCCAUCCAGGAAGAUAUAAGGCUCGUUUGGGAGUGCUUCUUCCCGAAGCGCUUAUGCUAGUAGCGCUUAGGACAUAAGCGCUUCUACAAAGAAGCAAUUUGUCAUUUGGAUGUCACAUUUAAAAGUGCUUUACACUACAUAAAAGCACUUUUGAUAUUUUGUUAAGUGUUUGGCUGACACAAUAAAAGCGCUUUGAUUUAUCUGGAACUCUCCUAAAUUGUGAGUCUUGUGGACUUAUGAUAUCACUAUCCAUGCGACAAACGACAUCUAAAAUUAUCCCACUGCUACAAAAAAGCAAAAAGACGACGGUAAAUCACCGUCGUGUAUUCGAUUUUUCAAUGGUCGUGGAAUCCACCGUCAUCUUUUCCCUCAUAUACCACGACGCUAAAUAACCGUCGUUGUUAAAAUAUACAACAUCAUCAACAAAUACAAAACGACGUCUUUGUACUGCAAAAAGAUCUAAAAAAGCAGUCGAGGAUGAGAAUAGACGACCAACUCUCUAAAACAACCGUCGUUAAAAAGGAAAAAUAUGACACAUAUUAAGAGAACAAGGCCGCAAGAUAGACAUACAACGACGGAAAUAAAAAAACGACGCCGUUAAAUAUCAUUUUCACGACAAUAAAAAAUUUGACGUCUUUAAAUACAUUAGAAGACGACGUUAUUGAUACCUACUACGUCGCAUAUAUAAAAACAGCCGUCGUAAAAUUAAUUUUCCACUUCGAUUUUUCGAUAAAAGAUGACGUGGAAAUAGUUGUCAGUGUCAUUAUUUACGACGUAUGUAUUUAUUGAGUAGACGUUGAAAAACGAAACAACGUCGGUUACAAAUAUAUGAGAGUCAUAUUACAAAAUUUAUACGUCAUAUUUUCAGAAACAAACAACGACGAUAAAUAUUAGACGUUGUUAAAUAAAAUAACGUCGGAAAACAAUAAAAACAGACGUGUUUAGUCUGCUAAAGUUCUAGAAAAUAGUCGAGGAUGAGAAUAGACGACCAACUCAAACAAAUCACCGUCGUUAAAAAGGAAAAAUAUGACACAUGUUAAAAGAAAAAGGCCGCAAGAUAUACAUACAAUGACGACAACUAAAAUUUUACGCCGUUAAAUAUAAUUUACACGACAAGAAAAAAUAUGACGUCUUUAAAUACAUGAGAAGACGACGUUAUUGAAAUAUACUACGUCUCUUAUUUACAAACAACCGUCGUGAAAUAAAUUUUCCACUUCGAUUUUUCUAAAAAAGAUGACGUGGAAAUAGUUGUCAGUGUCAUUAUUUACGACGUAUGUAUUUAUACAGUUGACGUUGAAAUGCGAAACAACGUCGGUGGCAUUUAUAUAGUCGACGUUGUAUUUAUAUCUAUCAUCAUUACUCACGACGCACUUAAUAAUAUAGACGACGUUGAACUUCUAAACAACGUCGGUUCCAAAUAAAUAAAAGCCGUAUUACAGAACAUAUAGACGGCGUUGAUUAUGAUGAGAGCCGUAUUACAAAUAACGUCGUUUAAUUGUUAUUAGACGGUGGUUAUAAUGAAUUUCCGUCGGAAUUCGUUUCGUUCCUCUUCGUUUAUAAAAGAACUUGCGACGUGGAAAAUGUAUGAUGACGUCGUAUUUUUUAACGUUCAGAUUAUAUAUCUCGUUUUUUAGACGUCGGUAUUAUGGGAUUGGAGUCGUGUUAUUUUGAAUUACAUGGCGGUUCUUAAUCCUUCCCCGACGUGAUAUCCUGAAUAAUUGCUUCACAAUUGCGUCGUGGUUCUUCAUUGUUACGUUGCUUUAAGACGUCGGUAAAUAUGCUGAAUAACUGGUUCACAAUAACGUCUUGUUUUAUUUGAACGUAGAAAGUGAAGAAAUCACAUUACAAUAUAUUACAAAAUUAAUGUCAUACACUGCCAAUUACAUAAGCAUCAUUCAAUCCAUAUAUCUUCACACCCAUCUCGAAUAUUUUGACCGCCUAACUCACCCACCAGUUCAUCAAAUGUGUCAACAUUUGGCAUCCCUCUAGUAAAUGGCUCACACUCAAUUAUCACAUCACCUAAGACUUCAUCACCAAUAACAUCAUUAUAUUCUCUAUUAGGCAUUGAUAACACUACCGAGUCCCGACCAACCACGAUGCAUCGGGUCGUCAACAAAAAAUAUUUGUUUGACUUGAGAAGCCAAAACAAAUUGGUCAUUCCUAUGUCCAAUUUUACUCAAAUCUACAAGGGUAAAUCCAAGUUCGUCGACUACAAGACCAGAACUAUCUAUCCAAUCACACCUAAAGACUGGGAUUGUAAACUUUUGGUAGUCAAGGUCCCAAAUUUCUUGAAUGACACCAUAGAAACCCAUAUUUGAGAGAAUUGAGUUUUUAUCCUUGGCACUAGCAACUUGCAUGGUAUGUGCAAGUAAAUAAACUCCACUAUUUUGAGUUGUCCGCACAUCAUCUUGUGCCUUGAUAUUGAAUUUAAUACUUUUAAUAAGAUAGCUCCUAUAUAAUGGCACUGCCAUGUUUGGACCAGCUGCUAGCCACCUUAAAUUUUCUGAUACGCCAUGAUUGUCUUCCUCAAGUUCACUUUGAACCUGCAAAUUAAUCAUAUCUUAAUUCAAUCUAACAUAGAAAUAAGAAGAAAAUUAAAAGAGAAAUAUGUUAUUCAACAACAUAUACCUUGAAGCGUAGCCAUUGAAUGAAAGUGCUAUUGUGCUUAUCCUGCAGCCACUUUGUUCUCUUUCUAAAUUUUGGAUAAGCAGUCUUGAUGUGAAUCAUAUGUUGCCUACAUGACACGAAAAAUUCAAGCAUUACGGUCCUAAAUAUAGAAGAUAAACAUAAGAAAUAAUUUAAAAUGGAAACUUAAAGAAUAAAGCUCAUACGUACUCGAUAUAAGGUAGGACUUCCUCCGUAUUCUCCAAGACAUAUAGAUGUGCUUGAUUCAACAGGUCCUGAUCAACUACGCUCACUGUGCAACCUGAUAAUGGCUUUGAAAGUCCCAUCUUUUGGCUUGAAGGCACUCCAACUGUACUAACAUCAGAUAAAUGCUGAGUACAACACUUUACCGCUUCUUCAGCUAUAUACCGCUCAGCAAUGCAACCUUCGGGACGAGUACGAUUCUGAACAUACCCCUUCAGCACUUUCAUAUAUCUUUCAAACGGAUACAUCCACCUAAAAUAUACUGGCCCACAUAGACGAACUUCUCUGACAAGAUGUACUACUAGAUGAACCAUGAUAUCAAAGAAUGAAGGGGGAAAGUACUUCUCAAGCAAACACAGAGUAACUACUACAUCUUCUUCCAACUUAUCUAGCUUGGAAACAUCAACAGUCUUUGCACAUAUAGCAUUGAAGAAGAAGCACAAACGAGUUAUUGCAUACCUUGCAGGCUUCUCCAAAACAGAACGAAUUGCCACAGGGAGCAAUUGUUGCAUUAAGGUAUGACAAUCAUGUGAUUUAAGGCCAAGAAGUCUUGAAUCUUGUAAAGAUACAAGAUUUUUAAUAUUUGAAGAAUAACCUUCAGGGACCUUCAUACCAUAGAAAGAAUUGCAAACCUCUCUCUUCUCUGCUCUUGACAAAUUCCAAGGCCCAGGAGGCAAACGAGUACGUCUUUCUCCAUACUCGGGUUGCAAAUCAGUUUUGACCCCCAUGUUCAAUAAAUCUAAUCGAGCAGCAAUCCCAUCUUUAUUUUUUCCAGGGAUCUCCAGCAAUGUACCAAUGAUACUAUCGCAAACAUUCUUCUCAAUGUGCAUAACAUCUAGGGCAUGCCUUACAGGAAGGUAUUUCCAAUACUCGAGUUCAAAGAAUAUUGAUUUCUUCUUCCAACAAACUCUGUCACCAUUUUCAACCAUAUGCAGCACUUCUUCUCCGGUUAAUGGCUCGGGAGGUAUGCCAUAUUCAGGUUUCCCAUUAAAAGCUGCACGUUGCCUCCUAUAUGGAUGAUUGAUUGGUAACCAUUUUCUAUGCCCAAUGUAACAAAUUUUGUGGCCAUUUUUCAACCUGUGACUAGGUGUAUCAUCGCCGCAUAUUGGACAAGCUUUAUAUCCUUUAACAACACAACCAGAUAAGUUUCCAUAGGCGGGGAAAUCAUUAAUUGUCCACAUUAAUGCAGCUCUGAGUGUAAAGUAUUCUCCAUUAUGUGCAUCAUACACUCCUCUAAUCCCAACCCACAAGGAUUUUAAAUCAUCAAUCAAAGGCUCCAAGUAGACGUCUAUAUCAUUUCCGGGUUGUUUAGGACCGGAAAUCAAUAAGGUUAACAUCAUGAACUUUCGUUUCAUGCACAGCCAUGGAGGGAGAUUAUAUGUAACUAAGAUAACCGGCCAACAACUAUAUCUGCUACUUAGAGAACUGUGGGGAUUGAAUCCAUCAGAUGAAAGAGCCAAUCUCAAGUUUCUCGUCUCAUUACCAAACUCAGGCCAUUUAUCAUCAAGAAGUUUCCAAGACGGGGAAUCCGCCGGAUGAGACAUCUGACCGUCAAUUGAUUUUCUAGCAGCAUGCCACCAAGUCAAACUCUUAGCUGUCUCAUGUGAUUGAAACAUCCUUUUAAACCUUGGAAUUGGGGGAAAAUACCACACCACCUUCGCUGGCACACCCUCUUUCAAGAUUGAAUCUUUGCCUUCCUUCCACCUUGAGAUACCACAAGUAGGACAAUUAGUUGAAUCCUCAUACUCCUUCAUAUACAAGAUGCAAUCAUUGGGGCAUGCGUGCAUUUUCUCAUAACUCAGCCCCAAUGCACACAAAGUCUUUUUAGCCUCAUACAUGGAGGUUGGUAUUGUAUUUCCUUCUGCAAGCAAAUCGCCUUGAAGUAUCAAUAAUUCUGUAAAAUAGACAUCACUCAUCCCAUGUUUUGCCUUCAAAUUAUACAACUUCACUAAUGCCGAUAACUUCGUGUACUUUCUACAACCAGGGUACACUGGUUGAUCUCCAUCCCCAAUCACAUUGGCAAACUCAUACGGAUCCGAACCAAAAUCACCAAAAUCAUUAUCAUCCAUAUCAAUUUCUUCAGACACAAAACUGUACCUACUAUGGCCAUCAUCUUCUUCAACAUUUCUACUAGCAUUAGUAGUUGCUUCCCAAGGUUCUCCGUGAAAUGUCCAAUUCUUAUAGCUUUGGUCAAUUCCAUUAAAGUAUAAGUGAUCCCUUAUAAUUCCAACCCCAAACAACUUCAAAUUAACACAUUUAACACAUGGACAACGGAUAUGUGUUGUAGUUAGAAGAUUUUCUACAGCAAAGUUCAAAAAUGCUUCCACCCCAAAUUCAUAUGCCUUCGAUCUUCUAUCCGAGUGCAUCCAUGACUUAUCCAUCUUCGACACUAUAACCUAUUAUCUAUAAUAAAGUGAAAAUACAGGCAAUGACCAUCACUAUAGCAGAUUAUACAAUGAUCUAAUCGCAAGUAAUACACAACAGAGACGACGGGUUUUAAACAAAAACAGACGUAUUUGGCAUAUAUAGACGACGGAUUUUCAACAGACGUCGUCUAUUAUAAGUAAUACAAACGACGGUUUAUGAAAAAACCGUCGUGUAUAAGUAAUACAACGACGGUAGUUUAAAAAAACCGUCGUGUAAUCGUCGUCGUAUGCCUUAAAAUUCGUCGUGUCUCAGUUUAUUUUCAAGAACACAAAACCCAUUAAGAACACAACAUAUAUAUGAAACCAAGCAAGAAACCAACAUAUACAUGAAACCAAGCAUGAAAACAAUAAAUCCAUUCCCAAUUCAACAUAACAUAGGGUGAUUAAAAGAUACGACAAAAUUAAAUCCAUUCCCAAUUCAACAUAACAGGAUAAUGUAAUCCAUGAACCCAUUAAACAGAAAAUCCAUGAACCCAUACCUAUAAGCACAUUAUUAACAGAUCGCAAAGCAUACACAUAAAACCCUUUAACAAAACAACCUAAUAUAACUCGAAUCGUUACUAGAAUCAUCACUCGAAUCCCCAUCUUCAUUAUCAGUUUCUUCCUUCGUAGGUACUAUUUGCUCCCCAUCAUUUUCUCCAUAGCGGAAAAUGACAAGAUCAAAUAAAGGUGUACUUUUGCUGGAAAUCAUUUGGAAGUUGGUGAUCUGUGUCUUUUUGUGUUGAUUUUCAGCAAAAGUACACCUUUAUUUGAUCUUGUCAUGAACCCAUUAAACAGAAAAUCCAUGAACCCAUACCUAUAAGCACAUUAUUAACAGAUCACAAAGCAUACACAUAAAACCCUUUAACAAAACAACCUAAUAUCAUUCAAUGAAUUUACAAGGGGAAGAUAGGGUUUGUACUUACAGGUUGGACGAGCUCACAGAUUCGACGGAGCCUGGAGAGUGCAACUUUUAAUUAGAGCAGAAGUGAGAGAGCGAAAUGUUAUGUCGCGCGAAAUCUGAAAAUUUUAGGUUUCAGGGUUCGAAGUAUAAGAAUAAGAGCCAAAUCUAAAAAAAUUUAGGUCGCGCGAAAAUUUUUAGAGUUCGCGCGUUUUAAAACGUCGAAAGAAAAACCAAGGCGAAAGUUCUACACGUACCGACGUAAAUUUAAUAUUCCACGACGGAAACUUCAUUUUUCGGAUUAAGAACGUAAGGCCGUUCAUUUUGAAGCUUCAUUUUUCGGAUUAAUUUUAAAUUUAUUUUGAAUUUUUUAUAUAACGACGACUGAAAAACCACGUCGUUGUUAAGAAAUUAAAGACGUUGUAAAUUAUAUAAACCGACUUACAUAUUAAAAUGACGUCGUUUAAAGCGUAAACCAUGUCGUAUGUUUUUCUGUACGACGUAAAAUAUGUAUUCCACGACGCAACCACCGUCGUUAAAAAUUAAUACCCUAAACCCAUAAAACUAAAUUAUACAAUUUAAAAAAUUAAGUUUAUAAAAGGUUUUAUGGUUUUAAAGCCUAACAUAUACCCUAGACUACCCAAAAAUUAUACUUUAAAAAUAAACCCCAAUAAAUAACAACCCUAAUCUCUAAACCCUAGACUCUAAACCCUAAACCAUAAAACUAGAAGUGAUUUUAUGACUCAUCAAAACAAUUUUGUUUUGGAUGGUCAUUUUAAAUUUUUGUUAUUCAAAAUGAAUUUUUUCAAGGUUUAUGUGGAAGAAAAUAUAUCAAUGACUUCAUAGGAGUUGACUUUUCAAUUUUCUGAUUUAUUUUAAAUUUAUUUUGAAUAUUUUGAUAUAAAAAUAAUAAAAUAUUCUUACCACAACAACAAACCACGUCGGUGUUAAUAAAUUGUAGACGUUGUAAAUUGUAAUAGACUACUAAGUCGUUAAAAUGACGUCGUUAAAAUGAGAAACCAUGGCGGCUAUUUAACUAUACGACGUAAAAUAUAUAUAUCAACGACUUAACCGCUGUCGUUACAUAAACGUCGUCGAUGAUACCCUGAACCCUUAAGAAAUUGAAGAUGUUGUAAACCAUAAACGACUCAAUUGUUCAAAGAACGUCGUCUAACUAUAUUUUUACGUCGUAUUUGUUUAAAACACGAAACAACAAAAUACGACGGUUUUUGACUUUAUUAGGUCGUUGGAAAAGUAUUACACGUCGGUUAAGCAAUUUGUAUGUUUGUUUUUUUUUUAAUUUAAGAAAACCUCAACAAAUUUUUACAUUACAUAUUAUAGAGAAAAUUUGUACAUUAUACAUAAAUAUCAAGUGUUCAAUAUUGCCCUGUUAAUAAUUUGGAAAAACAAACUCUGCCNNNNNNNNNNNNNNNNNNNNNNNNNNNNNNNNNNNNNNNNNNNNNNNNNNNNNNNNNNNNNNNNNNNNNNNNNNNNNNNNNNNNNNNNNNNNNNNNNNNNCCCUGGGCAAUACUGCAUAAACAAUGACUAUUAGGGUUUAUAAAUAAAAAGAAAUUCAAUCACAGACGACGAUAUUUUUCAUAACCGACGUAGUAUAUCCAUUCAACGACGUUAAUUUUACAUGACCGUCGUUGAUAAUACAAAAAACGACGUGAAAUGUAUGAAGGUAAUUUCUUCUUACCUUAUUCUCAAACCCCAAGGAAGGAUCCAUGAUGAUGUCCCUCAUGAAGCGCAUCACAUAAUACCCGCAUUCGACAUUGCUGGGUUGCUUUGGUGUGCCUGAGAGAGUUUUCCAAAUUACAUUUUUACGUCCUGCUCGGGCUAUGUGGGUAUUAUAUAUUUUUAAAGCACUGUUCACGAUGUUUUUCGCCUCUUCGUCGACCACACGAUGACCUGGCAGAGGAUCCAGAAAAUAGACGGUCUCCUUCUUUGCUCUUACAAUCAACAAGAUCCAAUGACGGCUGCACAAAAUUAAUAUAAAAACGACGGUUAUUUACAAAAACGACGUAUUAUAGUAUUUCACACGACGAAAUAAAGUAGAUAACGACGACAUUAUAUAUUUAUCACGACGAUAAAUAAAUACCGACGUGGUUAGUAGUUUCAAACGACUAAAUAAAAUAAAACACCGACGUGGUUAGUUUAUAAGCUGUCAUUUAUUGAAAAUCAUAAAAACAAAAUCCUAAGGAGACUAACCCUGGAUUGUAAGGCAUCAUGAAAAUCUGUUCACCGUCUGUCUUCUGAAGUCGAGCUGCUACCAGUCGUGAUCUUUCAGUUAUUGUGCCAGAGUUGGCACUAACUGUAGCAGGGUCGAUAAAGCCAACCAUGCUGCACAUAUUGGCUUGUUUCAAAACAUCGUGUAAGUACCUAAAUACAUAAAAUAAUAUAAACAAGUCAGCAAAAACAAACACGACGGUUAUGUAUAAAAAAACGACGUAUUAUAAUAUUUCACACGACGUACUGAAAUAGAUAAGGACGUUAUAAUAUAUUUAUCACGACGGUAGUUAGUUAAGACGACGUGGUUAGUUAGUUAAGACGACGCAAUAUAUAAACCAACGAGUUAUUAUCUUAGAAGUACAAACCUCAUAUAUAUAGCCAAUACAGUAGCUCCAAUUUCUUCCAUGCCUGCAAAUUGUGUAAUAUCUUCAGGCAGGAGGAAGGUAUCGCGCUCACCACCAAACACCUCCUUAUCAAUUGUAAAUUGGAGUGUCUUAUCCUCAGGCAGGAGUGUCGUUUCCACAAAACGACAAAGGGUUUUUAAAGAAGAUGGCGCCUCCAUGUUUGAAUAAGCACCAACUUCAAUAACCUGUUUAAAGAAAUAAAAAAAAUGACGUGGUAAUUCAAUAAAGACGACGGUUUAAGGAAUAAAACGUCGUCUUAAAAGGAUUUAAACGACGGUGAAAAAACUGUCGUGGUAAUUCAAUAAAGACGACGGUUUUAUUAAUAAAGCGUCGUCUGAAACCAUUUAAAUGACGGUGCAAAAACCGUCGUUUAAAUAUUUUAUUACGUCUUAAAAAAAGUCCGCCGUCUAAGUUUUAAACAAACGACGGAUUAAAUAAAAAUAUCGACGUCUGAAAUUUUGAAAAACAAAUAAAAAAGGCAAAGUUAUGUGAACAUACCUUGUCGUCAUGCUUUUCUUCAUCUUCUUUCUCCUUUUCUUCUUCCUUCUCUUCAUCUCUUUUUUCUUCUUCCUUCUCUUCAUCUGGCUGAUGUUUCCCCAUUUUGGCAGUAUCAUCCUCCAAAUGUAGGGAUCUCACAUCACCUCCAGAGCAGCCAGCUUUGUCAGACAUUGGAUUUUUGGGGCUUUGGCUAAUUCUUGGUUUAAGCAUGCUUGGAUCAAAAUUGGGAAUUAAUUGGGAAAGCUGACUCAGGAAAUGCUCCCUCUCAGCCUCUACCAAUUGUUUUGUCCUAGCCUCCAUCCUUAAGGCCUCUUCCCUUGCCUUAGCCUCCAUCUUUUUAGUCUCUUCUUGAAGGAGAACUCUUAAACUGUCCUUCAAACGGUCGUCAAAGCUUACCCUCUGUGGUUUGGGCAAAUUGAAAUAUUGCCUUGGGGAAACACCAGCACCAACUCCCCUCAGUCUGCCUGGAUGCUCGGGGCCCAAAGCCAUGGUCAGCACAUCAUUGCUGCCAUCUACUCUGACUUUGCCUUCCGAGACUUGUUUCUGCAAUUCAUCCUAAAAAAGAUAAACAAAAAAACACACGACGGUUAUUUAUGUACAAACGACGUAUUAUAUAAUUUCACACGACGCAAUAACGUAUAAACCGACGUUAUUAUAACUUAUCACGACGGUAGUUAUACCGACGUGGUUAUUUAUUUAAAACGACGAAAUGAAUAAACAACCGACGUCUUAUGCUAUAAUUAAAGAUAACAGAGUAGUGAUUCCUAUUUAGACCGUUAACGACGUUUUUAAAAAAGUUUCGACGUGGUAAUAUCAUUCACACGACGCGAAAAUGAACCACCGACGUCUUAUGCUAUAAUUACAUAAAACAUAGUAGUGAUUCCUAUUUAGACCUUUAACGAUGUUUUUAAAAACUUUUCGACGUGGUAAUAUCAUUCACACGACGAAAAAUAUAACAUACGACGUAAUAAGAAUAAUUCACAGUUUAAUAAAAAUUUAAAACAGAGUGAUAGUAGGCUUACAAUUAAUUUUGCUUUCUCUGCCACCUUUGGAUCAGGGAUGUUACCAUGUUUGUCCUGUCUAGCUCUCUUCCAUAAGGUAGAUCGAUCAAUUUCUACCCCAGGCAUGGUUUCCUCCAAUUGAUCCUCCAAUCCAGCAUAUCCUUUUCGAGACAAUCGAUGAUUGUACUCGAGUUUCUCCCUAAUCUGUGCAUGUUGAGAAUGCACAGACUCAAAAUCUUUGGAUAGCCUUGAAGCUACAAAGGCAUCCCAUUGUGCUUUCUCUAUGAAUUUAUAUGUUUCAGGGGGUUGGCUUAAUUUCUCCCUGUCAUUGGUGUAUGGAAGGAUAUAAUGCCUUGUUAGUGUAGACUUGAAAUCCUUCCAUUUCUUGGAAGCAGAAGCUAAAACAGAGGUCUUGCCCCCUUGGCCUACGACAAAAGCCAUGUCAACUGCUUCCCAAAUCUGCUCCUUUAUAUCCUUGGGGAUUUGGGACCAUUUCUUGUCCACAAGUGGGAUCCUGGAGCGUGCCAACACACCAAUAUACGACUGCAUCUCAAUAUGUGCUUGGCCAACACCUUUCCCCCUUUUAUUGUACUCAACAAUUGGCCUCAGUUUCUGAAGCUUUCUCUUCACAACACGAGGCAUUGUGCUCAUACCUCGACCAGUCUUUGAAUCAUCAGAGAUUGUUGUCUGGCUGGUUUGUUCUGUCUCAGCAGAUGAUGAAGCAAACUUCAUCUUCUUCGAAGACUUCAUCUCCUUCGAAGACUUGUCUUGAGGAGCUACCAUUCCAAGCUUCUUGGAGCCAGAAUCCUUAGUUUGUUGUUGAGAAACCAUUUUAACAGACAAAACUGCAAGUGAAAAUAUUUCAGGAGAACAUUAAGAACACAAACGACGGUAUUAAAAAAAUACGACGUAUGAUAUGAUUUUAGACGACGCAAUGAAAUAAUCUCAGACGUAAUAAAUGUUUAAAACCAUUAUUUAUAUAACGUCGUGGUAUAUAUGUUCACACGACGUCAAUAGUAAUACACCGUCGUGGUAAACUAUUAUUUAUAUAACGUCGUGGUAUUUAUGUUCAUACGACGUCAAUAGUAAUACACCGUCGUAGUAUUAACAUUCACACGACGUAAAACAAUAAGAUAUUUUGUCGUCUAUAUUAGAUACCAACCCUAGUUUCUUUUUCUUUAUAUUUUAUCAAAUAAGGGAAAAACAAAAACCAUUGUUCAGCGAAAUCAAACCUGCAAUGAAACAAGCAUAUAAAAAAAGACUAUUAUUUUAAAAACAACUUUGUCAAUUUUCAGACGACGCUAGAACAACUGACGAACCGUCGUGGUCUACCGUCGUCUUAUUUAGUUGAUGUAGUUGUCUUCAAAGUUGGAAACUUUCUCUCUUUGUCUGUAUAUUUUAUCAAACUUGGAAAGAAGUAAAAUGAUUUUGGCCAGAAAAAAGGUAAAAAGAUUUUUCAAACAAAAAACGUAUGAGCAUGCAAAACAGUAACCAAAAUAGUGAAAAUGAAAGCUUACCUUUUGCGUGCAAUGAAAGCAAGAGGAAGAUGAUCGAUGUUUAUGUUCAGAGACGACGAAGAAGACGAGAGGAAGACGAUGAGAAACUCUGACAAUGCUCUGACAAGGAAAAAAGACGAAAAGGUUUCUCUGGGAGAUUGAAAUUUUUAAUCGGGUUUGGAAACAGUGCAUGUGUAAGUCGAAAAGUUGCUUACAUAUAAAACCAUUUCAAAAAAAUAAUACGGCGGUUACAUUUAACUACGUCGUUUUUAAAUAAAACGACGCAAUAUUUUUCAUUCGACGUGGAAUCAUUUCAUUUAACGUCGUUAGGUUUAAUAUAACCGACGUGGAUUUUAAUUUUUAAAUUAUGAAUAGAAUUUUUUUUCCCGUGACCUUUCAGUUUAUUUUUCAAUUACAGUGCGUUAUAAAUAGAGUUUUUUUUCCGGAGAAAAUUUAAAACGAAGGAAAUUAAUAUUCUGCAAUAUGUAAAGUUUCUUUUUUGGAUGACAGAUUUAAAUAAAAUAAGAAUAUAAAAACAACAAAUGUGUAAGUCAAGUAGACGAAAAGUUGCUUACAUAUAAAACCAUUUCAAAAAAAUAAUACGGCGGUUACAUAUAACUACGACGUAUAAAUUACAAAAUACGACGGUACAUUUAACUUCGGACGUGGUAAAUAAAUACGACAGUAGUUUGUAGGUACCGUCGUAGUAAACUCAAAAAUUAAAGUACAUAAGUAAUAACUCGCGUCAUGGUAGAUUAUUUAACACGUCGUUUUUAUUAAUUUACCGACGUGGAUUUCUGUAAUAUACGUCGAUCAUACCGACGUUGAUUGUACAAUUUAAACGGCGGUUUUUUUUGUAAGGACCGCCGUUGGUUUUAAAAAUUUAUUCUAUAAAUUUGUCGCUUUCAUUCAUUUUCGGUUUACAUUUAAGGUUCCAAGUUCUUCCUCUCUUAGUCUCUCAUGUCUCAAAGACAAUAAUUUGGAUGUUUUCUCAAAGAGAAAUUGAGCUUACUCGCAUCAAAUAUAUGUCCACAAGAAGAAGCUUGUCAACUAGCCUUCUCACUUCCUUGAUCAAGCCUGAUAGGACACUUAGUGCUUCUGAAUACUCCUUGCUUUCCAUCAAAAGAGAUGCAAGCCUGGCCUCCACUCGCUGUCGAAGGAAAGUUCGCUUCUCAGGGAAAUCUGAAGAUCAGAUGUGCCUGAUCCUCUGCUUGAUUUUCUUGCCUAAGAAGAUCCGUCGGAUUUAUUGUGAUAGCCUCUUCCUUUAUCCGUAGAGCUUCAGAAGAAGAAGAUGGGUUUCAAGAAUGCGAUAAAGAAUAGAAAUGGCUUCAGAUGGCCUCUAAAGCAUGAGCAAUUGAAUCAGUAGUUUCUGGGAGAUAUGAUGAAGACAUUGUCAAUGCUUUGAACUACACAAGUCCUGCAGAAAGAUAUGUUAAAGAAACUGAAACAACGGCGGUUUUCUGUUCUACCGUCGUCUUUUCUCGUCGUCUAUAUUAGGGUAAGAUGGCGGUAGAUUUAUAAUUACCGACGUAGAUUAUUUUGUUAAACGUCGUUAAGUGUACUACAACGGACGUGGAUUUUAUUUUUAAAUUAUAAAUAGAGUUUUUUUUCCCGUAUUCUUUCAGUUUUAGUUUUCAAUUACAAAGCGUGAUAAAUAGAUUUUUCUUUCCCGAGGAAAUUUAAAAUGAGGGAAAUUAAUGUUCUAGAAUUUGUAAACUAAACGACGCAAUAUUUGCAAAUCUGUGUCAUCUGUUAAGAUUAUGAUGUGGAACAAAGUUCCAUCUGGUAAGAUUUCGUAACCCUUGGGAUCUCAGACAAAUCUGAUUAUGUCGGCGGUGUUCUAUAUAAACCGUCGUGGUUAUUUCAAUUCUUGUCAUUAAGUAGAUCUACCGACGUAGGAUAAGAAAAUCAAAGAAAAAAAUUGUUAACAAAAAUUCUUAUUAAGACGACCGUUAAAAUUAAAGGUACGACGUAUAAAAUGAAUAAAUACGACGUUAAAUUUUAUUGUACGAUUUAAAGAUAACGUCGUAGAACUAUACGAGAAUGACGUCGAUAUAUUUAUAUUUUCCGUCGUUGUAAAUUAAUUUAAUACGGCGAUAUUUUGUAUUUUAAAGCCGUGGAUUUGUUUGUAAUUAUACGGCGUCUUAUACGAAAAUCUCGUCGUGUUAUUUUAUGAGUAAAAACGGCAGUUUUUAUUGAAAUCGUCGUCUUUACUUUCUACGUCGGUCGAUUCAUAACUUCUGCCGUUCUUUGUUGGCAUUGAUUUUACACUGCAGAAAUCUGUUUCAAAUAGACGUCGGUUGUUUAAUUAUGUACGUCGUUGUUUUUGAACAGCCAUUUGAAACUCCAUUUUUUAGUUGUCUAAGGUUGUAUUACACGACGGUGUUUCUAGAACCGUCGUCUUUUUAUAAACCACGACGGUUUUCACUUAGACCGUCGUUGUUUUCUGGUCGUCUUUUUCACUUUUUGUAGUAGUGUCCCCAACCCCUUGACACCAUCCCCACCAGAAUGUUGAAAUUGGACCAUUCUAUUAGUGAAAGCACUGAAAAAUGCAAUGCAUUGCCAUAGUGCAACCCAGAACACAGCUUCUUUCUAAAGUCGAUACAAAUUGAGAGGGAGUGCUUGGUGGCACUCUUUGGGGGUUUUGAGCGCGCAAUGCUCGUCCAAAACACUGCAGCCAACAAAUCAAAAGGGUUGGCUUCAGGGCAAGUUUUGUGGAUUUGUGAGAGGCCUUGCUUGAUCAUUGCACUGGAGAAUUUGAAAGUGGUUGUGCUCAUUUUCUUUUCUGGUAAAGGGGUCUUUGCUGCCAUAGACUUGGCUUCAUAAUAAGCCUCUGCUGAUUUUGUUUUUAUUAUGUCUUGAUCAACGGGUCUGCCUCCGAGGGCUGAUGACUCCCCGACGAGAAGCAGGUGGGCAAAUUCAUUUAUCUCCAAAACCAGGACUGAUUCUUAUGUUAAUGCUUUUUUAAUCAAGUUUGGUGCUACAUAUAAUAAUGUUUGUUUUCAAUAAAAUCGAGCACACAAUAUUAUAUAAGCAAGAGGCAUACAAGAAUGCAGAACUCAUCUCCAUUCUCUAGCAAGAAAGAGAGAGGAAAAAAGAAAGAAAGGGUAUUUUGGCAUUUAAAAAAAUUAAAUAUAGGUAUUUUCGGUAUUUUAAAAGUUUCAUUAAAGGGAGCCAAGUGCUUCCCGUGUUUUUGUGCUGCAGCCCUUUUAAGAAGAAGCACCUUUCAAGUGCUUCUUCCAAAACCACUCCAAGUGCUUUUGGAUCUCACCCAAAGCACUUUUGCAAUUUUUGCCAAACACCAUUUUUAAAAGAUAGAAGCGCUUUUCGUUGCUCCAAAAGCACUCCCAAACGAGCCUAUAAACACAGUCUUCCUAGAGAAUGUCGUUGUACUGUUGGAUAUCAGAGUCACACUACAUCCUACUCGGACGACGGAAGUGUAUGUCUUGCCACAAGCCUUGAAGAUUAUUGUAAUAAGUUUCAAUCGAGCCACCUGCUUGUCGCAAUCGUUGACUUUGCUGUUUAAGGUCGUACACCUGAGGGGUGUACGUGCCAUCAAAGUAGAUCGUGGCAAUCGCAUCCCAUAUUGUUUUUGCCGCAGGAAAUCAAAUAAAGGUGCUAAUCAAGCGAGGGUCCAAAGAAUUGAUUAGCCAGCCUUUCACAACUGUGUUUUGGGUGCGCCAUCAGUUGAAACUCGGGUUGGUUUGAGUAGGUGUCCCAACUUGUCUUUGCCGGCAACAUACAUCUCGACAACUUGGGACCAAAGGGGGUAGUUGGAGCCAUCCAACUUGAUUCCAAUAUGUGCUGAAGCUUCAUAGGUAAUAGUUGGGGUCGGGUAUACCAUGCUAAAAUAUGAGAACCUAUGAGUGAAUAUUGUUUGUGGGAAUUUUCUGUGUAUUCUUGUCCAUGUAGGAGGCCAUAUUUAUAGUACAAUAUAUAUCCUUGUAGGUUAAGGAACGUAGUAACCCCUAAUUCAAUUUACAGUAGGAAAUCAUGAAUUAAAGUGAAUCAAUUACAUUUAAUAUAGGAAUUUUUGGCUUGUGAGAAAAAUAAAUGCAGGUCCACAAGUCAUGCGAAUAUAUACAACCAUACUAUUUUUCAAAUUUGUAUCAACUUUCUCACAUGGAAGAUGUCUACAACUUUUACAAAUAUUAAUGAGUGUCAUUAGCUAAAUAAUAUACAGAUAGAAGUUGCACAAAAACAUCGUUUGCAACUAAUUGAUGGCUCUUCCAACGAAAAAGCUUAUAGUUAGAGGGGAAAAGAAACAAAAAAGCUUACCUUGGACAAAAGUAGAUAGUAAUUUGGUUUGAUAAUGUUAGUGGUGCGGUUGUAAGCUUCCAACCGAACAAUAUAUAAAUUGGGUCGAAACGAAAAUGGAGUACAUAAAACUUAACCCACUUUUAAUCAUUCUCAACAUCACCAUUUACUUGAUCCACCAAACAAGGCUCCUUCUGUUCCAUUAUUCGAAAUCUCAAACUUGACAUAACCACAAUCAACCCUCAAUAGCAUUCUCUCUCUCUCUCUCUCUCUCUCUCUCUCUCUCUCUCUCUCUCUCUCUCUCUCAAUCUGUUCCACCCAAAAACCAUGCCUUGCUAAAUAAGAAUUCAAUAGUGAGGGCCUUAUAUCUAAGGCCCUUAUAUGAUCACUUAGCUGUUAGAUCAAAUUGGUUAGCCGUUGGAUCAAAUUGGUUAGUUUGAUCUAACGGUUAAGAGAUAUGACUUCAUGGCUUUAAUUUGAGUUGUGGGUCCAGUCAAACAAUAUGGGUAGAAUAUUUUUCAGGUUGUAUUUCAUUCUCCAAAAGAAGGUAUUUAUAGUAUAAGGAUGUAACCCUAGUAGGGUCAAACUAGAAAACAAGAUAAAGACCUAAUUACACAAUAUCUGUACAAAAAGGAAAGAAAUAUAAUCCUAAUAAACUGUGAAAUAAAUAUCCUAAUUAAGCUAGGAUCUCGCUAACACUCCCUCUCAAGUUGGAGCAAAGAUGUCACGUAUGCCCAACUUGUCAAGCGUGUUGAGAAAGGCCGUAGUAGACAUAGUUUUCGUAAGAACAUCUGCUAGUUGAUACUCGGAUGAUAUAAACGGAAAAGAAAUAAUUUCAGCAUCCAAUUUCUCUUUAACAAAAUGUCGAUCAACCUCCACGUGCUUUGUACGAUCAUGUUGCAUAGGGUUAUGCGCAAUUGCAGUUGCAGCUUUAUUAUCACAAUACAAAUCCAUGGGUUUAGGGGAAGAGAGAGAGAGUGUGUGUGAUGGUUGUGGGGUGGUGGCUGUGGGAAGGUGAGUUGUUGAGAGAGAGAUGGAGACUGCGAUGGAUAAAUGGGUGGUCGUGGGUUUGGGGGUGUGUUGUGAAAGGGAAGGCAACGACGGUGGGGAAGAGGGAUGGGUUGCGAAUUAGUCUUGGGGGUGAGUUACAGGUGGGGAAGGGGUGAGUUGCAGGUGGGAAAUGGGUAGUCAGGUUGGGGAAGAAAAAGAGAGAGGGGAUAGGGGAUCUGUAGGUAGGAUAGGUUUUUGUUUUUGUUCCUUUUUCUUUAAUUUUUUCUAAAAAAAUAAAUUUAUUUUUAAUGUUUUAACUGAAAAUUAGAUGAAAUGUUAAUGAUUUAGACGGUAGGGGGGAAAUUGGUGAAAAAGUUCAUAUCCUUAAUUUUGUAAAAAAAAAAAGGAUAGUGGGUCAAUUAAAACCAAGGUACAAGUUCAAGGGGCAAAUCACUAGUACACCCUUCUUAAUACAAUACCCUAUAAAAUGUCAAAUUUACCCUUAUAUUUGACAGGCAUUUGGAUGGAAUUGUAAAAAAGCCAACAGCAGGGGUGAAAUUGGCGAAUAAAUUUAUUACAAGGGCUAAAUUGGCUGAAAAAUUAAUUCAGGGUGGAGAUUUUGACAAGCAUAAUAGUUCAGGGGGGAUUCGAAAGUUUACCCUUAAAAAAAGUUAAAAAUUUGCCCUGAACAUUUGUUAUCUACUAUCAUUUGCAUUUUUUAUGCACGCCAUAUUAAUGAUUCUUUCUUCUUUGUAGAUGUGGAUUGGGACAAAACAAUGUGCCCAUAACCUUGCAAUAUGAAUCUUCUUUGGAUAUUUGUUUAACCAAAUUUACUAAAUUAGCCUCUUUAUUUAAUUAUUUCUCUUCUCAAAUAUUUAGUACAUUGUAAAUGUUGUUUGUGAAUGCGAGCGUAUAUCUUGACAUCUUAGUAACUUUUUGAGUAUGCUAUCGAUUUUAGGCUAUAAAUAGUGCUUGGAAAGAAGCAUGCGCAUCCACAACUCCGAACAUGGUUGUGAUAGCAAAAGGAAACUACCUGGCUGGUGCAGUGAAGUUUCAAGGGCCCUGCAAAGCGCCGGUUAGCGUUCGAGUUAAAGGAACCCUGCAGGCUCUUGCAGAGCCAGAAAAGCUCAAGUCACAAGAUGGUUGGGUCGUUUUCCAAAAUAUUGAUGGGUUAACAGUCUCAGGAGGUGGCACUUUUGAUGGCCAAGGAUCAAUAGCUUAAUCCAAAAAUGAUUAUGCCAAAACUGGAAAAUGCAACUCACUGCCAAUAUUAAGUUUUUUAAAUUUGAAGUGCACGUUUUUAUUUAUUUAUCAAUCUUGUGUGCUAGAAACGGAGGCUAACAAACAGAGUUUGCUCAAUUGGGUUCCUUGAAUGCAGAACAUAAGAUUCACAGGGCUCACCAAUUCACACAUUCAAGACAUAACAUCCUUGAACAGCAAGCUGUUUCACAUAAACGUCAUAAACUGCAAAAAUGUGACACUUGAACAUGUGAUCAUCACCACCCCUGGUAAAGCAUGCCUUAGAUAAGGCCCUCACUCAGUUCUUAUAAACGAGGCUAGGUCCCUUAACUUUUCAAUGUGAAUAUAAAACGAAUUUUCAAUAGUUAUUUCUCUUGUCACCACUGCUUUGUUACAACUUAUGGUCAAGAAUUUAUUAGUUUGAUUAGUGCGUUAGGAAACCAUUUUUGGUUUAUGAAAAAUAAAUUUUGUGUGUGUAUUUUUUUUUUAAUCUUUGCACCAAAUUGGAUGACAACAGGUUUAGUACUUUUGGUUUAUGAGUCACCCAUGUCAUAAAUCUUCUCUUUCUAAUCUGACAUAGUCUUGGAAGAAAAAAUCUUUUGCCCAAAUUGGAAACUGAGCGAAGAGCCAUUGUAGGUAAUUCAUGUUCUAAAGCUGAGCAGCUUAAUUAAUUACUAAUUAUAGGAUGGUUGACCAACAUUCAUGUUCUAAAGUGCGAGAAAGUUGAAUUCAACGGAUUUACCGUCUCAGCACCUAAGGAAAGCAUGAACACAGAUGGAAUUCACAUCGGUCGUUCAACUGGGAUCAACAUCACUGCCACAACCAUCGGAACUGGGGAUGAUUGUAUUUCGAUCGGUGACGGUACCAAGGACCUCACCGUGACCAACGUUACUUGCGGGCCUGGCCACGGCAUAGCCAUCGGGAGCCUUGGAAGGUACCCAAAGGAAGAACCCGUGUCCGGCAUCAAUAUUAAGAAAUGCGCACCUUGACUGAUACAACGAAUGGUGUGAGGAUCAAAACAUGGCAUGCUUCCCCAAAAGAUAGCACUGCCUCGGAUAUUCACUUUGAGGAUAUUACCAUGGUUAAUGUUGGUAACCCUAUCCUCAUUGACAAAGAGUACUGCCCAUGGAACGAAUGCAAAAAAGGGGUAUCUAUCUAUAACAAUUUAUUAACACCGUAUAUAUGUUCCUUGUUAAUCAAGUCAUCAUUUACUUAAUCUUUAAAAAGUUUUAAAUUAAUCAAUUAAUGAAUGGUUUUGUGUAGGUUCCUUCCAAAGUUAAGAUCAGCAAUGUUAGCUUCAAGAACAUCAAGGGCACAUGUACUGACCCAGUUGCUGUGAAGCUUGCAUGCAGCCCAGGCCUGCCAUGUGAGAAUGUGGAAUUAUGUGACAUUGAUCUCAAGUACACUGGAGACAAAGGUCCUAUUACCUUUGUGUGUUCUAAUGUCAAGCCGACAAUUACUCGCGUGGCACAACCUCUUGCUUGCGCUACUAUCAGUGCUGCUCCUGCUCCUGCUUGAUCUAACAAGCACAAACCAUGCUGCUGAUGUUUCUUCAGAGAUACAUUGGUGUUGUGCUCUUCGAUUUUGUGCUAAGUGUACUUGGUGUUUUCAUCUAAGAAGGGGAAAAUAUCUCAGUGCUGAUCACGAAGGCUGGGUUCAGGCCAACUGCUUGAAGGCUUCUGAAAGGGGCACUUUGUCAGUGCUAUGCCUACUUCUCAGAAGUCGUGGAGGAAUCGGGGGUGCUUUUGUCCGGCGAUUGGGUGUCUCCAUCGGGACAGCCCGUCCGUUUCCACAUCCCUACGACCUUCCAAAUUGUCGGUAGGUCAGAUUACCGAUUGGUAGGUGGCCAAUUGCUUUCUUUAUGAUUUAAACCUUAUUUUGUUUCUGUUUUUGUAGGCAAACAAAAGCAACCGAGCCCCACGUAAUCAGAGAUUCAGCAGGUUGAUAGAGUUAGGUUGAAAGUCCCUACCAUUGGGAGGGUGUACCCCAAGUUUUUGUUCACCGAGAACCUUAUCGAAGCCAAACUUGCCAGCCAUGUUGAGAGUAAGUGGACUUGUUUUUGCGUUCUCAUUCAUAUUAUAUCAAUGCCUUACCGAUCUCCUUCUUGUGCAGUGACGGAUGCCAGAAGAGCCGCCAAAGCCAAGAGGAUGAAUGAGUCCUCAAAGAGGCGCCUCAUGAUGGGCAUUGAACGGAAGAAAAGAUUCGGCAUGUGGAGGCAGUGCCAGUUCCGUCGGCUGAGGUUGAUCUAGAGGAUUAGACCCUUGCCGACCGUCUUCGGCAGCUCAACGUCGGGUCGGAGCCCAGCGGUGCAGCCGAGGCUAAUUUGGCAUCGAGAAGAGUGCUAACCACCGAGGCCGCUGCUUUCUAGGCAGCCAGAAAAAGGCCGUUUAUGGUAGACCUUGAGGCAGAGCUAGUGCCAAAGCGCGGUCGGCAGAUGGAGGAGCAGAGGGCUGUCUUGGCUGUUGAGGACGAUGACAAUCCUGCCGAUCCGGUCACCCUCACAUGCCAAUCGAAGACACUCCAAUUUGCGAAUCAUGUGAUCCUUGGUUUGCAAAUGGAGUUGUCGGAGAUAGAGGAGCUACCGAAGAAACUCCUUCGGGAAGAAGCCGGUCGAGCCUUCCGUCUCCAGGCCUCCGUAAGUUUUUGUCUUGUUUUUAUUUCCCACUGUGCCACUGUUGGCUUCUUAUUGUGCUGACCUUUUGCUUUGCUUUCCAGGCGUCGAUGGACAUGUGACUGUGCAUGAAGCGGGCCAUCGUCGCUGCCGAGUGUGCCAAGAAAGCAUACGACGAUGGCUGUGCCAAAGUAGCCGAGGCAGGCAAGGCUCUCCAGGACCACGCUCACAUGCUGAAGGAUAAGCAGGCUACCAAACGGCAAGUUCAGGCUUCUGAGGCCAAACUGGGAGAGAUGAGAGUGGCUCUUGGGGCUGCGAUGAUGGCGGCAAGGGAUGCCGAGGCGGCUAAGGAGGCGGUGUAGGUGGCCUUGGAGGAUUUCGAGCAUUCUAAGGUGGCAUAAAUUGAAGCUGUUGUUCGGGAGGGUUCCAUGUUGCUGUGAGAGGUUACCAUUCAUCAGAAGAGUUCACCGUCAUGCUAGACAGGGAAGUGGGCUCGGAGAUGGCUGAUCUGCUCUACAGAUUCAAACGGUACAACCCCGGGCAGAAGCUGAACUUGAACUUUAUUGCCGAUCCUCCUCCCCUUCCUGAAGGUAUUACCAAGAGAUGAUCGAGGACUAUGAGGGGGAGGACGCUCCGGAAGAAGCCUGUGCUGUCGGGGUCCCCGCUACUACCGACGUUGCGAAUGAGGAGGCUACCGCUUGAGCUUUAGCCUCAUAGCUUUCUUUAUAUAUUUUGUAUCUGCCAUAAGGCAGCUCUUCUGAACACGUUGAUGCCGAGGGCAUCUUUUAAUUUUGUUUAAUAACUUGUCUAACGACCAAGUGAUCACACUGUCGGUAGAUUUUAGAGUUUAAUCAUCUUAAUUGCUGUGGGCUAAAUGAAAGAUUGACUGCCAAGUAACUUUCCAACGGUAAGGAGACUUAAGUGUUUUUCAUUGACGAAGGCUAAUAAAGGAUCUACUUGCAAUUGGCAAGUGCAGGUAGGAUCGGUAGUACCGAACUCCAGCUUAUCUGCUGCCGUAGGCUAAGUAAAUGCUUAAUUUAUAAGCGUAGGGUAAUACAUGACCGAUAGUCUCUACCGUAUCUUUUUAAUUAACGAAAAAUAAAUAAACACACCGAAGGUUGUGAAUAUGUAUAAGCCGAAGGUUUUUUCAUUAACCGUUGCCGAAGGCAUGAAUACAGGUUCAUUGUAUUACAAUUUCGCCCUACCGUAGGCUAGGUGACUUCAUUUAAAAUAGUAUUUCAAAUGAUCUACGUUCAUAGGAUGACCGAGGGUUUUGCCGUUGGAGUCUCUUAGCCGAUAGGUUCUCGAUCGAAGGAUGCCGAUAAUCUCAUAAGGUCCCUCCCAGGAAGGUCCGAGUGUCCCUUCCGUAGGAUUCUUGGUUGCCAGAAAGACUUUUUGCAUGACCCAGUCCCCAAUUCAGAAAGAGCAGGUUCUGAGCCUUAAGUCGUAAUACUGAGAGACGUGCUGUUUGUAUGCUUCAUUCCGAAGGUUGGCUUGCGCUCGACGUUCUUCGAUUAAGUCGAGGCUUAGUGCGAGGGCUUCCUCGUUUGUCUUCGGAGUGAAGCUUGCCUUUCGGUAGAGGGCUUGCCGAUCUCCACGGGGACCACGGCUUUAGAGCCGAAGGCGAGAGAAAAAGGGGUUUCUCUGGUUAACGUUCGGUAGGAUGUCCGAAUGGCCCAUAGUGCUUCCAGAAGUUUCCUUGGCCAAGUUCCCUUGGCUUUGUCGAGCUGCCGUUUUAGCAGUUUCUUAAUGAUUUUGUUUAUUGCUUCGACCUGAUCGUUCGACUGGGGGUGAGUUGGCGAAGCGAAGAACAAAUUGAUCUUGAGGCGAGUGUAGAAUUCCCUAAAGAGUUUCGAGUCAAACUGCCUGCCAUUAUCGGUGAUGAUUGCAUAGGGGACAUCGAAUUGGCAGCAAAUGUGAGUCCAGAUGAAGUCUUCCAUCCUAGCUGCCGUUAUGGCUGCCAGAGCUUCGACCUCCACCUAUUUGGUGAAAUAGUCCACAGCAACCACGACAUACUUGACCUGGCUUUUGCCUUGCGGCAUUGGACCGAUCAAGUCCAGUCUCCAUUGGGCGAAAGGCCACGGGCUUACGAUCGGUGUUAAAGGCACGGCAGGGAUGUGAGGUAUGUUGCAGAAGCGUUGACAUUUGUCGCACCUCUUUACUAGUGUGUUUGCGUCCUGGUGCAUAGUCGGCCAAUAAUACCAUUGUCGAAAGGCCUUAUGUGCGAGCGAUCGAGAUCCAGAAUGGUUGCCACAUACGCCCCCGUGGAUUUCAAGAAGGACGUAGUCCCAUUUUUUCGGUGAUGAUGUGUUUCAGAUACAGUGUAAUAUAGGUGCGUUUGUAAAGGACGUCGUUGAUAACUGUGUAUCUUGCCGAUCGGUACUGCAGCUUUUGGGCCUGUGACUUGUCGGAGGGCAGUGUACCGUUUGUUAGGAGACCGUAGAUGAGAGACAUCCACUUGUUUUCGUACCGUACGGUACAUACCUCCGAAGUUGUCGUACUAGCUUGAGAUAGGAUCUCCACCGGCACCUUUCUGCCAACCUUGUUAUUGAUUGUCGAAGCUAGUCAUGCCAGUGCAUCGGCAUGACUGUUUUUCAUCCUGGGGAUUUGCCGAAUCUCAUAAGCCUGAAAUGCUUUGAGGAGUCAGUGUGUGGUUGAUAGGUAGGCUGUCAUGGAGGCAUCCCUAGCUGCGAAGUCUGCCGUUAUGUGAUUCACUAUGAGCUGGGAGUCACUAUGGAUGUUGAUUUGUUUUGCACUCAUGAUCUUGUCUAGCCGAAGGCCGGCCAAGAGAGCUUGAUAUUCAGCUUCGUUGUUGGAGGUUCUGAAGUUAUAUCGGAGGGCAUAUUCGACCUUGGCUCUGUCUGGAGUAGUUAACACCAGACCAGCUCCACAACCUUGUUCAUUUGCCGAGCCGUCGACAUGCAGAAUCCAUAUGGGAACAGAAGGGUGGAAGUGUUCGGCGGGUUGUGCCUGUGGUGUUGGGGUUUCGUCCCUGGGGUCGUAAAUGGGCCCGUUACCGUUCAGUGCCCCCAAGACAAACAUGGUCUCCUUGGGAGGUUUAGUGGCUACUGACCUUAGUGCCGUCGCAUAGCAUGUUCGUGCACUGAGUUGAUCUCCUCUGACAGCGCCUAUGCCGUUGUACGUUGGGAAUUUCAUCAACAACAUAUGGGGGGACAUGUGUGCCUUGAUUCUGGUAAGCGUCGUUCGUCCGACUAUGACGUUAUAUGCCGUUGGGUAGUUGACGAUAAGAAAUUGGUCAUAUGUCAUUGUUUUCCAAGGGGCAACACCGAAGGCGAUGGGUAGACUGACACUGCCGACUGGCUGGACCAGAUCCCUGGAGAAACUAAGUAGUGGUGUUAUCUGCCGAUUGACCUGGCUAUCGGCUACUCCCAUUCCUCUGAAAGCAUCGGCGAAAAUUACAUUUACCGAACUCCAGUGUCGAUCAGUACCCGUCCCACAUCGUAGUCAGCGAUUUCAACUCGAAUGAUCAUUGGGUCAUCAUGGGGGUAAAUGAUCCCUUCUUCCUCUUCACAAAAUGUGAUGGGUUCCCACCCUACCUUUGGAACCUUGCGGUGUCGAUCAGCCUCUAUGCCGAAGACUUGAGGGUAGUGCGCAGCCCGUUUAUAUUGUUUUACCGAUCAAUUGGACAUACCCGCCAGUGUGGGACCUCUACUGAUGGUGAUGAUCAUGUUGAUCUGUCGAUUCCCGUUCGGCACCGGUGCUUGCCAUAGUCUGGCGAUGUACUGAUCCAGCUUCCCUUCACGAAUUAGAUGUUCGACGAUUUUUGUAAAGACCCAAACCUAAAAUUCACAUGUAAUUAGUAAUUUAUUAUGCAGAAAGACAAUUUUGCCCUUUGACUCACUUAUGAACUCAACGUUGACUUUUUGACCGAAAAGGAAUUUGACAAUUCCACAUACACCGUUGUGUAGAGCACGACGAUACGAGUUCAUAGACACGAAGUAAGCUCGAAUCGGAGUUGUAACGAAGAAAAUACGAUUAAAAUAUCACGAAGGGCAAAAUUGUAAAUAAGAAAAUCAGAAUUUUUAUAAAAACCUCAACUUCUCUUUCUCUUUCCCUCUCUCUCUCUCUCCCUCCCGAUAGUUCUAGAAAACCUGUCGGGCAGCCACCUUCCAAGCCACCCCAACGCCACCUCACGCCACCCCGACCCAGCAGCACCGGCCAGCUCCCGCCAUCAACCCCAGCCCGUCCGCCGCCCCUGCUGCUGUCUGGAGCAUCCGGAAACUGCUGGAAAACGCAGCAGUUUUGGCAGAUUUUCCAACCUCAGUUUCUCCCUCAUCCGGCCACCAAAUCAGUCGUGCGAGGUAUCGAUUUCUAGCUAUUUUUCGUGUUCUAACUGCUGGUUGGCUGGGUUUCGAUCAAUUUUUGCUGUAGAUCACUCGAUUUUCAAAUUGAAAUUCGGCCGACUUUCGGCCUCCGUGUUCGGCCAUUUCCGGCCACUUUUUGGGGUAGGUCCAAGAACAAAAGUGACGCCAAAUGGGGUGUUUUACCUAGGAUAGGAGUUUGGAGUCUUGGUUCCGAGAUUUUUCGGCCACUCGGUAUCGCUUUAGACACCCGAAUCUGCCCGCGCGUGCUGGGGCGCGUGGGCGAGGGUGGUGGAGUAACUCUGCCGGGUUUAAUACUGUUGAGCCGUUGGAUCGUAAUCAAUUUUAGAUAUGUUACUCUAGAUAAUUUUAGAAACGUGUAGGAUUCGACGGAUUGUGAAUCGGAGACCCGGAUACUCCGAAAACGCGAACCCUAGGGCUAGGGUUUAGAAAUUACAGGAUUGUGAUCAAUCCGACCGUCCGAUUGACACCAAUACCUUCGGGACAUGUGUCCUAAAUAUAUUGGACCUUCUAGCGGCAUCCGGAUCAUAUUAUACCCGUGGGGUUCCGGAUUGACUUUUUGGACUUUAGCACUUUUUGAGUCACAAGAUACCGCUAAACGAUCCCACGUGGAAGGAAAGCUGUUAUGGGCAUAGGGAUCACUUUAAAUUGACGCACGUACUUUUAGGAGCCGGGGGUAGGGUUUUUAAUUUAAUACUAUAUUGUAUUAAUAGAAUAUUAUGGUCAUUGAAUCAGGCACCCGGGCACCAGUUGACCCGCAGGAGGGACCUUCAAGAGGUCCAGCGAGCUCAGACUAUCAGUGAGUGGACUCUUUGUUUUUAUAAAUGAAUUUAAUCAGUUCAGUUUCAGUUAAGCAGUUCAGUUUCAGUUAUAAGCUGUUUUAUGUUGUUAAAUAUUUUAUGUUACAUGCUGCCGAAUGAAGUUUCCUUUUAAGAAUAUAGGAAAAGAUAUUCUCGUUAAUUAUCAGAUAAAUGGCAGCAGAAUUUUAAAGGUUACAGAAAGUUAAUUAUUCAUAAGAUUUUCUUCAGAAACUUUAUAUUUUCUUAAACCACCUUGUACCCAGUUAUCACAUGUUGCCUUCGGAUUAUAUUUGUUGCCUUCGGUUUAGUCAGCAUGCUUGACAGUUGCCCCACGAGUUCCUUGGUACUCGACCUCGUGUGGAGCGAGUAAUGCGGAUAAAGGUUGAUUGCGGUCUCCUGAAUCCUGCGAGUUGCGGCUCAGACUGACCUCGUGUCACUGAGACCUGCGAGUAUGUGUCACCCAUGGUGAUGCAAGGAAUUGACGGAUAUAAGGAUUUGACGGAAAUAGGUGUACACCUAGGUGAUAGUUUUCAACUAUUUUCAAAUGUAUAGUUAUAUACAUGCAUUGAUUUCAGAAAUAAAGAAAAUAAGCUAGUUUGUAUAACUGUUUUUUCAGUGGGGUUAGUAUGUUCAUAUGGUAUUUUCUAAACUUUGUUUUUGGGUCCACUCACCCUUCUUGUUGUUUUGCGCCCCCAGGCAGUAGACGUGCACAGGAAUCCACCACCGGGCCACUUCCCAUCUUCCGUGCCUUUCUUUGAUGUAGGAUUUGUAUUUUGUACAAAGAUUAACUCUUUUGUAAAUUCUUAGUAGUCGCUCUGAUGUUUUGCCCUAGACUGAGCUUUGAUCUCUUGGCAUGUGUAUAUAUAUGUAUGCUGGCAGUUGGUUAUAUAUAUAUACUUGUUUUGACAGGUGUAAAGAUUUUGGUAUUGAGCCAGAUACAAGGGAAACUCUGCCGGUUUUUCGGUAGAAGUCAACCUUGUUAUUUUUAUCAUGUUUUGUAUAGAAGGGCAAAUAGGUCAUUUGUGCCCGACAUUCGCCAGGUGUCGGACACGCACAGGGUCUGGCUCGGAUUCCAAAGUGGAAUUUGGAUCGGGUCCUGACAAUUUUCCUCAGGCUUAUGCACUCUUCAGUGUCAUGACUGUUGUGCUGGUGGUAUCGGCAGAAUUUGCCGGUAUCCCGAUUGUCCUGUCGAUUGGGCUUUCGACGGUUCGGCUUGGGUAUUAUCUCAUUUUCGUUCAUCAAAACGGCCUCGUAGGUGGUAUUCAGCAGGGUGAAUACUUCCUGACCGUGGUCGUAAUUCGGUAAGGGCGCUCGGUGGUCAUUGUGACCGUAUUGUCCUUUUCCUUUCUUUGAGUGCCCCUGUCGAGCAUCUCGGUCAUCUUUCCAUUUGUUCCCUGUCGAGAAUUCUCCAGUUCUUUUAGGGUUUGGGAGUGCUUCUUCCCGAAGCGCUUAUGCCAGUAGCGCUUAGGACAUAAGCACUUCUACAAAGAAGCAAUUUGUCGUUUGGAUGUCACAUUUAAAAGUGCUUUACACUACAUAAAAGAACUUUUGAUAUUUUGUUAAGUGUUUGGCUGACACAAUAAAAGAGCUUUGAUUUAUCUGGAACUCUCCUAAAUUGUGAGUCUUGUGGACUUAUGAUAUCACUAUCCAUGCGACAAACGACAUCUAAAAUUAUCCCAAACCACCUUGACACCAUCCGCACCAGAAUGUUGAAAUUGGACCAUUCUAUUAGUGAAAGCAUUGAAAAAUGUAAUGCAUUGCCAUAGUGCAACCCAGAACACAGCUUCUUUCUAAAGUCGAUACAAAUUGAGAGGGAGUGCUUGGUGGCACUCUUUUGGGGGUUUUGAGCGCGCAAUGCUUGUCCAAAACACUGCAGCCAACAAAUCAAAAGGGUAGGCUUCAGGGCAAGUUUUUUGGAUUUGUGAGAGGCCUUGCUUGAUCAUUGCACUGGAGAAUUUGAAAGUGGUUGUGCUCAUUUUCUUUUCUGGUAAAGGGGUCUUUGCUGCCAUAGACUUGACUUCAUAAUAAGCCUCUGCUGAUUUUGUUUUUAUUAUGUCUUGAUCAACGGGUCUGCCUCCGAGGGCUGAUGACUCCCCGACGAGAAGCAGGUGGGCAAAUUCAUUUAUCUCCAAAGCCAGGAUUGAUUCUUAUGUUAAUGCUUUUUUAAUCAAGUUUGGUGCUACAUAUAAUAAUGUUUGUUUUCAAUAAAAUCGAGCAGACAAUAUUAUAUAAGCAAGGGGCAUACAAGAAUUCAGAACUCAUCUCCAUUCUCUAGCAAGAAAGAGAGAGGAAAAAAAAGAAAGAAAGGGUAUUUUGGCAUUUAAAAAAAAUUAAAUAAAGGUAUUUUCGGCAUUUUAAAAGUUUCAUUGAAGGGAGCCAAGUGCUUCUUGUGUUUUUGUGCUGCAGCGCUUUUAAGAAGAAGCACCUCUCAAGUGCUUCUUCCAAAACCACUCCAAGUGCUUUUGUAUCUCACCCAAAGCACUUUUGCAAUUUUUGCCAAACACCAUUUUUAAAAGAUAGAAGCACUUUUCGUUGCUCCAAAACAACUCCCAAACGAGCCUAUGAACACAGUCUUCCUAGAGAAUGUCGUUGUACUGUUGGAUAUCAGAGUCACACUACAUCCUACUCGGACGACGGAAGUGUAUGUCUUGCCAUAAGCCUUGGAGAUUAUUGUAAUAAGUUUCAAUCGAGCCACCUGCUUGUCGCAAUCGUUGGCUUUGCCGUUUAAGGUUGUACACUUGAGGGGUGUACGUGCCAUCAAAGUAGAUCAUGGCAAUCGCAUCCCAUAUUGCUUUUGCCGUAGGAAAUCAAAUAAAGGUGCUAAUCAAGCGAGGGUCCAAAGAAUUGAUUAGCCAGUCUUUCACAACUGCGUUUUGGGUACGCCAGCGGUUGAAACUUGGGUUGGUCUAAGUAGGUGUCCCAACUUGUCUUUGCCGGCAACAUACAUCUUGACAACUUGGGACCAAAAGGGGUAGUUGGAGCCAUCCAACUUGAUUCCAAUAUGUGCGGAAGCUUCAUAGGUAAUAGUCAAGGUCGGGUAUACCAUACUAAAAUAUGAGAACCUAUGAGAGAAUAUUGUUUGUGGGAAUUUUCUGUGUAUUCUUCUCCAUAUAAGAGGCCAUAUUUAUAGUACAAUAUAUAUCCUUUGUAGGUUAAGGAACGUAAUAACCCCUAAUUCAAUUUACAGUAGGAAAUCAUGAAUUAAAGUAAAUCAAUUACAUUUAAUAUAGAAAUUUUUGGCGUGUAAGAAAAAUAAAUGCAGGUCCACAAGUCAUGCAAAUAUAUACAACCAUACUAUUUUUCAAAUUUGUAUCAACUUUCUCACAUGGAAGAUGUCUACAACUUUUACAAAUAUUAAUGAGUCUCAUUAGCUACACAAUAUACAGAUAGAAGUUGCACAAAAACAUCGUUUGCAACUAAUUGAUGGCUCUUUCAACGAAAAAGCUUAUAGUUAGAGGGGAAAAGAAACAAAAAAGCUUGCCUUGGACAAAAGUAGAUAGUAAUUUGGUUUGAUAAUGUUAGUGGUGCGGUUGUAAGCUUCCAACCGGACAAUAUAUAAAUUGGGUCGAAACGAAAAUGGAGUACAUAAAACUUAACCCACUUUUAAUCAUUCUCAACAUCACCAUUUAUUUGAUCCACCAAACAAGGCUCCUUCUGUUCCAUUAUUCGAAAUCUCAAACUUGACAUAACCACAAUCAACCCUCAAUAGCAUUCUCUCUCUCUCUCUCUCUCUCUCUCUCUCUCUCUCUCUCUCUCUCUCUCUCUCUCUCUCUGUUCCACCCAAAAACCAUGCCUUGCUAAAUAAGAAUUCAAUAGUGAGGGCCUUAUAUCUAAGGCCCUUAUAUGAUCGCUUAGCUGUUGGAUCAAAUUGGUUAGCUGUUGGAUCAAAUUGGUUAGCCGUUGGAUCAAAUUGGUUAGUUUGAUAUAACGGUUAAGAGAUAUGACCUCGUGGCUUUAAUUUGAGCUGUGGGUCCAAUCAAACAAUAUGGGUAGAAUAUUUUUCAGGUUGUAUUUCAUUCUCCAAAAGAAGGUAUUUAUAGUAUAAGGAUGUAACCCUAGUAGGGUCAAACUAGAAAACAAGAUAAAGACCUAAUUACACAAUAUCUGUACAAAAAGGAAAGAAAUAUAAUCCUAAUAAACUGGAAAAUAAAUAUCCUAAUUAAGCUAGGAUCUCGCUAACACUCCCUCUCAAGUUGGAGCAAAGAUGUCACGUAUGCCCAACUUGUCAAGCGAGUUGAGAAAGACCAUAGUAGACAUAGUUUUCGUAAGAACAUCUGCUAGUUGAUACUCGGAUGAUAUAAACGGAAAAGAAAUAAUUUCCGCAUCCCAUUUCUCUUUAACAAAAUGUCGAUCAACCUCCACGUGCUUUGUACGAUCAUGUUGCAUAGGGUUAUGCGCAAUUGCAAUUGCAGCUUUAUUAUCACAAUACAAAUCCAUGAGUUUGGGGGAAGAGAGAGAGAGAGUGUGUGAUGGUUGUGGGGUGGUGGUUGUGGGAAGGUGAGUUGUUGAGAGAGAGAUGGAGACUGCGAUGGAUAAAAGGGUGGUCGUGGGUUUGGGGGUGUGUUGUGAAAGGGAAGGCAGCGACGGUGGGGAAGGGGGAUGGGUUGCGAAUUAGUCUUGGGGGUGAGUUGCAGGUGGGGAAGGGGUGAGUUGCAGGUGGGAAAUGGGUAGUCAGGUUGGGGAAGAAAAAGAGAGAGGGGAUAGGGAAUCUGUUGGUAGGAUAGGUUUUUGUUUUUGUUCCUUUUUCUUUAAUUUUUUUCUAAAAAAAUUAAUUUAUUUUUAAUAUUUUAACUGAAAAUUAGAUGAAAUGUUGAUGAUUUAGACGGUAGGGGGAAAUUGGUGAAAAAGUUCAUAUCCUUAAUUUUGUAAAAAAAAAAAAAAGGAUAGUGGGUCAAUUAAAACCAAGGUACAAGUUCAAGGGGCAAAUCACUAGUACACCCUUCUUAAUACAAUACCCUAUAAAAUGUCAAAUUUACCCUUAUAUUUGACGGGCAUUUGGAUGGAAUUGUAAAAAAGCUAACAGCAGGGGUGAAAUUGGCGAAUAAAUUUAAUACAAGGGCUAAAUUGGCUGAAAAAUUAAUUCAGGGUGGAGAUUUCGACAAGCAUAAUAAUUCAGGGGGGAUUCGAAAGUUUACCCUUAAAAAAAGUUAAAAAUUUGCCCUGAACAUUUGUUAUCUACUAUCAUCUACAUUUUUUAUGCACGACAUAUUAAUGAUUCUUUCUUCUUUGUAGAUGUGGAUUGGGACAAAACAAUGUGCCCAUAACCUUGCAAUAUGAAUCUUCUUUGGAUAUUUGUUUAACCAAAUUUACUAAAUUAGCCUCUUUAUUUAAUUAUUUCUCUUCCCAAAUAUUUAGUACAUUGUAAAUGUUGUUUGUGAAUGCGAGCGUAUAUCUUGACAUCUUAGUAACUUUUUGAGUAUGCUAUCGAUUUUAGGCUAUAAAUAUUGCUUGGAAAGAAGCAUGCGCAUCCACAACUCCGAACAUGGUUGUGAUAGCAAAAGGAAACUACCUGGCUGGUCCAGUGACGUUUCAAGGGCCCUGCAAAGGGCCAGUUAGCGUUCGAGUUAAAGGAACCCUGCAGGCUCUUGCAGAGCCAGAAAAGCUCAAGUCACAAGAUGGUUGGGUCGUUUUCCAAAAUAUUGAUGGGUUAACAGUCUCAGGAGGUGGCACUUUUGAUGGCCAAGGAUCAAUAGCUUAAUCCAAAAAUGAUUAUGCCAAAACUGGAAAAUGCAACUCACUGCCAAUAUUAAGUUUUUUUAAAUUUGAAGUGCACGUUUUUAUUUAUUUAUCAAUCUUGUGUGCUAGAAACGGAGGCUAACAAAUAGAGUUUGCUCAAUUGGGUUCCUUGAAUGCAGAACAUAAGAUUCACAGGGCUCACCAAUUCACACAUUCAAGACGUAACAUCCUUGAACAGCAAGCUGUUUCACAUAAACGUCAUAAAUUGCAAAAAUGUGACACUUCAACAUGUGAUCAUCACCACCCCUGGUAAAGCAUGCCUUAGAUAAGGCCCUCACUCACUCCUUAUAAACCCAGGCUAGGUCCCUUAACUUUUCAAUGUGAAUAUAAAACGAAUUUUCAAUAGUUAUUUCUCUUGUCACGACUGCUUUGUUACAAAUUAUGGUCAAGAAUUUAUUAGUUUGAUUAGUGCUUUAGGAAACAAUUUUUGGUUUAUGAAAAAUAAAUUUUGUGUGUGUAUUUUUGUUAAUCUUUGCACCAAAUUGGAUGAUAACAGGUUUAGUACUUUUGGUCUAUGAGUCACCCAUGUCAUAAAUCCUCUCUUUCUAAUCUAACAUAGUCUUGGAAGAAAAAAGUUUUUGUCCAAAUUGGAAACUGAGUGAAGAGCCAUUGUAGGUAAUUCAUGUUCUAAAGCGGAGCAGCUUAAUUAAUUACUAAUUAUAGGAUUAUUUUAGGACUCAAGGACCGGCCAAAAACUAGUCCACGCGCGGCCACACUCACCGGCAGCGCGUGGGUGUCCAAAGUGAUUCCGGCAAUCGGAAAAUCUCCAAACCGCCGGUCAAGACUUAUACCUACAUGAUCUGCACAUAGAGUGGAGCAACUUUUGAUCAUGGACCUACCCCCAAAAAGUCGACGGAAGCGGCCCGAAUCGGAGGCCAAAAUCCGGCCAAACUUCCAUCACUUAUUUACGUCUCAAAACGCAGAAAUUUCUCGUAACCAAUACAACCAGCAGCUAGAACACCUCGAGAGGUUGAGAAAGCAUACCUGGAUCGACGGAAAUGGUGGCCGGAAACGUUCAAACGAGCGUCAGAAAAUUCUCAUAAAAACCUCCCAGUUUUCUGGUUUUUUUCGGCCAAAACCGGAGGCUGGGCUGGGGCGGGGCUGGAAGAGGAAGAUGUUGCGGUCCUUUUGGGACCAGUACCGCCCCAAGUGGUGGCUCUAGAUGCCACUGGCUGGGAAGAAAAAUCCAAGAGGGGGGGGGGGGUGGUUGUUCUGUAUCACGAAAACAGAGAGGAGAGAGAGAAAGAGAGAGAGAGAGAGAGAGAGAGAGAGAGAGUGUGUGUGUGUGUGUGUGUGUGUGUGUGUGUGUGAUAUCAGAUUUUUAAAAUACCCUUUUUCGAAAAAUGUAUGAUUUUGCCACUAUAUUUUUCAUCGUAACUUCUUUGUUACAACUCAGAUUUGAGUCCACUACGUGUCUACGGACUCAUCUCGACAUGCUCUACGCAAAAGUAUAAUUGAAAUCCCCAGAUUCCCUCCCAAACAAAAAGUCAACUUUAAAUCAUUAAAAUAUUUCAGGGGUAAAAUUAUCUUCUAUUUGAAUAAAUUAAUAAUUAAAAAUUAAUUUGGGAUCGGGUUGUUACAUGCUACAUAAGAAUUCUAUAGUGAGGGCCUUCUUCUAAGGCCCUUAGAUGAUCUCUUAACUGUUAGAUUAAAUUGGUUAGCCAUUGAAUCAAAUUGGUUAGUUUGAUCCAACGGUUAAGAGAUAUGACCUCAUAGCUUUAAUUUGAGCUGCGAAUCCUACCCUGGAAACAUAACUUGAGCUGCGAUCUGAUUCCAUCAUUAAAUAAAUGACGGAUAUGAAUAUUUGUCCAUCUGUAAUAGAAAUUACAUUAGUAGGAAUGUAAAACGAAACAUCUCCCGAUUGGGUCUCAACUAUUGGUAAAGCAUGCCUUAGAUAAGGCCCUCACUCACUCCUUAUAAACCCAGCAUGGCCCCUUAACUUUUCAAUGUGAAUAUAAAACGAAUUUCCAAUAGUUAUUUCUCUUGUCACGACUGCUUUGUUACAAAUUAUGGUCAAGAAUUUAUUAGUUUGAUUAGUGCGUUCGGAAACAAUUUUUGGUUUAUGAAAAACGAAUUUUGUGUGUGUAUUUUUUUUGUUAAUCUUUGCACCCAAUUGGAUGAUAACAGGUUUAGUACUUUUGGUUUAUGAGUCACCCAUGUCAUAAAUCUUCUCUUUCUAAUCUGACAUAGUCUUGGAAGAAAAAAUCUUUUGCCCAAAUUGGAAACUGAGCGAAGAGCCAUUGUAGGUAAUUCAUGUUCUAAAGCUGAGCAGCUUAAUUAAUUACUAAUUAUUGGAUGGUUGACCUACAUUCAACUUCUUAAUUGGCCAAAUAAAUAUUAACGGUGUUGAGCUUUCCGAUGGGAGUAUAAAUUGGGCUGAAAGCAAUGGAGUUUCAUCAUACUCCAAACAAAAAGGAAAUAACAAAGUCUCAAGAUGGGUUUGAAACUGAAAAAUGUCUUGCCAAUGUUUGUGUUCUUGUUGUUAGCAUCCACAGCUAAAGCUCAAUCUGCUGCCUUAGAUGUGACAAGUGAAAAAUAUGGUGGAAAGCCAGACUCUGAUAUUACCCAGGUAACAAAAACAUUUGUAUUCAUAUUCGGUUCUGAUUAGAAUUUGUUUCUACAAUUGUUUGCCAAACAAAAUCGUUAACAGUUUUAAAUUUGCGUAAUGUUAAUUAGGCUUUAGAGAAGGCUUGGACAGAUGCAUGUGCAUCAACAGCACCAAGUAAAAUUGUUGUUCCAAAGGGAACAUUCAAGUUUGUAGGAACAACUUUUAAAGGUCCUUGCAAGGCUGCUAUUGAGUUUCAGCUCCAAGGAACAUUGCAGGCUCCAGUAGAUGGCAGCCAGCUCCCGAAGGACGACACUUGGAUUGGUUUCGACAACGUCGACGGGCUCACCUUGUCAGGUGGUGGAACUUUUGAUGGCCAAGGAGCACAGUCUUGGAAAAACAAUGAUUGCAACAAAAAUAGACAAUGCAAAUCUAAACACAUUGUAAGAUGAUUUAAUCCUACCAUGUUGUUUUAUAUACUUGAAAAUCUUCUUGUGUCACAUAGGAGCAUUUGCGAAAUCAUGCUCAUUGAUCAAUUCUUGACUUGAUGAUACGUGAUCCAGAUUCACAGCCUGACAAUAUAAACAUAUUUCAUUUGUUUUCUUAAUAUAUGCAGAAUUUGAGGUUCCACUUACUCACCAAUUCCAAAAUUUUGGACGUAACUUCAAAAGAUAGCAAAAAUUUCCACGUCAAUCUUUUGAAGUGCGAGAAAGUUGAAUUCAACGGAUUUACCGUCUCAGCACCUAAGGAAAGCAUGAACACAGAUGGAAUUCACAUCGGUCGUUCAACUGGGAUCAACAUCACUGCCACAACCAUCGGAACUGGGGAUGAUUGUAUUUCGAUCGGUGACGGUACCAAGGACCUCACCGUGACCAACGUUACUUGCGGGCCAGGCCACGGCAUAGCCAUCGGGAGCCUUGGAAGGUACCCAGAGGAAGAACCCGUGUCCGGCAUCAAUAUUAAGAAAUGCACCUUGACUGAUACAACGAAUGGUGUGAGGAUCAAAACAUGGCCUGCUUCCCCAAAAGAUAGCACUGCCUCGGAUAUUCACUUUGAGGAUAUUACCAUGGUUAAUGUUGGUAACCCUAUCCUCAUUGACCAAGAGUACUGCCCAUGGAACGAAUGCAAAAAAGGGGUAUCUAUCUAUAACAAUUUACUAACACCAUAUAUAUGUUCCUUGUUAAUCAAGUCAUCAUUUACUUAAUCUUUAAAAGGAUUUAAAUUAAUCAAUUAAUUAAUGAAUGGUUUUGUGUAGGUUCCUUCCAAAGUUAAGAUCAGCAAUGUUAGCUUCAAGAACAUCAAGGGCACAUGUACCGACCCAGUUGCUGUGAAGCUUGCAUGCAGCCCAGGCCUGCCAUGUGAGAAUGUGGAAUUGAGUGACAUUGAUCUCAAGUACACUGGAGACAAAGGUCCUAUUACCUCUGUGUGUUCUAAUGUCAAGCCGACAAUUACUCGCGUGGCACAGCCUCUUGCUUGCGCUACCAGCGCUGCUGCUCCUGCUUCUGCUUGAUCUAACAAGCACAAACCAUGCUGCUGAUGUUUCUUCAGAGAUACAUUGGUUGUGUGCUCUUCGAUUUUGUGCUAAGUGUACUUGGUGUUUUCAUCUAAGAGGGGGAAAAUAUCUCAGUACAAUUUUUGUUACAUCUUAAAAGAGAUGAAUAAAUUAGUAGGAACUAGAUGAAAAUAAUCAUGGGAAAGAGAAAGAAAGUUUCAUUUGAUUAAAAAAGAAUGUUAUUGGAAUAUGAAUCUUCUUUGGAUAUUUGUUUAACCAAAUUUUCUAAAUUAGCCUCUUUAUUUAAUUGUUUCUGUAUGAAUGACCACCUCGACCAGUAGUGUGCUAGGAAGGGGAAGAGGGAGGGGUGAUUCAAUCCUAUGAUUUUUAUAUUUUAUGCAAGAAUAGAAGUAAAAACUUCAAAGAAAAAAGAAGAAUAAGGAUUAUUAAUUCAAGUAAUGUAUUGAGUUUAAAUACACAUUAAAAAAAGUGUAAACUGCCGAAUACCCCCUUGAAUUAUCACGCUUGUCGAAUCUCCACCCUAAAUUAAUUUUUCAGCCAAUUGAGCCUUUAUAUUAAAUUUCUUCUCCAAUUUCACCCUUGCCGUUAGCUUUUGACAAUUUCCAUCCAAAUCUUUGUGAAAAAAGUACUAUGUUAGGCAUAUACUUCACUGUUGAAUUAAAAAUUGAUUUUUUUUCUCUGGUUCUUCAAAGUGCUUGAAUGUGGGAGAAAUAAAUCGGGGGGAGUGGGGGAGAAGGGAUUUUGGUUUCUGCAAGUGGGGGUUGGGAGGACGGGGGAGGACAUGGGAUAUAUCUGUGGGUGGUGGUUGGUUGUUGGGAUAUUGUGGCAGAAGAAAUCAUAACGAGGGAGAAGAAAGCGGGGGAGGGGGUGCUGAUUCUGGGUUUUGCGGGUUUGGGGGAAUGGGGGAAACUAGAAUUUAUAAAAAAAAAGCUGAAACUAGAAAAGAACUCCAAGAACCAGCCAAACCCAAUCCUUGUCAAGCUUUAAACUUUAUGAACCACACAAAAUUGACAACACCCAAGGUGGUUCCAACCGUGAAUUCUCCACUCAAUUAAAAACUCCAUUUUAAUAAAAAAAUUAUUUCGACUUUUAAUUACUAUAUUGAAAGAAGUAAUUGGAACUUUUAAUUAUUUCAACACAAUCAGGGGAGGGGGGGAAGGGGGUUCUGGUUUCUACAAGUGUGGGGUGGGAGGAGAGGGGAGUGGUCUGUAGAGUGGUUGGGAAAUGGGGGAGAAGAAAUUGGUGGGAGGUUUUCUUUUUCUCUAUUUGAUUUUGUUAUUACAUUUUCCUUAUUCUUUGGGUAAAUUACUCAAAUGGUCCUCAAACUUAUACUCGAUUUGUAUUUUGGUCCCUCAAUUAAAUUAUUCGUUCAAAUGGUCCAUCAACUCUAUAUUAUUCGCUCCAUUAUUCCUACCGUUACAUUCUGUCAAUAUUUCUGUUAAAUAUGAGGGAAAAUUGGUCAUUAUUUACCCUAAAAUUAGGUUAAAUCUAACAGAAAAUUAGACAGUAGGACCAUUGGAGCUAAUAAUAUAGAGUUGAGGGACCAUUUGAACGAAUAAUUUAGUUGAAGGACCAAAAUGUAAAUCAGUUAUAAGUUUGAGGACCAUUUUAGUAAUUUACCAUUUUUCUUAAUACUAUACUUUGUAAAUUUUCAAAUUUACCCUUAUAUUUGAUGGGCAUUUGGAUGGAAGUAUGAAAAAGCUAACGGCAUGGGUGAAAUUGGCGAAUAAAUUUAAUACAAUGACUAAAUUGGUUGAAAAAUUAAUUCAGAAUGGAGAUUUGACAAGGGUGAUAGUUCAAGGGGGAUUCGACAGUUUAUACCCUUAAAAAAACUUAAAAAUUUGCCUUGAACAUUUGUUAUCUACUAUCAUUUGUAUUUUUUAUGCAAGCCAUAUUAAUCAUUCUUUCUUCUUUGUAGUUGUGGAUUAGGACAAAAAAAAUGUGCCAAUCCCCUUGCAAUAUGAAUCUUCUUUGGAUAUUUGUUUAACCAAAUUUACUCAAUUAGCCUCUUUAUUUAAUUAUUUCUCUUCCCAGAUAUUUAACAUCUUAGUAACUUUUUGAGUAUGCUAUCGAUUUAAGGCUAUUAAUAGUGCUUGGAAAGAAGCAUGAGCAUCCACAGCUCCGAACACGGUUGUGAUAGCAAAAGGAAAUUACAUGGCUGGUCCAGUGAAGUUUCAAGCAAAUCGCUGGCUAGCGUUCGAGUUGAAGGACCCCUGCAGGCUCUUGCAGAGCCAGAAAAGCUCAAGUCACAAGAUGGUUGGGUUGUUUUCCAAAAUAUUGAUGGGUUAACAGUCUCAGGAGGUGGCACUUUUGAUGGCCAAGGAUCAAUCGCUUAAUCCAAAAAUGAUUGUGCCAAAACUGGAAAAUGCAACUCACUGCCUAUAUUAAGUUUUUUUAAAUUUGAAGUGCACGUUUUUUUUAUCAAUCUUGUGAGCUAGAAACGGAGGCUAACAAAUAGAAUUUGCUCAAUUGGGUUCCUUGAAUGCAGAACAUAAGAUUCACAGGGCUCACCAAUUCACACUUUCAAGACAUAACAUCUUUGAACAGCAAGCUGUUUCACAUAAACGUCUUAAACUGUAAAAAUGUGACACUUCAACAUGUGAUCAUCACCACCCCUGGUGAAAGUCUAAACACAGAUGGAAUCCACAUAGACGGUUGACAGAGAUUUUCGAACACCUGAAAAAGAGUAUCCAAAAAUCUCAAAUUAAAUUACCUGCAAGCGAGGAGAGCACGUGUGUAAAAUAUUAGGGCGUGGGUUUUUCACGUUCAACUGUCAUCCCCUCAUUGGCCUAACAACGCUCGUUUUCAUCCACGUUCAGCCGUCGUCGCCCUCCUCGACUUGACAAGGCCUAGUCACUUUUCUUCCACGUCGAGUCGCUGCCGUUUCUCUUCCACGUCGAGUCGCUACCGUCACCCCUCUCUUUGAUUCUGGGGUUCUAGCCUCGUUGUUGUCUCUCUCAUAUCCUGGGUGUUGGUUUUGUCGUUCACUUUCUCCUCAGUGGGUUGGCAUUUCUUGUGGUUGUGUUAGUAUGGUGGUUUCAGCGGGUUUGCUACUGCUAUUGUGCCAACAGUCUCCAAGUCAACGACUAUGGUGCAAGCUGCUUCAUUGGGGUCAGCGGUCAUGGUGGAGGUGGCUUUCUUCACGCCUCCUUCGUCGCCCAAUCCGCAAUCUCAAGCCUUACAUUCAUGAGAAGACGACCGUUGUCCAAAGAUUUGGCGUGGGUGGCUACACCUAGGGUUUAUAGUUUUGGUCCUCCUUUUCACGGUGUUGGGCCAGGUUUUUGGAAACUCAGGUUGUUGGGUACCAUCCUUUUACCCAUAUUUCCCCUUUUUUUCAUCCGAUCCGGUUCGGUAUUCCGGUUUUCCGAUCCCGAUGCCCACCCCUACUUCUUAUAGACUAAGAAUACUGUCCAAAUGGCCAAUGCCAAGCGAAAAUCCCGUCGAAAAUUAAGAUAAACAAUGUGAGCUUUAAGAACAUUAGAGCACUUCUGCUGAUCUUGUUGUUAUGAAGCUUGCUUGCAGCAAAGGCAUUCCAUGCCAGAAUGUAUAAAUUAGUGACAUCCAUUUGACAUACAAUGGGAAAAAUGGUGCUGCCACAUCUAUGUGUACUAACGUCAAGCCCACUAUGACAAGCCAAAUUUUUCCACCUGCUUGUGGAAAGACUGCAGUUUAAUUUGGUACUGCUUUAAGGUGAUGAUUAAAAGAAAUUAGUAGGAAAAGAAAAUAAUCUGCAGAACGCCCCUUCAUGCUUAAUUAGAAUGGUGGGUAGUGGUGGACUACACUUAUGCAACAGUAUAGAUGUUAUGUUCUGUAUACAGAUGUUAUGGAUUUAGAUUAUGUACUAUUGUUAUUCAUGGGAAAGCAAUAUAUUAGUAGAGAGAUGUUAAAAAAAGUUUUACUUGAUUGGAAAAGAAAGUGGUUGGAAUAUGAAGCUAUGGAAAUUUUUUUCGAGCCAAAUUUACUCAAUUAGUCUCUUUAUUUAUUUAUUUCUUUAUGAAUGACCACCUCGACCAGUGGCGUGCUAGCCAGGAAGGGGUUGGAUGGUUCAUAUAUUUUUAUGUUUUAUAUGCAAGAAUCGAAGUAAAAAACUUUAAAAGAAGAAAGAUUAUUUGAGUAAACAGUUAAAUUUAAAUAGACCUUUACCAUAAUUUGCAUUUUUUAUGCGCCAAUUAAUCAUUCUUUCUUCUUUGCAAAUGUGGGUUAGGCGAGUGUGUCAAGAAUCGAAAUAACUAUGAGAUUUAAAACAGGUUUUCCGAGUGUGUUUUGGGUUGCCACAAUGAGUGCAUCCACUCACGUUGGUCAAAGCCCAUGGUCGAGGAGGUUGUGUAGUCGGGCGUGAAGGCGAGCCAACAGCCGUGAUAUAGGACUGUAUCUGAAGCGGCACAACGAUAGAGGAAGGCAUCUGGCCGGGCUGACCGGUCGCCGAGGUGUGGCCGACUAGUUGGUGAGUUCCCUUGGCCGCCAAACCAGCCGCAGUCGGCACCUGAGUACCCAUCAUCACAACUUGUAAGAGAUCUUCGCGUCAGACAUAAGCAUAUGCCCACUCCACGGUGGGAAACGAAGCCAUCUGAAGGACAUCACUUCGGGCCUUAUCAAGUCGGUCAUCCAAGCCAUCCAAGAAGAUAUAAACACAGUCUUCUUGGAGAAUGUCGUUGUAAUAAGUUUCAAUCGAGCCACAUGCUUGUCACAACUGUUGACUCUGUCGUUUAAGGUCGUACACCUAAGGGGUGUACGUGCCAUCAAAGUAGAUCGUGGCAAUCGCCGUCAGAAAUCAAAUAAAGGUGCUAAUCAAGCGAGGGUCUGAGUAGGUGUCCCAACUUGUCUUUGCCAUCGACAUACAUCUCGACAACUUCGGACCAAAUGGGGUAGUUGGAGCCAUCCAACUUGAUUCCAAUAUGUGCGGAAGCUUCGGGGUCAACUAUACCAUGCUAAAUAUGAGAACCUAUGAGAACAUAUUGUUUGUGGGAAUUUUCUGUUUAUUCUUCUCCUUGUAAGAGGCCAUAUUUAUAGUACAACAUAUAUAUAUAUACAUUUUCUGUUUAUUCUUCUCCAUGUUAUUAGGAACGUAAUAACUCCUAAUUCUAUUUACAGUAAGAAAUCAUGAAUUAAAGUAAAUCAAUUACAUCUAAUAUAGGAAUUCUUGGCGUAUAAGAAAAGUAAAUGCAGGUCCACAAGUCAUGCGAAUAUAUACAACCAUACUAUUUUUCAAAUUUGUAUCAACUUUCUCACAUGGAAGAUGUCUACCAUUUUUACAAAUAUUAAUGAGUCUCACCAGCUAAAUAAUAUACACGGUAGAAGUUGCACGAAAACAUUGUUUGCAACAAAUUGAUGGCUCUUUCAACGGAAAAACCUAUAGUUAGAGGGGAAAAGAAACAAAAAAGCUUGCCUUGGACAAAAGUAUAUAGUAAUUUGGUUUGAUAAUUUUAGUGGCUCCCAACCGGACAAUAUAUAAAUUGGGUUGAAACGAAAAUGGAGUACAUAAAACUUAACUCACCUUUAAUCAUUCUCAACAUCACGAUUUACUUGAUGCACCAAACAAGGCUCCUUCUGUUCCAUUAUUCGAAACCUCAAACUUGACAUAACCACAAUCAACCCUCAAUAGCAUUCUCUAUCUCCCAAUCAGUUCCACCGAAAAACCGUGCCUCACUAUGACAGGACCCGACCCAAAUUCCACUUUGGAAUCUGAAUCAAACCCUGUGCGUGUUCGACACCUGGCCGGUGCCGAGCACACUUAACCAAAUUGCCCUUCUAACUAAUAUUCACAAUGGGUUAUCUACUAUAGACAUCACUGAACUUGGCCCCUAGUUGCAAUUGGAUCCAUGAACCUUUUUUUUGCGGCAAUUACAUCCGUUAACUCGAUAAAUAGUUCCCACUGUGGUCCUGCCAUUGAACUCUAUCAAUUUGUCUGUUAAAAUGAGGGAUAAAAACGUCCUUUCGAGAAUGGAUUGAACAUAACCACAAUCCAAAAACAAAAUCAGAUGGAAAAAAAAUUCCCAAACAUGACUAGAAAAACGAAACACCUAAAACCCAUAAGAAAAUCAUGAUCUAAUCACAAACACCAACAAAACACAAUUCACAAGCUUCACACACUCGUAAAGUUCUCGGGUUUACUUAAAAACUAUACAUUUGAAGUUCCAAUUGGCUGAAUUUCGCUUCAAAGGUACAAAUUCAGCUGCAUGCACUAAAUGGGUCUUUGAAUUUAUACUCUUUUUGUGUGUUUGGAUAAGUUUGCAAUAAUGGGUUGUUGAAUUUAUGUUGCUCUUUUUGUGUUCACUGCCAGUUUUCCUGGUUUUGCUUUUAGAUAUUAUAACUAGUUUACCUCUUUCAGUGUCUCUGUUUCUUUUGUUGUGUUUUGUUGGUUCUGUUUGUAAAUAUGGAUUCUUGUAAUGUUCGCUGGAGUUCUUACUUCACUCCACUUCCACUGUGUCAUCGAAUUGAAAGAGAAAGCUUGAUUAUUGUUUUUCAGCGAUAAUGUAAAGGUGGAGGUAUACCUGAAUGGACUCUCUACACAGGAUUGGGGAUAACUGUUUGUGUUUGUCCAGUCUCUCCCUCUCUCCUGCAACCCAUUCCCCCUCCUCCUUAGCCCACCCCCUCAAAACUCAGAUCCCAACCCAACCUGCAACCCACCCCCCAUCUCCCAACCCGCAAAACCCAGAACCCACCGAGCUCAGGAUGGCCAGCUCCGUUGUGAUUCUAUUUCUCCAAUUUUCCCCUAAUUCUUUUGAGAUGUUCAUGUCUUGAAAGCUUUCAAAAAUUUCUCCUUUUGUUUGUUGUUUGUUGUUGUUAAUAGAGCCAAGUAAAUCCUAUGUGGUUUCUACCAAUCACAAACUCUUCGAUAUGGAUUUGUAUUGUAAACUUGUGAAGAUGGAGGUGGGGUUGUUAGGGUUGAUGAUGGAUAAAGAAGGUGGAGUUGGGGUCAAUGAUGGAUGAAGAACCCGAAAGGACGCUUUUACCCUCUCACUUUGACAGAUAAAUUAACAGAGUUGGACGGUAUAACCCAAUUGAAACUAUUUAUCUAGUUAACGGAUGUAAUUGCCUCAAAAAAAAGUUCACGGACUCAAUUGCAACUGGAGGCCAAGUUCAGGGACGUCUACAGUAGAUAACCCUAUUCACAAUCUUUUCAAGUUUGACUUUUGCAGAAAAUUCGGCAGUCUCCCUUGUAAAUUGCUCGUUUCCCAAAAAUUUUACCUGUAUAAAACAUGAUUUUAUAAUCCCAAACAUUCAGCAUGCACAAUAAUAGAAUUCAUGCAACCAAUCAUCAAAUUUUUAUGGCAUCGGGCCUCUUUAUACCGAAUAAAUCAUUCUGCUAUCUGUAACUGAUCCCAACUUUUAGAACAACAUGAAUAUGUUAUCAAAUUUCAAAAUAACUUACUGAACAACCUUUCAAUCACUUUAUCUUGUGGCUGCACCUAGUAACUCUAGGUUGCCUACAUACCCUUACCAAGGGAUCAAGCCACACGUAGUUCUUUCACUUAUUAUAUUUACACAUAAUUAGGCUACACAAAGAAUUUCCUCAAAUCCAUGAAUCAAUUUAUAUUUUUCUCACGUAAAUCAUAUGUAAUAACAAACAAACUCAUAAAACGCUUUUAAUUCUUCCUUCAAAGCUCACAGAAAACUCAUGUACACGAAUGAAGAACAAAACCAUUCAUUACUUGCCUCAUAAAAUCAGAAAAGCAGUUAUUAAAACUUUUACCCAAAAAUACCAAGAGAAAAUCCUCAUUUUUUGUUUAAACCUCUUAAAAACCCAAAUAUUCUCCACCUAGGCGUACUCCCAUUCAUAUUCCGUCAAUUCCUUUAAUAUACCGUCAAUUACUAUAAUUUUCCGUCAAUUCCAAUAAUGUACCGUCAAUUCCUUGUGUCACAUAAUGUGACAAAUCCUCUCAAGCCUCGCAAACACAAAGUCAACCUGAGCCGCAAUCCUCGCACCACACGGUUCAAGUGUCCCUGAAACUUGUGGGGCAUUAUCAAAAAUAACAAAGUUGUUUCAAGGCAACUGGGGGGUACCCUCGGGUGGGUUUGAAAACCUUAUACCAAAACUCAUCCUAAAAUUUCUCAUACUCCACAAAUCCAUAUUUCAAAUCUUUUCUUAACUUCCCAAAAAUCAGUACUCAACUACCUUAGAAUUUACACUCCAUACUGUUGAGAACUUGUGUCCAUAACUUAUCUUUUCAAACCACUAUGUGUGUGUGUAUAUAUAUACACACAAUUCACAUAACCAGUCAAUAACGUUCCCCAAAUUCAUAUUAAUAUAUUUUGUCCAAAUACUUCAUCAUAAUAUGCAUCGAAAACUUCUCAAACAUAUAUAUCCAUAUUCAAAACAACCAUGACCCUUAAAAUCAAAAUAGUCAAAAUUCCACUUUUAAAACAAUGUACUUCUCGAAGGGUGAAACUACCUCAGAAGACUCACGGUCAAUUGAGGCUCAAACUUUAUAAAUUGGGUCAACCGGGCCUGCAGGGCCCAUGACCUCCCAUUUUCGAACCAAGAGUUCCUACGGCUUCAACAAGGUUUACUAAACCUGUCAUGCUAGUUUGGUCCGAAUCGAACGGUCGGAUCGCUCACGAUCGGACGGUUAUCCUUUAUCUAAACUUUGAAUUAUUGAAUCGGAGUAUUCAAGACUCCGAUUCUCGAUCCGCAAAUUUCUAUACGAUCCUAGAAGUGCCUAGAUCAACAUAUUCAAAAAUAAAGUCGAUCCCACGGUCCGAACAUAUCGAACCAAGAUUACGCCCAAUAUGCGAUAUCCGAUCGACGACCAACCGAUAACCAAAAUCAUAUCCGAGCAUACCGUCAUGCUCAGGACGACAUGAUGAUUAUUUUAGGACUCAAGGACAGGCCAAAAAGUGAUCCACGGGCCGCCACACGCGCCGGCAGCGCGUGGUUGUCCAAAGCGAUUCAGCAAUCGGAAAAUCUCCAAACCGUCGGUCAAGACUUAUACCUACAUAAUCAGCACAUAGAGUGGAGCAACUUUUGAUCUUGGACCUACCCCAAAAAGUCGACGGAAGUGGCCCGAAUCGGAGGCCGAAAUUCGACCAAACUUUAUUUACGUCUCAAAACACAGAAAUUUCUCCUAACCAACACAACCAACAGCUAGAACACCUCGAGAGGUUGAGAAAGCAUACUUGGAUCGACGGAAAUGGUAGCCGGAAACGUUCAAAAGAGCGUCAGAAAAUUCUCACAGAAACCGGUCAGUUUUCUGGUUUUUUCCGGCCAAAACCGACGGCUGGGGCGGCUGGGCUGGGGCGGGGCUAGAAGAGGAAGAUCUUGCGGUCCUUUUGGGACAAGUACCGCCCCAAGUGGUGGCUCUUGAUGCCACCGACUGGGAAGAAAAAUCCAAGACGGGGGGUGGUUGUUCUGUCGCACGAAAACAGAGAGGAGAGAGAGAGAGAGAGAGAGAGAGAGAGAGAGAGAGAGAGAGCGUGAUAUCAGAUUUUUAAAAUACCUUUUUUCAAAAAAUGUAUGAUUUUGCCACUAUAUUUUUCAUCGUAACUUCUUCGUUACAACUCAGAUUUGAGUCCACUACGUGUCUACGGACUCAUCUCGACGUGCUCUACGUAAAAGUAUAAUUGAAAUCCCCAGAUUCCAUCCCGAACAAAAAGUCAACUUUUAAACCAUUAAAAUAUUUUAAGGGUAAAAUUGUCUUUUAUUUGAAUAAAUUAAUAAUUAAAAAUUGAUUUAGGAUCGGGUUGUUACAUGCUACAUACGAAUUCUAUAGUGAGGGCCUUAUAUCUAAGGCCCUUAGAUGAUCUCUUCGCUGUUAGAUUAAAUUAGUUAGCCAUUGGAUCAAAUUGGUUAGUUUGAUCCAACGGUUAAGAGAUAUGACGUCAUAGCUUUAAUUUGAGCUGCGAAUCCUACCCUGGAAACAUAAUUUGUGCUGCGAUCUGAUUCCAUCAUUAAAUAAAUUGACGGAUAUGAAUAUUUGUCCAUCUGUAAUAGAAAUUACAUUAGUAGGAAUAUAAGACAAAACGUCUCCCGAUUGGGUCUCAACUAUUGGUAAAGCGUGCCUUAGAUAAGGCCCUCACUCACUCCUUAUAAACCCAGGCCAGGUCCCUUAACUUUUCAAUGUGAAUACAAAACGAAUAUCCAAUAGUUAUUUCUCUUGUCACAACUGCUUUGUUACAAAUUAUGGUCAAGAAUUUAUUAGUUUGAUUAGUGCGUUCGGAAACAAUUUUUGGUUUAUGAAAAAUCAAUUUUGUGUAAGUAUUUUUUUUGUUAAUCUUCGCACCAAAUUGGAUUAUAACAGGUUUAGUACUUUUGGUUUAUAAGUCAUCCAUGUCAUAAAUCUUUUCUUUCUAAUCUGACAUAGUCUUGGAAGAAAAAAUCUUUUGCCCAAAUUGGAAACUGAGCGAAGAGCCAUUGUAGGUAAUUCAUGUUCUAAAGCUGAGCAGCUUAAUUAAUUACUAAUUAUAGGAUGGUUGACCUACAUUCAACUUCUUAAUUGGCCAAAUAAAUAUUAACGGUGUUGAGCUUUCCGAUGGGAGUAUAAAUUGGGCUGAAAGCAAUGGAGUUUCAUCAUACUCCAAACAAAAAGGAAAUAACAAAGUCUCAAGAUGGGUUUGAAACUGAAAAAUGUCUUGCCAAUGUUUGUGUUCUUGUUGUUAGCAUCCACAGCUAAAGCUCAAUCUGCUGCCUUAGAUGUGACAAGUGCAAAAUAUGGUGGAAAGCCAGGCUCUGAUAUUACCCAGGUAACAAAAACAUUUGUAUUCAUAUUCGGUUCUGAUUAGAAUUUGUUUCUACAAUUGUUUGCCAAACUAAAUCAUUAACAGUUUUAAAUUUGCGUAAUGUUAAUUAGGCUUUAGAGAAGGCUUGGACAGACGCAUGUGCAUCAACAACACCAAGUAAAAUUGUUGUUCCAAAGGGAAUAUUCAAGUUUGUAGGAACAACUUUUAAAGGUCCUUGCAAGGCUGCUAUUGAGUUUCAGCUCCAAGGAACAUUGCAGGCUCCAGUAGAUGGCAGCCAGCUCCCGAAGGACGACACUUGGAUUGGUUUUGACCACGUCGACGGGCUCACCUUGUCAGGUGGUGGAACUUUUGAUGGCCAAGGAGCACAGUCUUGGAAAAACAAUGAUUGCAACAAAAAUAGAAAAUGCAAAUCUAAACACAUUGUAAGAUGAUUUAAUCCGACCAUGUUGUUUUAUAUACCUGAAAAUCUACCUGUGUCGCAUAGGAACGUUUGCGAAAUCUUGCUCAUUGAUCAAUUCUUGACUUGAUGAUACGUGAUCCAGAUUCACAGCCUGACAAUAUAAACAUAUUUGGGUCUGAUUGGUUUUCUUAAUAUAUGCAGAAUUUGAGGUUCCACGUACUCACCAAUUCCAAAAUUUUGGACGUAACUUCGAAGGAUAGCAAAAAUUUCCACGUCAAUCUUCAGAAGUGCGAGAAGGUUGAAAUCAAUGGAUUUACCGUCUCAGCACCUAAGGAAAGCAUGAACACAGAUGGAAUUCACAUCGGUCGUUCAACUGGGAUCAACAUCACUGACACAACCAUCGGAACUGGGGAUGAUUGUAUUUCGAUCGGUGAUGGUACCAAGGACCUCACCGUGACCAACGUUACUUGCGGGCCAGGCCACGGCAUAGCCAUCGGGAGCCUUGGAAGGUACCCAGAGGAAGAACCUGUGUCCGGCAUCUAUAUUAAGAAAUGCACCUUGACUAAUACAACGAAUGGUGUGAGGAUCAAAACAUGGCCUGCUUCCCCAAAAGAUAGCACUGCCUCGGAUAUUCACUUUGAGGAUAUUACCAUGGUUAAUGUUGGUAACCCUAUCCUCAUUGACCAAGAGUACUGCCCAUGGAACGAAUGCAAAAAAGGGGUAUCUAUCUAUAACAAUUUAUUAACAUCAUAUAUAUGUUCCUUGUUAAUCAAGUCAUCAUUUAUUUAAUCUUUAAAAAGAUUUAAACUAAUCAAUUAAUGAAUGGUUUUGUGUAGGUUCCUUCCAAAGUUAAGAUCAGCAAUGUUAGCUUCAAGAACAUCAAGGGCACAUGUACUGACCCAGUUGCUGUGAAGCUUGCAUGCAGCCCAGGCCUGCCAUGUGAGAAUGUGGAAUUGAGUGACAUUGAUCUCAAGUACACUGGAGACAAAGGUCCUAUUACCUCUGUGUGUUCUAAUGUCAAGCCGACAAUUAAUCGCGUGGCACAGCCUCUUGCUUGCGCUACCGGCGCUGCUGCUGCUUGAUCUAACAAGAACAAACCAUGCUGCUGAUGUUUCUUCAGAGAUGCAUUGGUUGUGUGCUCUUCGAUUUUGUGCUAAUUGUACUUGGUGUUUUUAUCUAAGAGGGGGAAAAUAUCUCAGUACAAUUUUUUGUUACAUCUUAAAAGAGAUGAAUAAAUUAGUAGGAAUUAGAUGAAAAUAAUCAUGGGAAAGAGAAAGAAAGUUUUAUUUGAUUAAAAAAUAAUGUUUUUGGAAUAUGAAUCUUCUUUGGAUAUUUGUUUAACCAAAUUUUCUCAAUUAGCCUCUUUAUUUAAUUGUUUCUGUAUGAAUGACCAUCUCGACCAGUAGUGUGCUAGGAAGGGGAAAAGGGAGGGGUGAUUCAAUCCUAUGAUUUUUAUUUUUUAUGCAAGAAUAGAAGUAAAAACUUCAAACAAAAAAGAAGAAUGAGGAUUAUUAAUUCAAGUAAUGUGUUGAGUUUAAACACACAUUAGAAAAAGGGUAAACUGCUAAAUACCCCUUUGAACUAUCACGCUUGUCGAAAUCUCCACCCUAAAUUAAUUUUUCAGCCAAUUUAGCCUUUAUAUUAAAUUUCUUCUCCCACUUCUCCCUUGCCGUUAGCUUUUGACAAUUUCCAUCAAAUCUCUAUGAAAAAAGUACCAUGUUAGGCAUAUACUUCACUGUUAAAUUAAAAUUUUAUUUUUUUUCUCUGGUUCUUCAAAGUGCUUGAAUGUGGGUGAAAUAAAUCGGGAGGAGAGGGAAUUAUGGUUUCUGCAAGUGGGGGUUGGGAGGACGGGGGAGGUCAGGGGAUAUAUCUGUGGGUGGUGGUUGGUGGUUGGGAUAUGGGGUCCGAAGAAAUCAGAAUGAGGGAGAAAAAAUCGGGGGAGAGGGUGUUGAUUCUGGGUUUUGCGGGUUAGGGGGAAUGGGGGAAACUAGAAUUUAUAAAUAAAAAAAAAGCUGAAACUAGUCCAUCAACUCUAUAUUAUUCGCUCCAUUGUUCCUACUUUUACAUUCUGUCAAUAUUUCUGUUAAAUAUGAGGGAAAAUUGGUCAUUAUUUACCCUAAAAUUAGGUUAAAUCUAAAAGAAAAUUAGACAGUAGGACCACUGGAGCGAAUAAUGUAGAGGUGAGGGACCAUUUGAACAAAUAAUUUAGUUGAAGGACCAAAAUGUAAAUCAGGUAUAAGUUUGAAGACCAUUUCAGUACUUUGCCCGUUUUCUUAAUGCUAUACCUUGUAAAAUUUCAAAUUGACCCUUAUAUUUGACAGACAUUUGGAUGGAAUUGUGAAAAAGCUAACGGCCUGGGUGAAAUUGACGAAUAAAUUUAAUACAAUGACUAAAUUGGCUGAAAAAUUAAUUCAAGAUGGAGAUUCGACAAGCGUGAUAGUUCAGGGGGGAUUCGACAGUUUAUAAUCUUAAAAAAACUUAAAAAUUUGCUUAUCUACUAUAAUCUGCAUUUUUUAUGCGAGCCAUAUUAAUCAUUCUUGCUUCUUUGUAGUUGUGGAUUACGACAAAAAAAUGUGCCAAUCCCCUUGCAAUAUGAAUCUUCUUUGGAUAUUUGUUUAACCAAAUUUACUCAAUUAGCCUCUUUAUUUAAUUAUUUCUCUUCCCAGAUAUUUAGUACAUUGUAUAUGUUGUCUGUUGUGAAUGCGAGCAUCUAUCUUAACAUCUUAGUAACUUUUUGAGUAUGCUAUCGAUUUUAGGCUAUUAAUAGUGCUUGGAAAGAAGCAUGCGCACCCACAGCUCCGAACACGGUUGUGAUAGCAAAAGGAAACUACAUGGCUGGUCCAGUGAAGUUUCAAGGGCCCAGCAAAUCGCUGGCUAGCGUUCGAGUUGAAGGAACCCUGCAGGCUCUUGCAGAGCCAGAAAAGCUCAAGUCACAAGAUGGUUGGGUCGUUUCCCAAAAUAUUGAUGGGUUAACAGUCUCAGGAGGUGGCACUUUUGAUGGCCAAGGAUCAAUCGCUUAAUCCAAAAAUGAUUGUGCCAAGAGUACUGCCCAUGGAUCGAAUGCAAAGAAGGGGUAUCUAUCUAUAACAAUUUAUUAACAUCAUAUAUAUGUUCCUUGUUAAUCAAGUCAUCAUUUACUUAAUCUUUAAAAGGAUUUAAAUUGAUCAAUUCAUGAAUGGUUUUUUGUAGGUUCCUUCCAAAGUUAAGAUCAGCAAUGUUAGCUUCAAGAACAUCAAGGGCACAUGUACCGACCCAGUUGCUGUGAAUGCCUGCUGUUAAUGUAUGCAUUUUGAGUUUUUUCUUUUGGCUUCCCUAGACAAUUUUGUAAUAGGACAAUCAUUGUAGUUUCCCAAGCUCUAAGUUUAGAUUAAGAAUUACUUCUCUAGGUGUUCUUAUCUGCCUACAUUCUGAUGGAAAACAAUGCGUUUAACAAAGGUAAAUUCUGCAUUACACUACAUUGCAUUCACUAAAUUUCUGAAGAUUAUGACUAGUCAUCUUUCCUUCGUAUGACUAGUCAACCUUUGUUUCAAUUAGGAUUUCCAGCUCACUGUUUCCAGCUGGGGCUUAACCAUUUUUCUACGAAUUUCUCAGCUGCCAUGUGUCUAUUCUGACCUGAGAAUUUUUGGUAAAAGCCAAAGAAUUCCUCAUUUGGCAGCCGUCAUUUUUGUAGGCAAGUUUUGGAAAGUUUCUCUGUAAACUUUCUCUUCUUCCUCAAGUGUAACCUUCAUAUUUUUCAUCUUUGAGUUUUCCAAAAUGUUCCUUUUUGAAAACUGCAUUUGAAAUACGAAAACCUCAUCUUGCAAGAUCAAACACUCUCUCAUAUAUAUCUAGGUCAGAUUCAAGAUUGAUUUCUUCAAGAGUAUGGUUUCUUGAAGAAAUUGGUCAUUCUCCUUUGAAUCCAAAUUUUGGUUUCUGUCUGAGUUGGAACUUGCAAGCUGGUGCCAUUGGAUGAAUGAGCUGGAGAAUGAGCUGUCAUUGCCAUGAAGAACUGAGCUUCAAGCUUUGCUAAGUUAGAGAAGAAGAUUGCACAAAGGAGGCAUAGCUCAUCUUCCUAAAUAGAUCUAGGUUUUUCUUGAGCUUGCUUGUGUUCCUUUGUAAGAAUCUUUUUCUACUUAGUGGAUUGCAUGGUCGGUUGAUGACCCCUAGUUUUUCCCAAUGGUGGGUUUCUGGGUGAACAAUUUCUGAUUGCAUCUCUGUAAUUUUUCUGGGUUUCUGUUCUUGGUGGUUGACUAGUCAUCGUAAGAAUUCUGGGUUGUGUUCUUGGUGGUUGACUAGUCAUCGUAUGAAUUGUGGUUGACUAGUCAUUGUAUGAAUUCUGAGUUUGUGUUCUUAGUGGUUGACUAUUCAUUGUAUGAACUCUGGGUUUGUGUCCUUAUAGUUGACUAGUCAUCAUUAUCUGUUGUUUGGUGUUUACUUGAUUAUGAUGAUUUCACACACUUUCACCAUAGUUGUUGCUAGCACAGGGGAUGCCUAGAUUGACGGGUCCUUCUGAGUGCCUAGGUUGUCACUAGUAAUCUUCUAGGGUUGCAGGUACAUUGUGGCAUGCUCUGUGUGUAUUCUUGAUUGUGGUUGUUCAUGCCUAGCAGUUGACUAGUCAUAAGUGUACUUGGUCAAGGUCUGAAGUGUGUGAAGAUUGUUGCGUUUUGUUUAAGUGUCGUAAAAGUUAACCCUUGUCACCUAAGUACCAAUUUCAAUUGGCACUACUACAAAAAAGAAAAAAGACGACGGUAAAUCACCGUCGUGUAUUCGGUUUUUCAAUGGUCGUGGAAUCCACCGUCAUCUUUUCCCUCAUAAACCACGACGCUAAAUCACCGUCGUUGUUAAAAUAUACAACGUCAUCAACAAAUACAAAACGACGUCUUUGUACUGCAAAAAGAUCUAAAAAAGCAGUCGAGGAUGAGAAUAGACGACCAACUCUCUAAAAAAACCGUCAUUAAAAAGGAAAAAUAUGACACAUAUUAACAGAACAAGGCCGCAAGAUAGACAUACAACGACGAAAAUUAAAACAAGACGCCGUUAAAUAUCAUUAUCACGACAAUAAUCCUUCCCCGACGUGAUAUGAUGACGUCGUAUUUUUUAACGUUCAGAUUAUAUAUCUCGUUUUUUAGACGUCGGUAUUAUGGGAUUGGAGUCGUGUUAUUUUGAAUUACGUGGCGGUUCUUAAUCCUUCCCCGACGUGAUAUCCUGAAUAAUUCUUCACAAUAGCGUCGUGGUUCUUCAUUAUUACGUUGCUUUAAGACGUCGGUAAAUAUGCUGAAUAACUGGUUCACAAUAACGUCGUGUUUUAUUUGAACGUAGAAAGUGAAGAAAUCACAUUACAAUAUAUUACAAAAUUAAUGUCAUACACUGCCAAUUACAUAAGCAUCAUUCAAUCCAUAUAUCUUCACACCCAUCUCGAAUAUUUUGACCACCUAACUCACCCACCAGUUCAUCAAAUGUGUCAACAUUUGGCAUCCUUCUAGUAAAUGGCUCACACUCAAUUAUCACAUCACCUAAUACUUCAUCACCAAUAACAUCAUUAUAUUCUCUACUAGGCAUUGAUAACACUACCGACCAACCACGAUGCAUCGGGUCGUCAACAAAAAAUAUUUGUUUGACUUGAGAAGCCAAAACAAAUUGGUCAUUCCUAUGUCCAAUUUUACUCAAAUCUACAAGGGUAAAUCCAAGUUCGUCAACUACAAGACCAGAACUAUCUAUCCAAUCACACCUAAAGACUGGGAUUGUAAACUUUUGGUAGUCAAGGUCCCAAAUUUCUUGAAUGACACCAUAGAAACCCAUAUUUGAGAGAAUUGGGUUUUUAUCCUUGGCACUAGCAACUUGCAUGGUAUGUGCAAGUAAAUAAACUCCACUAUUUUGAGUUGUCCGCACAUCAUCUUGUGCCUUGAUAUUGAAUUUAAUACCUUUAAUAAGAUAGCUCCUAUAUAAUGGCACUGACAUGUUUGGACCAGCUGCUAGCCACCUUAAAUUUUCUGAUACGCCAUGAUUGUCUUCCUCAAGUUCACUUUGAACCUGCAAAUUAAUCAUAUCUUAAUUCAAUCUAACAUAGAAAUAAGAAGAAAAUUAAAAGAGAAAUAUGUUAUUCAACAACAUAUACCUUGAAGCGUAGCCAUUGAAUGAAAGUGCUAUUGUGCUUAUCCUGCAGCCACUUUGUUCUCUUUCUAAAUUUUGGAUAAGCAGUCUUGAUGUGGAUCAUAUGUUGCCUACAUGACACGAAAAAUUCAAGCAUUACGGUCCCAAAUAUAGAAGAUAAACAUAAGAAAUAAUUUAAAAUGGAAACUUAAAGAAUAAAACUCAUACGUACUCGAUAUAAGGUAGGACUUCCUCCGUAUUCUCCAAGACAUAUAGAUGUGCUUGAUUCAACAGGUCCUGAUCAACUACGCUCACUGUGCAACUUGAUAAUGGCUUUGAAAGUCCCAUCUUUUGGCUUGAAGGCACUCCAACUGUACUAACAUCAGAUAAAUGCUGAGUACAAAACUCUACCGCUUCUUCAGCUAUAUACCGCUCAGCAAUGCAACCUUCGGGACGAGUACGAUUCUGAACAUACCCCUUCAGCACUUUCAUAUAUUUUUCAAACGGAUACAUCCACCUAAAAUAUACUGGCCCACAUAGACGAACUUCUCUGACAAGAUGUACUACUAGAUGAACCAUGAUAUCAAAGAAUGAAGGGGGAAAGUACUUCUCAAGCAAACACAGAGUAACUACUAGAUCUUCUUCCAACUUAUCUAGCUUGGAAACAUCAACAGUCUUUGCACAUAUAGCAUUGAAGAAGAAGCACAAACGAGUUAUUGCAUACCUUGCAGGCUUCUCCAAAACAGAACGAAUUGCCACAGAGAGCAAUUGUUGCAUUAAGGUAUGACAAUCAUGUGAUUUAAGGCAAAGAAGACUUGAAUCUUGUAAAGAUACAAGAUUUUUAAUAUUUGAAGAAUAACCUUCAGGGACCUUCAUACCAUAGAAAGAAUUGCAAACCUCUCUCUUCUCUGCUCUGGACAAAUUCCAAGGCCCAGGAGGCAAACGAGUACGUCUUUCUCCAUACUCGGGUUGCAAAUCAGUUUUGACCCCUAUGUUCAAUAAAUCUAAUCGAGCAGCAAUCCCAUCUUUAUUUUUUCCAGGGAUCUCCAGCAAUGUACCAAUGAUACUAUCACAAACAUUCUUCUCAAUGUGCAUAACAUCUAGGGCAUGCCUCACAGGAAGGUAUUUCCAAUACUCGAGAUCAAAGAAUAUUGAUUUCUUCUUCCAACAAACUCUGUCACCAUUUUCAACCAUAUGCAGCACUUCUUCUCCGGUUAAUGGCUCGGGAGGUAUGCCAUAUUCAGGUUUCCCAUUAAAAGCUGCACGUUGCCUCCUAUAUGGAUGAUUGAUUGGUAACCAUUUUCUAUGCCCAAUGUAACAAAUUUUGUGGCCAUUUUUCAACCUGUGACUAGGUGUAUCAUCGCUGCAUAUUGGACAAGCUUUAUAUCCUUUAACAACACAACCAGAUAAGUUUUCAUAGGCGGGGAAAUCAUUAAUUGUCCAUAUUAAUGCAGCUCUGAGUGUAAAGUAUUCUCCAUUAUAUGCAUCAUACACUCCUCUAAUCCCAUCCCACAAAGAUUUUAAAUCAUCAAUCAAAGGCUCCAAGUAGACGUCUAUAUCAUUUCUGGGUUGUUUAGGACCGGAAAUCAAUAAGGUUAACAUCAUGAACUUUCGUUUCAUGCACAGCCAUGGAGGGAGAUUAUAUGUAACUAAGAUAACCGGCCAACAACUAUAUCUGCUACUUAGAGAACUGUGGGGAUUGAAUCCAUCAGAUGAAAGAGCCAAUCUCAAGUUUCUCGGCUCAUUACCAAACUCAGGCCAUUUAUCAUCAAGAAGUUUCCAAGACGGGGAAUCCGCCGGAUGAGACAUCUGACCGUCAAUUGAUUUUCUAGCAGCAUGCCAAGUCAAACUCUUAGCUGUCUCAUGUGAUUGAAACAUCCUUUUAAACCUUGGAAUUGGAGGAAAAUACCACACCACCUUCGCUGGCACACCCUCUUUCAAGAUUGAAUCUUUGCCUUCCUUCCACCUUGAGAUACCACAAGUAGGACAAUUAGUUGAAUCCUCAUACUCCUUCCUAUACAAGAUGCAAUCAUUGGGGCAUGCGUGCAUUUUCUCAUAACUCAGCCCCAAUGCACACAAAGUCUUUUUAGCCUCAUACAUGGAGGUUGGUAUUGUAUUUCCUUCUGGAAGCAAAUCGCCUUGAAGUAUCAAUAAUUCUGUAAAACAGACAUCACUCAUCCCAUGUUUUGCCUUCAAAUUAUACAACUUCACUAAUGCCGAUAACUUCGUGUACUUUCUACAACCAGGGUACACUGGUUGAUCUCCAUCCCCAAUCACAUUGGCAAACUCAUACGGAUCGGAACCAAAAUCACCAAAAUCAUUAUCAUCCAUAUCAAUUUCUUCAGACACAAAACUGUACCUACUAUGGCCAUCAUCUUCUUCAACAUUUCUACUAGCAUUAGUAGUUGCUUCCCAAGGUUCUCCGUGAAAUGUCCAAUUCUUAUAGCUUUGGUCAAUUCCAUUAAAGUAUAAGUGAUCCCUUAUAAUUCCAACCCCAAACAACUUCAAAUUAACACAUUUAACACAUGGACAACGGAUAUGUGUUGUAGUUAGAAGAUUUUCUACAGCAAAGUUCAAAAAUGCUUCCACCCCAAACUCAUAUGCCUUCAAUCUUCUAUCCGAGUGCAUCCAUGACUUAUCCAUCUCCGACACUAUAACCUAUUAUCUAUAAUAAAGUGAAAAUACAGGCAAUAACCAUCACUAUAGCAGAUUAUACAAAGAUCUAAUAGCAAGUAAUACACAACAGAGACGACGGGUUUUAAACAAAAACAGACGUAUUUGGCAUAUAUAGACAACGGAUUUUCAACAGACGUCGUCUAAUAUAAGUAAUACAAUCGUGUAAUCGUCGUCGUAUGCCUAAAAAGGCGUCGUGUCUCAGUUUAUUUUCAAGAACCCAAAACCCAUUAAGAACACAACAUAUAUAUGAAACCAAGCAAGAAACCAACAUAUACAUGAAACCAAGCAUGAAAACAAUAAAUCCAUUCCCAAUUCAACAUAACAUAGGGUGAUUAAAAGAUCCGACAAAAUUAAAUCCAUUCCCAAUUCAACAUAACAGAUAAUGUAAUCCAUGAACCCAUUAAACAGAAAAUCCAUGAACCCAUACCUAUAAGCACAUUAUUAACAGAUCGCAAAGCAUAUACCUAAAACCCUUUAACAAAACAACCUAAUAUCAUUCAAUGAAUUUACAAGGGGAAGAUAGGGUUUGUACUUACAGGUUGGACGAGCUCACAGAUUCGACGGAGCCUGGAGAGUGCAACUUUUAAUUAGAGCAGAAGUGAGAGAGCGAAAUGUUAUGUUGCGCGAAAUCUGAAAAUUUUAGGGUUCAGGGUUAGAAGUAUAAGAAUAAGAGCAAAUCUAAAAAAUUUAGGGCGCGCGAAAAUUUUUAGAGAGCGCACUCUUUAAAACGUCGAAAGAAAAACCAUGGCGAAAGUUCUACAAGAACCGACGUAAAUGUAAUAUUCCACGACGGAAACACUGAACGUAACGCCGUUUAUUUUGACGCUUCAUUUUUCGGAUUAAUUUUAAAUUUAUUUUGAAUAUUUUGAUAUAAAGACGACUGAAAAACCACGGCGGGAUUAAGAAAUUGAAAACGUUGUAAAUUAUAAUAGACGACUUACAUAUUAAAUUGACGUCGUUUAAAGUAUAAACCAUGUCGGAUAUUUUACUGCACGACGUAACAUAUGUAUUCCACGACUCAACCACCGUCGUUAAAAAUUAAUACCCUAAACCCUUAAAACUAAAUUAUAUAAUUUUAAAAAUUAAGUUUAUAAAAGGGUUUAUGGUUUUACAGCCUAAUAUAUACCCUAGACUACCCAAAAAUUAUACUUUAAAAAUAAACCCCAAUAAAUAACAACCCUAAUCUCUAAACCCUAGACUCUAAACCCUAAACCAUAAAACUAGAAGUGAUUUUAUGACUCAUCAAAACAAUUUUGUUUUGGAUGGUCAUUUUAAAUUUUUGUUAUUCAAAAUGAAUUUUUUCAAGGUUUAGCGGGAAGAAAAUAUAUCAAUGACUUCAUAGGAGUUGACUUUGCAUUUUUCUGAUUUAUUUUAAAUUUAUUUUGAAUAUUUUGAUAUAAAAAUAAUAAAAUAUUCUUAUCACAACAACAAACCACGUCGGUGUUAAUAAAUUGUAGACGUUGUAAAUUUUAAUAGACGACUAAGUUGUUAAAAUGAUGUCAUUUAAAUGAGAAACCAUGGCGGAUAUUUAACUAUCCGACGUAAAAUAUAUAUUCCACGACUUAACCACUGUCGUUACAAAGUACUACCCUGAACCCUUAAGAAAUUGAAGACGUUGUAAACCAUAAACGACUCAAUUGUUCAAAGAACGUCGUCUAAAUAUCCUUUUACGUCGGAUUUGUUUAAAACGAAACAACAAAAAACGACGGUUUUUGACUUUAUUAGGUCGUUGGAAAUGUAUUACACGUCGGUUACGCAAUUUGUAUGUUUGUUUUUUUUUUAAUUUAAGAAAACCUCAACAAAUUUUUACAUUAUAUAUUAUAGCCAAAAUUUGUACAUUAUACAUAAAUAUCAAGUGUUCAAUAAUUCCCCUAUUCCAGGUGAAGGCAAACAAACUCUGCCCAUUCAUUCCGGACUUCAUCAAUUGCUUCUUGGGGGUAUGGCGCUUCCUGUUUUCCCUUGGCAUACUGCAUAAACAAUGACUAUUAGGGUUUAUAAAUAAAAAGAAAUUCAAUCACAGACGACGAUAUUUUUCAUAACCGACGUAGUAUAUUUAUUCAACGACGGUAAUUUUACAUGACCGUCGUUGAUAAUACAAAAAACGACGUAAAAUGUAUGAAGGUAAUUUCUUCUUACCUUCUUCUCAAAUGCCAAGGAAGGAUCCAUGAUGAUGUCCCUCAUGAAGCGCAUCACAUAAUACCCGCAUUCGACACUGCUGGGUUGCUUUGGUGUGCCUGACAGAGUUUUCCAAAUUACUGCCUUACGGCCUGAUCUGGCUAUGUGAGAAUUAUAAAUUUUUAUAACACUGUUCACGAUGUUUUUGGCCUCUUCAUCGACCACACGAUUUCCUGGCAGAGGAUCCAGAAAAUAGACGGUUUCCCUCUUUGCUCUCACAAUCAGCAAGAUCCAAUGACGGCUGCACAAAAUUAAUAUAAAAACAACGGUUAUUUACAAAAACGACGUAUUAUAAUAUUUCACACGACGAAAUAAAGUAGCAAUCGACGACAUUAUAUAUUUAUCACGACGAUAAAUAACUACCGACGUGGUUAGUAGUUUCAAACGACUCAAUAAAAUAAAACACCGACGUGGUUAGUUUAUACGCUGUCAUUUAUUGAAAAUCAUAAAAACAAAAUCCUGUUAAGGAGACUAACCCUGGAUUGUAAGGCAUCAUGAAAAUCUGUUCACCGUCAGUCCUCUGAAGUCGAGCUGCUACCAGUCGUGAUCUGUCAGCUAUUGUGCCAGAGUUGGCACUAACUGUAGCAGGGUCGAUAAAGCCUACCAUGCUGCACAUAUUUGCUUGUUUCAAAACAUCGUGUAAGUACCUAAAUAUAUAAAAUAAUAUAAACAAGUCAGCACAAAAAAACACACGACGGUUACGUAUAACAAAACGACGUAUUAUAAAAUUUCAUACGACGUACUGAAAUAAACAAUGACGUUAUAAUAUAUUUAUCACGACGGUACAUACUAACGACGUGGUUAGUUAGUUAAGACGACGCAAUAACGACGGUACAUACUAACGACGUGGUUAUUUUAGAAUGACAAACCUCAUAUAUACAGUAAUGACCGUAGCUCCUAUUUCUUCCAUGCCUGCAAAUUGUGUAAUAUCUUCAGGCAGGAGGAAGGUAUCGCGUUCUAGACCAAACACCUCCUUAUCAAUUGUAAAGUUCAGGGUCUUAUCCUGAGGCACGAGUGUCGUUUCCACAUAACGACAAAGGGAUUUUAAAGAAGAUGGCGCCUCCAUAUUUGAAUAAUCAACAACUUCAAAAACCUGUUUAAAAAAAUAAAAAAAAUGACGUGGUAAUUCAAUAAAAACGACGGUUUAAGGAAUAAAACGUCGUCUGAAAAGAAUUUAAACGACGGUGAAAAAACCGUCGUGGUGAAUAAUUUAUUACGUCUUAAAAAAAAUUCCGCCGUCUAAAUUGUAAACAAACGACGGUUUAAAGAAAAAUAUCGACGUCUGAAAUUUUGAAAAACAAAUAAAAGAGGCAAAGUUAUGUGAACAUACCUGGUCGUCAUGCUUUUCUUCAUCUUCUUUCUCCUUUUCAUCUUCUUUUUCUUCUUUCUUCUCUUCAUCUAUUACGUCAGGAAUGACUAACCCCGUCGUCUAAAAACCACAAAGUUUUAAAAAUAACGACGUUUAAUGGCGUGUAAAACAAGUAAACUAAAUACGACGUGGUAUUGAAAUACAAACGACGGUUUAUUUUUAAAAUCGUCGUGGUAUGUAUUUCAAACGACGGUUUAUUAAUAAUAACGACGUCUAAUAGUUUUUAAAAAAACAGAGAAUUCAAAGUUCAGAUAUGUUACCUUUUCUUCCUGAUGUUUCCCAUUUUUGGCAGUAUCAUCCUCAAAAUGUAGGGAUCUCACAUCACCUCCAGAGCAGCUUGCUUUGUCAGACAUUGGAUUUUUGGGACUUUGGCUAAUUCUUGGUUUAAGCAUGCUUGGAUCAAAAUUGGGAAUUAAUUGGGAAAGCUGACUCAGGAAAUGCUCCCUCUCAGCCUCUACCAAUUGCUUGGUUCUAGCCUCCAUCCUUAAAGCCUCUUCCCUUGCCUUAGCUUCCAUCUUUUUAUUCUCUUCUUGAAGGAGAACUCUUAAACUGUCCUUUAAACGGUCGUCAAAGCUCAUCCUCUGUGGUUUGGGUAAAUUGAAAUAUUGCCUUGGGGAAAUCCCAGCACCUACCCCUCUCACUCUGCCUGGAUGCUCGGGGCCCAAAGCCAUGGUCAGCACAUCAUUGCUGCCAGAUACAGUGACUUUGCCUUCCGAGACUUGUUUUUGUAAUUCAUCCUAAAACAAAGAUAUAUAAAAAAGUAAGAACAAAAAACACACGACGGUUAUUUAUAUACAAACGACGUAUUAUAUAAUUUCAGACGACGCAGUAACAUAUAAAUCGACGUUAUUAUAAUUUAUCACGACGGUAGUUAUACCGACGUGGUUAGUUUUUUAAAACGAUGAAAUGAAUAAACCACCGACGUCUUAUGCUAUAAUUACAGAAAACAGAGUAGUGAUUCCCGAUUCAGACCUUUAACGACGUUUUUUAAAAAAUUUCGACGUGGUAAUAUCAUUCACACGACGCAAAAUAUAACAUAAGACGUAAUAAGAAUUAUUCACAGUUUAAUAAAAAUUUAAAACAGAGUGAGUAGGCUUACAAUUAAUUUUGCUUUCUCUGCCACCUUUGGAUCCGGGAUGUUACCAUGUUUAUCCUGUCUAGCUCUCUUCCAUAAGGUAGAUCGAUCAAUUUCUACCCCAGGCAUGGUUUCCUCCAAUUGAUCCUCCAAACCAGCAUAUCCUUUUCGAGACAAUCGAUGAUUGUACUCAAGUUUCUCCCUAAUCUGUGCAUGUUGAGAAUGCACAGACUCAAAAUCUUUGGAUAACCUUGAAGCUACAAAGGCAUCCCAUUGUGCUUUCUCUAUGAAUUUAUAUGUUUCAGGGGGUUGGCUUAAUCUCUCCCUGUCAUUGGUGUAUGGAAGGAUAUAAUGCCUCGUUAGUGUAGACUUGAAAUCCUUCCAUUUCUUGGCAGCAGAAGCUAACACAGAGUUCUUGCCCCCUUGACCUACCACACAAGCAAUGUCAACUGCUUCCCAAAUCUGCUCCUUUAUAUCCUUGGGGAUUUGAGCCCAUUUCAUGUCCACAAGUGGAACUCUGGAGCGUGCCAACACACCAAUGUAGGACUGCAUCUCACUAUGUGCUUGGCCAAUUCCUUUCCCCCUUUUAUUGUACUCAACAAUUGGCCUGAGUUUCUGAAGUUUUCUCUUCACAACACGAGGCAUUGUGCUCAUACCUCGACCAGACUUUGAAUCAUCAGAGAUUGUUGUCGUGCUGGUUGGUUCUGUCUCAGCAGAUGAUGAAGCAAACUUCAUCUUCUUCGAAGACUUCAUCUUCUUCGAAGACUUCUCUUCAGGAGUUACCAUUCCAAGCUCCUUACCUCCAUUUUUCUUGGAGCCAGAGUCCUUACUUUGGUCUUGGUGAGAAACUAUUUUUACAGACAAAACUGCAAGUGAAAAUAUUUCAGGAAAAGAUUAAGAACACAAACGACGGUUAUUAAUAAAAUACGACGUAUGAUAUGAUUUUAAACGACGCAAUGAAAUAAUCUCAGACGUAAUAAAUGUUUAAAACCAAGGUAAUUAAACAACGAUGAAAUAAUAUAAAAUAAGACGUAAUAAUAACUUAUUACGUCGAUAUUUACCAGACGACGUGAUAAUUAACUAUAAACGACGAAAUAUUUAUAUAACGUCGUGGUAUUGAUGUUCACACGACAUCAAUAGUAAUAUACCGUCGUCUAUAUAAGGAUCCAAAACCCUUCUUUCUUUCUCUGUGAAUGUUUGAUUGCAUAUUUGAUUUUUCUGAACCAUGGUUUUUGUUUUCUAAUUUGAUAAAAUACAAGGCCAAGAAAGAAAGUUUUGGAAUCUUAUAUAGACGACGGUAUUUUAAUAUGACGUCGUGGUAUUAACAUUCACACGACGUAAAACAAUAAGAUACUGUCGUCUAUAUUAGAUACCAACCCUACUUUCUUUUUCUUUAUAUUUUAUCAAAUUAGGGAAAAACAAAAACCAUUGUUCAGAGAAAUCAAACCUGCAAUUAAACAAGCAAAUAAAAAAAAAGACUAUAAUUUUAAAAACAACUUUGUCAAUUUUCAGACGACGCUAGAACGACUGACGAACCGUCGUGGUCUACAUAUUUAACCACGUAAAUAAGAAGCUACCGUCGUCUUAUUUAGUUGAGGUAGUUGUCUUCAAAGUUGGAAACUUUCCCUCUUUGUCUGUAUAUGUUAUCGAACUUGGAAAGAAGUAAAAUGAUUUUGGCCAGAAAAAAGGUAAAAAGAUUUUUCAAACAAAAAACGUAUGAGCAUGCAAAACAGCAACCAAAAUAGUGAAAAUGAAAGCUUACCUUUUGCGUGCAAUGAAAGCAAGAGGAAGAUUAUGUUUAAGUUCAGAGACGACGAAGAAGACGAGAGGAAGACGAUGAGAUACUCUGACAGUGCUCUGACAAGGAAAAAAGUCUAAAAGUUUUCUCUGGAAGAUUGAAAUUUUUAAUCGGGUUUGGAAACAGCGCAUGUGUAAGUCAGGUAGACGAAAAGUUGCUUACAUAUAAAACCAUUUCAAAAAAAUAAUACGGCGGUUAUAUAUAACUACGACGUAUAAAUUACAAAAUACGACGGUACAUUUAACUUCGGACGUGGUAAAUAAAUACGACAGUAGUGUUGUAGGUACCGUCGUAGUAAACUCAAAAAUUAAAGUACAUAAGUAAUAACUCGCGUCAUGGUAGAUUAUUUAACAUGUCGUUUUUAUUAAUGUACCGACGUGGAUUUUUGUAAUAUACGUCAGUCAUACCGACGUUGAUUUUACAAUAUAAACGGCGGUUUUUUUGUAAGGACCGCCGUUGGUUUUAAAAAUUUAUUCUAUAAAUUUGUCGCUUUCAUUCAUUUUCGGUUUACAUUUAGGGUUCCAAGUUCUUCCUCUCUCAGAGACACUGUCUCUCACGUCUCAAAGACAAUAAUUUGGAUGUCUUUCUCAAAGAGAAAUUGAGCUUACUCGCAUCAAAUAUAUGUCCACAAGAAGAAGCUUGUCAACUAGCCUUCUCACUUCCUUGAUCAAGCCUGAUAGGACACUUAGUGCUUCUGAAUACUCCUUGCUUUCCAUCAAAAGAGAUGCAAGCCUGGCCUCCACUCGCUGUCGAAGGAAAGUUCGCUUCUCAGGGAAAUCUGCUUGAUUUUCUUAGCUAAGAAGAUCCGUCAGAUUUGUGAUAGCCUCUUCCUUUAUCCGUAGAGCUUCAGAAGAAGAAGAUGGGUUUCAAGAAUGCGAUAAUGAAUAGAAAUGGCUUCAGAUGACCUCUAAAGCAUGAGCAAUCGAAUCAGUAGUUGCUGGGAGAUAUGAUGAAGACAUUGUCAAUGCUUUGAACUAUACAAGUCCUGCAGAAAGAUAAAGGACCAAACUGUUAAAGAAACUGAAACAACGGCGGUUUUCUGUUCUACCGUCGUCUUUUCUCAUCGUCUAUAUUAAGGUAAGAUGGCGGUAGAUUUAUAAUUACCGACGUAGAUUAUUUUGUUAAACGUCGUUAAGUGUACUACAACCGACGUGGAAAUUUAAAAUAAGGGAAAUUAAUGUUCUAUAAUUUGUAAACUAACACGACGCAAUAUUACCAACCCGAGGAAAUUAUAAAUAGAUUUUGCUUUCCCGAAGAAAUUUUAAAUUAAUUCAGUUUGAAACAACGACGGGUUUUUGUUAUGCCGUCGUUUUUAACUAACACGACGCAAUAUUUAUUUUGCGACGUGGAAUCUUUUCAUUUAACGUCGUUAGGUUUAAUAUAACCGACGUGGAUUUAAAUUUUUAAAUUAUGAAUAGAAUUUUUUUUUCCGUGACCUUUCAGUUUAUUUUUCAAUUACAGUGCGUUAUAAAUAGAGUUUUUUUUUUCCGGAGGAAAUUUAAAAUGAAGGAAAUUAAUGUUCUGGAAUAUGUAAAGUUUCUUUUUUGGAUGACAGAUUUAAAUAAAAUAAGAAUAUAAAAACAACGACUGUUUUUGUAUUACUGUCGUCGUUUUUCGUCGUCUUAAGUAAGACUAAGACGACGUAAUAUAUUUGUUGAGCGACGUUGAUUUGUUUUUUAAACGUCAUUAGGUAUAAUAUAACCGUCGUUGAAAAUUGUCUCUCUGAUUGCAAAUUUGCAACGACGUUAGGUAUAAUAUUUGUAGAUACACAAACGCGCACACAUCAUCAACUUCCAAAAAAUUGUCUCUCUGAUUGCAAAUCUAUGUCAUCUGUUAAGAUUAUGAUGUGGAACAGAGUUCCAUCUGGUAAGAUUUCCUAACCCUUGGGAUCUCAGACAAAUCUGAUUAUGUCGGCGGUUUUCUAUAUAAACCGUCGUGGUUAUUUCAAUUCUUGUCAUUAAGUAGAUCUACCGAUGUAGGAUAAGAAAAUCAAAGAAAAAAAUUGUUAACAAAAAUUCUUAUUAAGACGACGGUUUAAAUUAAAGGUACGACGUAUAAAAUGAAUAAAUACGACGUUAAAUUUUAUUGUACGAUUUAAAGAUAACGUCGUAGAACUAUACGAGAAUGACGUCGAUAUAUUUAUAUUUUCCGUCGUUGUACAUUAAUUUAAUACGGCGAUAUUUUGUAUUUUAAAGCCGUGGAUUUGUUUGUAAUUAUACGGCGUCUUAUACGAAAACCUCGUCGUGUUAUUUUAUGAGUAAAAACGGCGGUUUUUAUUGAAAUCGUCGUCUUUACUUUCUAUGUCGGUCGAUUCAUAACUUUUGCCAUUCUUUGUUGGCAUUGAUUUUACACUGCGGAAAUCUGUUUCAAAUAGACGUCGGUUGUUUAAUUAGGUACGUCGUUGUUUUUGAACAGCCAUUUGAAUCUCCAUUUUUUAGUUGUCUAAGGUUGUAUUACACGACGGUGUUUUUAGAACCGUCGUCUUUUUAAAAACCACGACGGUUUUCACUUAGACCGUCGUUGUUUUCUGGUCGUCUUUUUCACUUUUUGUAGUAGUGUGGUAUCAGAGUACCAGCUAUUAACAUAAAUAGAGAGAUCUUUUGGGUGCUAAUUGGUAUUAGGUGUGCAAAAAUAAAAAUAGAUCAAAUUGCUCCUUGCAUUCAUGAUGAGCUUGCCUUGUUUGUUAAGAAUUAUAGAAUGGUUGUCAAAGAUAAAACCAAAGUCACUAGGAAUUGUCAGAAUCUUCCUCGUCUACAUGUGUGUCUCAAGACAAUGUUUUUGAGGAGAUGAAUUUUUUGGACUCUUAUGGCUUUAGAGAGAACAAAAGUUUGAAGGGUCUUAUAAAGUGCUAUCUAUAUGGUGGUACUGGUCACAUUGAUAUGGAAUGUGCAAAUAACCACAUAACAGAGUCUAAUGGGAGAGAAGAGUCAAUUAGUGCACAAUGGAGUGAUAAUGAUAGUGAUGAUUCUAAUAACUAUAUCACUUCAUCUUAUGAAGAGGCAAAUAAUUUUGCCCUUGUUGGUUCUGUUCAUAACUCUAGCCUUGCUAGAGUUCAUGUAGUUAAGGAAUGAAAAUCUAAUUCAGGAAAUGAAUCUGUGUCUGGAGAUGAUAGACAGGAUGACUAGUCAUACAGGGAACAUGAUGACCAGUCAUACAAGGAACAGGAUGACCAGUCAUACUUGGGUAUGUGUGAAAAGUAUGAUGUCUUUUUUACUGAAAAUUCCAAGUUUAAGGAAAGAAAUCUCUUACUAGAAGGGAAGGUAAAGAACCUGGAAAUUCUUAAUUGCACUUUUAAAGAAGCAAAUAAUGAAUUGAGUGAAAAUGUUGAGACCUUUGAGAGUGAAAGGGAUUCAUUGAUUGUCAUUAAAAAUGACAUUUCAAACCAAGUGAAUGUGCUCAAGGAAAACAACUUGAUUUUCCAAGCCUCCAACAAGAAUUUGUUGACUCAGAUAAAUGAGACAAAUGACACGGUGAUCAAGCUUACCAUAGGGGCUAAAAAAGUGAAUAAAAUGUUAAAUAUGAGUAAGGUUCAUGGAGACAAAACUGGUUUUGGUUAUGGUUGUUCUAGUUUAUGUGUUCCUCCUCCUUUGACCACAUUUGUCAAGGAGUCAAAUACAAGGUUUGAUGUUUUAGAGCCAACUAGGACUCAAAGAUUCAUUCCUACUUGUCACCAUUGUGGUGUGAAAGGUCACAUUCGACCUAGGUGUAAUGCUCUAAGGAAUGUGUCUAGAGCAACCAAUGCAAAUGGCUUUAAGAACCAUGUUUCAUCUCUUAAAACAUGUGAGCUUGCAAAAUCUAUUCUUUGUAAAAGGGAUAAACCUUCUUCACUUACAAAAUUUGGUUUCCCAAAACCAAAAAGGUUCUUUCCUACUUGCCAUCAUUGUGGCACAUUAGGACACAUAAGACCAAAGUGUUUUGAGCUUAGAAAUUUUGAGAAAAAGUCUUUUGUUGAUUUCAAGAAAGUAAAUGAUGACUCACUUCAAACUCAAGUGAAUGAUCUUCUUUAUAAAGUUGUCAAAAUUCCUAAGUUGAUCUCUUUACCUCAUAAAGUUUCAAAACUGAAGCAAGUUUGGGUCAAGAAGAAAGACCAUGUUCUUCUUCAUGUUAGUGACUAGUUUAUUCGUGUUAUGUAUCUAGACCAUUCUCUUGUUUAUGCGUGCUUCAUGGAGUCUAGAUACAUUGUCAUGUAUAUGCAUUUUACUUGUUAUUUUCUUUAUUUUGGUCUCAUAAUUUCACCUUGUGCACAUCAUUCAUCUCUCACAGUACUUUGGAUCUCAUAUUCCUUCAAACUUCAUGAUGUGUGAGAUCUUGUAGAUGUUUGACUAAUUGACUUAAGGUAUUUUCUUACAUAAGAGAUCUUGGUGAAAAUAAUGUCUUGAAAUUUGCGCAUAUUGAGAAGCAACUAGCUGUUUUUUAACUCUCAACCGCUAGAUACUUGAAGGUAUUGAUUUCCUUCAAAGAUCUAUUGGGUUGUCCAAAAUGGAUUAACUUGUGUUUUCAAUUUCAUGUGCUUACAAUCUGAAUUUCCAUUUUGUUAGUGUUAAAAAAAAAAUUUGCAUAUAAGCUCUCUUCUCUCAAAAUGCAUGAUUCUUAUGAGUGGGAGUCUUUUCAUGAUGUUGUAGAUGUGAAAGAGUUUUCCCCAUUCUUGUCUACAAUUUUGAGCUUUUUUAUUGAAUAUACUUGUGUUGCAUGAUAUGCUUUGAGCUAUCUAUAAAGUGUCUAAGAUCACUUCCAGUUGUCUCUCUACCUUGAUCUUUUGAUCCAUUUGGAAAUCGAAAUGCAAAUAAAUUGUUGGGUAAAAGCCUUGGAAAUGCAUUGUCCACAAAUAUAGAAAAAGCAUUUUCGGACAAGCAAGUGUGCUAUACUUAUUUUUUUUUUAAAGGUAAAAGCGCUUGGAAGAGCAUUGUACACCCACAAAUAGAAAAGCAAAAUUGUACAAGCAAGUGUGCUAUGCCUUUCUAAAAUAUUGAUAAAUGUCAACUUUUGGAUCACAUUUCUUGGUAGGGUUUAUGCCUUGAUUUCUAGAACUUAUAUUAGAUUUGAUGCUUGGAAAGUCUCAUGCAACUCUUGGAAAUCAUUAUUGAAGCUCAUAUUGAAUUAGGCCUCCUUUUUCCCAAACUCCUUACUCUAUGCUUUAUGAGAGGUUCUAACUUAUGUAUCUCAUUGAUUUUGGGAAUUGAGUGCAUACAUUGCUUUGGCAUGUUAAUCUUUGUAGUUCAACUAUUUCCCACUUGUGUUUUUCCAAAUAACCUAAGCACAUGUUAUGGAGAUGCAUGUUAUUCUAUUGCAUGACGUUUUUCUAAUCCAAAUUCUAGUUGCUUCCAUCUCAAUAUGGCUUAUUAUGCUUUGAUAUCUCUUUGUAUGCUAUGCUUUGGGUCAAUGUGUUUCAUGCUAGCUUUCUGGAAAUCAUUUCUACCUCGCAUGACUAGUCAUCCAAUCUAGCAUUCUUUGUGUCUCACUGAUUCAUUAUUGGUUGCAUUUUUGUUGUGUUAUUUGUUGUGCUUAAGGGGACUCUACACUUUAUGCAUUCGAGCACUUUUCUUUUAAUGUGGUUUGGACUGUUUUGAGUCUUAUUGUAUGCAUUUGUGACCAUACUUUGGAGUCAUUGACUACUUGGUAGUCUUUCUUGUAUCUCUUUGGCUGUGAUAAUCCAUACUUUGCUUUAGCGAAGCAUCUUCAUUGACAUGUCAUGGGUUUGGUCACACAAUUGAGAAUUCUGUGAGUUUUCUUGUUUAAGUAAUGUUGGUGUUUGUUUUCUGAGCCCAUAUGACUAGUCAUAUAUACCAUUAGUCACUGGUAUCAGUUUGGUCUUAAGGUAUUUAGUCCUUCUUGGAUUUGACCCAUGUUACCAUAUGUGACAUGGUUGUCUUUAUUGUGGUUUCCUUAAGUCACUUUUGAGUAGACUUCUGUUGAUGUUGUUGCUUUAUGCAACUCGAAUGAUGAUUGUCUUGGCUGCAAUCUCCUGUUUUGAAUUUAUAGGUCUAUUGCACUUUGUGAUUUUUCCAUUAAAGGGAGCUUGUUAUUUACUUGUCCUUGGAACACUUUGUUAUGUAGUGAACUGCUUACUUCUUCUUAGGAUUGAUCUCGGUUAUGGAUUUCCUUUAUUAUUUAGAGCUUUAGUUCUCAGCACUUAGACUUUGGCUAUAGGAGGAAAGUCCAUUCUUGUUUUGAAGAGGAGUGGCUUAUGCAUUACCCUAGCUUACUUUAGAUUUGCUUGGGUGUGAUUGUUGUUUUUCCUUGGUGACAUGCAUUCUUUGGUUAAUUUCACAUCUUUCUUUGUGUCAAAGGUUUUGUACGUUAUUUUCAUCUUGGAAUGUCUUCUUUAUUAUGUGCAUUGAAAUUAAAUUCAGCCACUUGAUUUUAAUUGCUUUAGGUAUGAUUCCUUGCAACUUGUGCUCCAUUUCUUAUUCUUUUUAGUCUGAUGCACUUUUGUGUUUGUUGGCUAUUUAUGGACAGUUUGCUGGAUUAGUACAUCAAAGGUUAAUUCCUUUAUGUUAUAUGAUACUCAGGGGGAGUAUUUUUGGACAGGUUGGGUGGUAUAUUUUUGUAAUCUCAUUGUGCGGAUCUUUUUGCUUGGGUAGUCUGUGCAACUUGAUAGGGGGAGUUGUCUUGUAUUGUUUUGAGCAAAUGUUGUUUUGCUUUGUAAUCAAACCGUGUCAUGUGCAUAUUGUUCAAAUCUGAUUAUGUGACUUGUGUUUAAUUCACUUGAUUACUGUUUCUCUAUAUUUGCCUUUUUGCUCUUUCCUUAUCAACAAGGGGGAGAACACUCUCAACCCCAUAUUGCAUAUAUUGCAUAUUGCUUCAAAUUUCUGUGAUAUAAUAUGCUUGUCUUGUGCCUGGGAGUUUGGUUGUUGUUUUGCAGGUACUUCAUUUCAUCAUCUCCAUAGGUUUAGUUUUGGGUUGAGUGUAUUUAGAGAGUGUGUUGUCAAGGAAAGCCAAAAAGAGGGAGAUUGUUAAUGUAUGCAUUUUGAGUUUUUUCUUUUGGCUUCCCUUGACAAUUUUGUAACAGGAAAAUCAUUGUAGUUUCCCAAGCUCUAAGUUUAGAUUAAGAAUUACUUCUCUAGGUGUUCUUAUCUGCCUACAUUCUGAUGGAAAACAAUGCGUUUGACAAAGGUAAAUUUUGCAUUACACUACAUUGCAUUCACUAAAUUUCUGAAGAUUAUGACUAGUCAUCUUUCCUUCGUAUGACUAGUCAUCUUUCCUUCGUAUGACUAGUCAUCUUUCCUUCAAUUAGGAUUUCCAGCUCACUAUUUCCAACUGGGGCUUAACCAUUUUUUUUUGUCCUUUUCUAUGAAUUUCUCAGCUGUCAUGUGUCUAUUCUGACCUAGGAAUUUUUGGUAAAAGCCAAAGAAUUCCUCAUUUGGCAGCCGUCACUUUUGUAGGCAAGUUUUGGAAAGUUUCUCUGUAAACUUUCUCUUUUUCCUCAAGUGUAACCUUCAUAUUUUUCAUCUUUGAGUUUUCCAAAAUGUUCCUUUUCAAAAACUGCAUUUGAAAUAUGAAAACAUCAUCUUGCUAGAUCAAACACUCUCUCAUAUAUAUCUAGGUCAGAUUCAAGAUUGAUUUCUUCAAGAGUAUGGUUUCUUGAAGAAAUUGGUCAUUCUCCUUCGAAUCCAAAUUUUGGUUUCUGUCUGAGUUGGAGCUUACAAGCUGGUGCCAUGGGAUGAAUGAGCUGGAGAAGGAGCUGUCAUUGCCAUGAAGAACUGAGCUUCAAGCUUUGCUAAGUUGGAGAAGAAGAUUGCACAAAGGAGGUAUAGCUCAUCUUCCUAAAUAGAUCUAGGUUUUUCUUGAGCUUGCUUGUGUUCCUUUGUAAGAAUCUUUUUCUACUUAGUGGAUUGCCUGGUCGAUUGAUGAACCCCAGUUUUUCCCAAUGGUGGGUUUCUGGGUGAACAAUUUCUGAUUGCAUCUCUGUAAUUUUUCUGGGUUUGUGUUCUUGGUGGUUGACUAGUCAUCGUAUGAAUUGUGGUUGACUAGUCAUUGUAUGAAUUCUGGGUUUGUGUUUUUAGUGGUUGACCAGUCAUUGUAUGAAUUCUGGGUUUGUGUCCUUAUAGUUGACUAGUCAUCAUUAUCUGGUAUUUGGUGUUUACUUGAUUAUGAUGAUUUCACACACUUUCACCAUAGUUGUUGCUAGCACAGUGGAUGCCUAGAUUGACGGGUCCUUCUGAGUGCCUAGGUUGUCACUAGUAAUCUUCUAGGGUUGCAGGUACAUUGUGGCAUGCUCUGUGUGUAUUCUUGAUUGUGGUUGUUCAUGCCUAGCAGUUGACUAGUCAUAAGUGUACUUGGUCAAGGUCUAAAGUGUGUGAAGAUUGUUGCCUUUUGUUUAGGUGUCGUAAAAGUUAACCCUCGUCACCUAAGUACCAAUUUCACCUACCAUGUGAGAAUGUGGAAUUGAGUGACAUUGAUCUCAAGUACACUGGAGACAAAGGUCCUAUUACCUCUGUGUGUUCUAAUGUCAAGCCGACAAUUAAUCGCAUGGCACAGCCUCUUGCUUGC